rnacentral:lncRNA from 1 species
GAAUCCUCUUUCGCAUGACAAUCUUAAUUAUCUCCCAUACUCCAAAACUCACAAAAACAUCAAGAGUCCGCUGAGAAUAAAUUUAAGUAAAAAACAUGCACACACAGAUAAUAAUAAUAAUCAUGUUUCCAUAAAAUUGCUAAGUCCAGAGAUAAUACAUAAACAUAGUAGACUGUUCAUGACACAUAUCACGGUGGACAGUGUUUGUGUCCUUAUUACAAGCAACGAGAGAUGCUCGUCACCAACACGCGCGCGCACAGAUGCACGACAUACAUAUAGUAGAGACCAACAGAUGGUCGUCCCAUAUGGUGAACAAUUUAUUGGAGAUAAAUAUUAACGUAACUUGGCCAUAGCUUGAAGCAUAGCAACAUAUGCCUAUGAGUGGCAUUCAUGCUAUCGUUUUAGGCUUGUCCAGCUCCUUCCAUCUUAGCAAGCACUUCCAUUUCUACCAUCUUAGCAGCAACUGUCAAAUUGAGAUACGGAAAUCCCAUUAGCGCAUGAGUUAAUUUUGCAGUGGAAAUAGAGUACAAGAUGUCUUCAUGAUGUAAGUAAUAUGCCUGAAGUUGUGAGAUGGGAAGUGAAGUCAACAAAUUACAUUAACGGAAAUGCAUGGAAGGCCACACAUACGUAUUAGUCCAUGAUAUGCUACAAAGCUUGUAUGUACAUAUAGCAAAUUAAAUGCAUUAAUUGAAUAGAGUGUGUUUAGUGAAUUUACCAGAAUCGUCCAGAAAACAUGGGAAACAGCAAGUGUUCUUGCAGACUGCGUCGGAGGCACCCGCACGAAUACAAAGCUGACAACAUAGUUUUGCCUGGGCGGAUGCGCAGCAGCCGCACUCCGCCGCGGUGGGGUUAACAUUGAGGCUCAAGAUGACCAGGCACAUGAUCACCAUCAAAGUGGUAGUCCUCUUUCCCUCCAUUGCCUCCUCUUAGCUUGCUGCUACCUUCCUUGGUUACCUAGCUAAGUUUAUUGGUUUUGUGUUGAGAGGUGUGAUUCUUGAAUGGACGUUGCCGGCGGCAAUUUAUAGGCAGCUGAGCUAUGUGAUGAUAUGGACUAGGUGCAAAUGGGUGGUUAAUGGCAAGGAAAGGGGCGUCAGACAAAGCCCAAUGGCAACUGCUGACAUGCGAUUAAAUUCAGAUCCACAUCCGGCCAUUCAAUAAUACGGUUGGAGUUGUGGCACAGAUAUAUUAUUGCAUGAUCAUCAAGAUAAGAUCGUACAGUGACUGAGUGAGACAAUAAAUAGCCAAGUAAACUAUUUUAUCCUGCUGCAAGCUGCAUUCAUAAGUUUAUUUCACCUUUGAUCACAAUACUCUUCACACACGUACGUCUCAGGGAGAUCUCACUUCCGCUGGACUGCUCACUUCCGCUGUCGUCGGUACUGCCAAAGACAUAAGCUCACAUCUGCUAUUGCGGAGCAGGCCAAUUUGCUGCGGAACUUCGGCGACGACCUGAAGGACAUGAACUCGGUGCUGGAGUCCAUCUCAGCAGCGCUCUAGGACGCUGACACCGGUAGAAAAACGACCUUCCAUCGUCAACAAAAAUCCCGGUAGCUUUUUUACUCGGUACUAAAGAGGUUUUAAUCUCGUGCAAACACCUUUAGUCCAGAUUGCUAUUACCACGCAACCCGGACUAAAGCGUCCCCCGCGAGUUAGUAUAUAAGGAUUGCAUCCUUUACUCAGUCAGAUAUAAUAUGUAGGUGAGAUGGUAAGGAAGCUAUGCGUGAGGCUUCAGGUUGUGGGUUCGAAUCCAAGUGGGUGCAGCUGUGGCUUAAGCGGCUGAGGCACGCCGCCAUAGACAUCUCAGAUUUGCUCGAAGACUACCAAGACACUAGUGAACCCUUAACAGUAAAGGUGAGUACUUAUGAAUGUCAGCAUCCAUGUUGUCCAUGCUUCCAAUGUAAUAACAAGAUGGACUACUCUUCCUAGCGGACUCUUCACAACCACUCGUAAAGCUAUGCGUUUCUCAAUGCAAUUUCGUAGAAGCCAAUCGAUCCAACCAAGUGACUAAAUCAUUCGUCCUUUCCAAUGAUGUGCAUCAGGUUUUCUAUAUGAAGGGCAUGUCUAGCAAACCUAAGAUUUCAGAAGAAAAAGAAAAAUCAUUGGAGCCAAAGAGCCACAUAGUUCUUCUAGGAAAAAAAUCAUGGGAGUCGAGAACAUAUCAAACCAAUCAGGGGAUUAUGGUCAGCUUAAUGGCAUGCCUCCAUUCGAUGUCGAAGUUCACCCAAGCAUCAUGUUAGCCAAACAUCAAAUGUUCGUGCGUUGUUACGGUAAAGAUCAAUUGUGUUUUUUAAACUCUUGGAAUUUUUUUAUCUAAGUUUUUAUUUACACUUAUUGGAUGUCUACACAUUUGCUAGAAAACUAAAAUAAUUUGGACUUAAUUAUUUCUUUCAACUGAAGUACUCACUAAAUUUCUACCUUUUUAUUUAAGCAAGAGAGUUGCUAAAAAAAAUGGAUACGUAACCAUGUUGUAUCAUACAAAGUAACCACGUUUCACAUAUAGUCCGGCUUAGCAAACACCAUUGUUUUCUGAACAUAGCGUACAUGAGUUAACAGACAUGGAUUUAUUUCUAUUGCAAGUAGCAUAGCGUACAACCUGCCUGCACCGAUGCAGCUCAAUAUGCGAUAAUUUUUAUCUUCCCAUGUAAUUUUUCUACUCUAGUACAUAUUGAACUCCACAUUAAUGUCAUGUUCUUUCGCGCCCCAGAAGGUUCCUAAAGUUUGGAAACUUAAUAGAUAGCCAGAAUUUUUUUUAAAGAUAUUUAUAUGGAUACUUGUAUGUUCUUUCCAAACUAACAAUAUUGUUUACCAAUAUCAGAAGGAAUAUGGUUAGGAGCCAUUGCCGCAUAUGGCAGGUGAUGGUAGAUGGCGUAUGGGGUUUCGUUAAUUUAAUGGUAUAAUAAGCUGAAAUACAUUUUCUAUUUGCAAAUGAAUCAUAGCUGAAAUUGGUGGGAUUGUUUUUUCGCCGGUUUAGCAUCCUGUGCACCAGUUCAACCGGAGGGAAGCUGUUUUUUUUCUUUGGUUUUCCACCGGUUCACCGAGACCGAUGACAAUUUUAUGGCAGAAUCAUUACUUGUUUUACUAUUAGGUGAAGAUUUUAGCGUUUAGGUAUCUCACAUUAAACGCAACUUCAACAAUCUAUUUCUAGUGUAUAAUGUAGGAGACCCCGUAAAGAGUCUACACACACAUAUAUGUUGACUAUGAAUGUAAGUUUGUUGGUUUUAUGUAUGUUCGUUUGGAGUUUAUAUAAAUUUUACAUUUUAUAGUUUUGUGUAUAUGACGAAGAUCCAUGACUUGCAUUAAUUUAGCCUUUCUUCCAACAACUCUUAUGCAUGAUGUUUCUAGGCGAGCGUACUGGUUGCAAUUUUGGUCCCCGAUAUAGUGUGAGGACUUAAGGGACACGUGCAGGUCGUAACCUUAGAUAUUUUUGCUGAGAAUGGAUGAAGAAGCAAUAAUAUACUUUGCUUCUGAUUUUCUCCAUGUCAUUUGCUUACUCUUAUCCCUUUUAUUUAUCAUUAUAAGAUGAAAAUAUUGUAAAAACUUGGCUACGUGCGGUCGCAGAAGCUAGAGACUAAAGCGUCCCCCACGAGUUACUAUAUAAAAGGAUUGCAUCCUCUACUCAGUCAUAUGUACUGUGUAGGUGAGAUGGUAAGGAAGCUAUGUGUGAGGCUUGAGGUUGUAGGUUCGAAUCCCACGCACCGCGUGCGCAUGCGCAUAUUUUGCGUGAAAAAUCGCAUGACUUGUGGUCGGCCAAGGAGAAGUGCGUGCGGCUGAGGCACGCCGCCAUAGACAUCUCGGAUUUGCUCCAAGACUACCAAGACACUAGCGAACCCUUAACGGCAAAGUUGAGUACUUACGCGUGUUAGCAUCUAUGUUGUCCAUGCUUCCAAUGCAAUAACAAGAAGGGCUACUCAUCCUAGCGGAUUCUUCACAACCACUCGUAAAGCUAUGCGUUUCUCAAUGCAAUUUCGUAGAUGUCAAUCGAUCCAACCAAGCGACUGAAUCAUUCGUCCUUGCUAAUGAUGUGCAUCAGGUUUUCUAUAUGAAGAACAUGUCUAGCAAAUCCAAGAUUUCAGAAGAAAAAUAAAAAUCAUGAGAACCAAAGCACCACGUAGUUCUUCCAGGUAAAAAAAACAAUCAUCCACUGGGAUGACACACAGUAGCGAUCCAAAACGUCCAUAUUAAGACUUUUUGAUAGCAGAAAAAACAUGAAAAUGUCUAAUAUUUGUAGUAUUAAAAGGAAAAAUAAUAUAUUCACUUGACCUUUUUUUCGUAGCAACGCACCGGUGCGUAGUCAGACUUAGGCCACGUUUGGAUACUCCCUACUAAAGUUUAGCACCUGUCACAUAGGAUGUUUGGAUACUAAUUAGGAGUAUUAAACAUAGGCUAAUUAUAAAACUAAUUGAACAGAUGGAGUCUAAUUUGCGAGACGAAUCUAUUAAGCCUAACUAGUCCAUGAUUUGACAAUGUGGUGCUACAGUAACCAUUUGCUAAUGGUGGAUUAAUUAGGCUUAAUAGAUUCGUCUCGCGAAUUAACAUAGGGUUCUGCAAUUAAUUUUAUAAUUAGCUCAUGUCUAGUCCUUCUAAUUAGCAUCCGAACAUCUGAUAUGAUACUGCUAAAGUUUAUCACCUAGUAUCCAAAUACCCCCUUAAUGCACGAUGCCUGUGCAUCCACUGGGCCUACCCUCGUGGAUCACGCGCUCGUGGAUCACGCGCACCAUGACAUGGCUCAUUAGCUAGUCGUGCUAAUCCUUACCACCAAAUUAAAAACUAGCAUGUGUUGUGUGUUUGUGACCCUAAACGACUACCACCUUCCCGAGUCCACCGGAGUUGCCAGUUCACCACUAAGCUGACUCUCCGAGCUUCAUGUCACUGUCACCGCUCCAAAGACCUAGAUCGGUUCGCUGUGCACCCCGCUUCGUCCUGAGCUAAAUCCCAUCACGAAAGGUGACCGGAUGCUCGUUUUCGAGCGAAUUCUAGCGAGAUUGCCACCACCUUUCCCCUUCCAGCCGAUCGCAGCUGUCUGAUCACAAACCGACAGCCCAGAUCGGAUUUGACCAGGUCAAUACCGGUCAAGCCGAGAUGCAUGCUGCUUUUGCAAGAAGGCCCCUAUUUUUCUCUCUUUUUGCACUUGAGGUCCUACGCAGUUCAAAAGUAAUUAGAUCUAGAUCCUUUUUCUUCUGUUUUAGCCCUGUUCUUUUAUAAAAUCCCACCCGCCAUCCUGUUUGGUAUUUUGACAUGUUAGACCUUCUAUUUAUAUGUUUAAUUAGGUUUUAGCCCUUGGUUUCUUUAAGUUUAGCUCUUGGAAGUUUAGUUUUCUCGCAGUUAAGCCCCUGAACCUUGUUUAGUUCAUAUCUUUAGCGUUUUAAAUCCGUUUUAAGAGAUUCUUACGCCCAUAAGUUCGUGUUGAUGCAUAGAUUAGUUGACUUAUACGGACCUUGCUGAUUCAGCUCCUUCAUUGUGCUUCAGAUCUCGCUAGUGAAGAAUAAUGGAUGGGCUUUGGUUGAGCUUGUAGAUCGACCUGCAGUUGCAGUGAAUGUGCUGAGGACUGGCGGUACCAAUAAUGGGAGGCCGCUGCUCUGCUUGCUACCAAGGCCUGCGACGCUUGGACGCCAUUCAGAGUGCAUAAUUUCCAAGGAUCUCAAGGGCUCCACACCACGUUCCAAGUGUUUUUUCUUUGCCGAGUGUUUUUAGCUCGGCACUUGGCAAAGAGCUUGUUUGCCGAGUGUCCGAAAAAAACACUUGGCAAAGAGAAAACACUCGGCAAAUUUGAUGUUUCCCGUAGUGAUGUACUAUUCAAACUUGAACUGGGAUGCAGGCUUCAGUACCAAAGAGAGCUCUGGGCGCGGGUGAGCAGUGAGCUGGCCGGGCAGGGAGCUCCAAAGCGACAGCAACAAAGAGAGAAAUGCUAAGAGUAAGAACGACACACGAGGUCACUUCACAUAGAUAAUAGCAGUACGAACCAUACAAUAUCCUCUCUCAGUUUCACUCCGCCUCACACACGGCUAGCACACCAUGCAUGCCGAUUUCAUAUUAUUAAUAUUAUUUUUUGGAUGGUUGUUGAAACUAUAUAUAUAGUUAGUCCAAUCUCACGUUUCCGAUUAUAAAAAUCAACGUAAAGAGAUCGGUAGGGAGAGCCGGCAUAAUGAAGCCGACGCGUGUAAUAAGCACCAGAGCCGGCAUUUAUACAAACUGGUACGAAUAGUAAAAAACUAGAAUUUAUAAAUAAAAAAAUGAUUUGCACAUCUAUGCAAUAAUUAGGGGUUAGUGGCAGGUCUAGAGAGAUAUCUCAUCAUUAUAUCCGGUUUAACGAGGAUAAAAAAGAGUGUAUUUUCCACUCAUCAUGUUGUCUUUUCGCAGCGGUACCACUUUUCGUGUGUUGUAUCGGUCCCCUAAUACGGAGUCUCCGAGGCCCGAGAAAAUAAGGAAAGUGAUAGUAGCCCAGAAAUCGGCCAAGUUUCUUUCCCCUUUGGCUUUCCUACUAGGAUUCAGAAUCCUCUUUCGCAUGACAAUCUUAAUUAUCUCCCAUACUCCAAAACUCACAAAAACAUCAAGAGUCCGCUGAGAAUAAAUUUAAGUAAAAAACAUGCACACACAGAUAAUAAUAAUAAUCAUGUUUCCAUAAAAUUGCUAAGUCCAGAGAUAAUACAUAAACAUAGUAGACUGUUCAUGACACAUAUCACGGUGGACAGUGUUUGUGUCCUUAUUACAAGCAACGAGAGAUGCUCGUCACCAACACGCGCGCGCACAGAUGCACGACAUACAUAUAGUAGAGACCAACAGAUGGUCGUCCCAUAUGGUGAACAAUUUAUUGGAGAUAAAUAUUAACGUAACUUGGCCAUAGCUUGAAGCAUAGCAACAUAUGCCUAUGAGUGGCAUUCAUGCUAUCGUUUUAGGCUUGUCCAGCUCCUUCCAUCUUAGCAAGCACUUCCAUUUCUACCAUCUUAGCAGCAACUGUCAAAUUGAGAUACGGAAAUCCCAUUAGCGCAUGAGUUAAUUUUGCAGUGGAAAUAGAGUACAAGAUGUCUUCAUGAUGUAAGUAAUAUGCCUGAAGUUGUGAGAUGGGAAGUGAAGUCAACAAAUUACAUUAACGGAAAUGCAUGGAAGGCCACACAUACGUAUUAGUCCAUGAUAUGCUACAAAGCUUGUAUGUACAUAUAGCAAAUUAAAUGCAUUAAUUGAAUAGAGUGUGUUUAGUGAAUUUACCAGAAUCGUCCAGAAAACAUGGGAAACAGCAAGUGUUCUUGCAGACUGCGUCGGAGGCACCCGCACGAAUACAAAGCUGACAACAUAGUUUUGCCUGGGCGGAUGCGCAGCAGCCGCACUCCGCCGCGGUGGGGUUAACAUUGAGGCUCAAGAUGACCAGGCACAUGAUCACCAUCAAAGUGGUAGUCCUCUUUCCCUCCAUUGCCUCCUCUUAGCUUGCUGCUACCUUCCUUGGUUACCUAGCUAAGUUUAUUGGUUUUGUGUUGAGAGGUGUGAUUCUUGAAUGGACGUUGCCGGCGGCAAUUUAUAGGCAGCUGAGCUAUGUGAUGAUAUGGACUAGGUGCAAAUGGGUGGUUAAUGGCAAGGAAAGGGGCGUCAGACAAAGCCCAAUGGCAACUGCUGACAUGCGAUUAAAUUCAGAUCCACAUCCGGCCAUUCAAUAAUACGGUUGGAGUUGUGGCACAGAUAUAUUAUUGCAUGAUCAUCAAGAUAAGAUCGUACAGUGACUGAGUGAGACAAUAAAUAGCCAAGUAAACUAUUUUAUCCUGCUGCAAGCUGCAUUCAUAAGUUUAUUUCACCUUUGAUCACAAUACUCUUCACACACGUACGUCUCAGGGAGAUCUCACUUCCGCUGGACUGCUCACUUCCGCUGUCGUCGGUACUGCCAAAGACAUAAGCUCACAUCUGCUAUUGCGGAGCAGGCCAAUUUGCUGCGGAACUUCGGCGACGACCUGAAGGACAUGAACUCGGUGCUGGAGUCCAUCUCAGCAGCGCUCUAGGACGCUGACACCGGUAGAAAAACGACCUUCCAUCGUCAACAAAAAUCCCGGUAGCUUUUUUACUCGGUACUAAAGAGGUUUUAAUCUCGUGCAAACACCUUUAGUCCGGAUUGCUGUUACCACGCAACCCGAACUAAAGCGUCCCCCACGAGUUACUAUAUAAGGAUUGCAUCCUUUACUCAGUCAGAUAUAAUGUGUAGGUGAGAUGGUAAGGAAGCUAUACGUGAGGCUUCAGGUUGUGGGUUCGAAUCCAAGGAGAAGUGGGUGCAGCUGUGGCUUAAGCGGCUGAGGCACGCCGCCAUAGACAUCUCAGAUUUGCUCGAAGACUACCAAGACACUAGUGAACCCUUAACAGUAAAGGUGAGUACUUAUGAAUGUCAGCAUCCAUGUUGUCCAUGCUUCCAAUGUAAUAACAAGAUGGACUACUCUUCCUAGCGGACUCUUCACAACCACUCGUAAAGCUAUACGUUUCUCAAUGCAAUUUCGUAGAAGCCAAUCGAUCCAACCAAGUGACUAAAUCAUUCAUCCUUUCCAAUGAUGUGCAUCAGGUUUUCUACAUGAAGGGCAUCUCUAGCAAACCCAAGAUUUCAGAAGAAAAAGAAAAAUCAUUGGAGCCAAAGAGCCACAUAGUUCUUCCAGGAAAAAAAAAUCAUGGGAGUCGAGAACAAAUCAAACCAAUCAGAGGAUUAUGGUCAGCUUAAUGGCAUGCCUCCAUUCGAUGUCGAAGUUCACCCAAGCAUCAUGUUAGCCAAACAUCAAAUGUUCGUGCGUUGUUACGGUAAAGAUCAAUUGUGUUUUUUAAACUCAUGGAAUUUUUUUUCUAAGUUUUUAUUACACUUAUUGGAUGUCUACACAUUUGCUAGAAAACCAAAAUAAUUUGGACUUAAUUAUUUCUUUCAACUGAAGUACUCACUAAAUUUCUACCUUUUUAUUUAAGCAAGAGAGUUGCUAAAAAAAAUGGAUACAUAACCAUGUUGUAUCGUACAAAGCAACCACAUUUCACAUAUAGUCCGGCUUACCAAACACCAUUUUUUACUGAACAUAGCGUACAUGAGUUAAGAGACAUGGAUUUAUUUCUAUUGCAAGUAGCAUAGCGUACAACCUGCCUGCACCGAUGCAGCUCAAUAUGCGAUAAUUUUUAUCUUCCCAUGUAAUUUUUCUACUCUAGUACAUAUUGAACUCCACAUUAAUGUCAUGUUCUUUGGCGCCCCAGACGGUUCCUAAAGUUUGGAAACAAAAUAGAUAGCCAGAAAUUUUUUUAAAAAAUAUUUAUAUGGAUAUUUGUAUGUUCUUUGCAAACUAACAAUAUUGUUUACCAAUAUCAAAAGGAAUAUGGCUAGGAGCCAUUGCCGCAUAUGGCAGGUGAUGGUAGAUGGCGUAUGGGAUUUCGUUAAUUUAAUGGUAUAAUAAGCUGAAAUACAUUUUCUAUUUGCAAAUGAAUCAUAGCUGAAAGUGGUGAGAUUGUUUUUUCGCCGGUUUAGCAUCCUGUGCACCGGUUCAACUGGAGGGAAGCGGUUCACCGAGACGGAUGACAAUUUUACGGCAGAAUCAUUACUUGUUUUAUUAUUAGGUGAAGAUUUUAGCUUUUAGGUAUCUCACAUUAACAAUCUGUUUCUAGUGUAUAAUGUAGGAGACCCGUAAAGAGUCUACACACACAUAUAUAUGUUGACUAUGAAUGUAAGUUUGUUGGUUUUAUGUAUGUUCAUUUGGAGUUUAUAUAAAUUUUACAUUUUAUAGUUUUGUGUAUAUGACGAAGAUCCAUGACUUGCAUUAAUUUAACCUUUCUUCCAACAACUCUUAUGCAUGCUGUUUCUAGGGGAGCGCACUGGUUGCAAUUUUGGUCCCCGAUAUAGCAUGAGGACUUAAGGGAGACGGGCACGUCGUAACCUUAGAUAUUUUUGCAAGAAGCAAAUUAUACUUUGCUUUUGAUUUUCUCCAUGCCAUUUGCUGACUCUUAUCCCUUUUAUUUAUCAUUAUAAGAUGAAAAUAUUGUAAAAACUUGGUUACGUGCGGUCGCAGAAGCUAGAGACUAUUUCUUUUUUUAAAAAUACGCAAGAGGGAGAAACUUGGUAACAGCUAGACAGUGAAGAUCGCAUUUCAUAAGAAAGAUGGUGCACGUUCUUGUUUGGCUGUUAACGAAAUGACUUCGUUUCACCACACCACCAGAGAGCCCCAUUGCACUUGCAGCAAAAGCGUGGAGCCGCUUUCAACCAGCGUGCAAUAAUGCAGUCCCGCGUGUCUUGGUCUUACAGGAUAUUUGGUUCUUUAGUCCGGACUAAAAUUCAUGUCGCAUAGAAUAUUCAGAUGUUAAAUAGGAGGACUAAACAUGAGCUAAUUAUAAAAAUAAUUACACAAAUGGAGGCUAAUUCCCAAGACAAAUCUAUUAAGUCUAAUUAAUCCAUCAUUAGCACAUGUUUACCGUAGCACCGUAUUGUCAAAUCAUGGACUAAUUAGGCUUAAUAAAUUCGUCUCGCAAGUUAGUCUCCAUCUAUACAAUUUGUUUUAUAAUUAGUCAAUGUUUAAUACUCUAUCUAAACAUUCAAUGUGACUGAAAUUUUAGGAGGUCCUAAAGAACCAAACACCCCUUAGUCUCCGCCUGAACUAUAGCAGGUGCUGGCAGCGGUAGCAGGGUCGUCCAUUAUAUCUAUGGAUGGAAAUGAUCUGAUUCGGAUGGAAUCGAAUUCGAAUAGCACUUUUUACCACAUACUAAUCUGAAUUGGAUGUUCUCGAAUGUGAAUGCAAAACGGAUAGUUCAAAUUUGAAUACUUUGCGGAUUUUUGCAUAAUAUUAAUCGAAGAGAAUUUGUUAAAUUUAGCCGAGACAUAAAUUUUUCUAAAUUCAAAUACUUUGCAGAUUUUCGAAUGCAAAUUUUUUCAUACGAUCUCGGUUGAAUACAAACUUUAUAUCAAAGUUGUAUAUUUAGAUUAUAUAUAAAACUUUGUAGUUGACCUCCUUUUCAUUUAAAAUUUUUUAAUAGCUCAAAACAUUAUUCUAAGCUUUCUAAUUUCAAAAUCUUGAAUUUUAAAUUUUUCAAACGACCUCGGAUGCAAACAAGCUCUAUAUCAAAGUGCUUAAUGAGAUAUAAAAUUUUGUAGUUGACAAGUUUUUUAGUUGAAAACAUUUAGUUAUCACAAACAUACAAGUUCUUCAUUUGAUGUCGAGGAUUGGAAGUGUUGAGUUUGAAGAAUAUAUUCUUUGAUUACAAACUUUUCCAUAUGAUCUUGGAUGAAUACGAACUUUAUUUCAAAGUUGCAAAUUUAGAUUAGACCAAAAACAGUAUAGUUUACAAUUUUUUCAUUCAAAAUUAUUUAGUAGCUCAAAAUGUUAUUCUAAACUCUCUAAUUUUGAAAUCUUGAAUUUUAAAAUUUUCAAAUGACCUCGGAUGCAAACAAGCUCUAUAUCGAAGUGGUAGUUCUUAAUGAGAUAUAAAAUUUUGUAGUUCCAUCUGAGAUCAUUUAACAGUCACAAAUAUACAAGUUUUUCAUAUGAUGCUAAGGAUCAGAAAGAUUAAGUUUGAAGGCUGUAUUUUUUUAAUACAAAUUUUUGCAUACGAUCUCGGAUGAAUACAAACUUUAUAUCAAAAUUGUAGAGCUCGAUGAGAAUUUAAACUUUGUAGUUGAUAUAUUUUUCAUUCGAGAAUGUUUAGUGGUCCAAACAUGUAUUAUAAGUUCAGAGAAGAAACACACAAUCGGCCACGUCAUCAAUUGACAACUUCCAAACUGAGCAUUCCUAUUGGUUCACACCUUUCCCUUUCAACUCGUCAAGCUUAUCUCCUCCCACUCCUCCAUCGUUCACUCCCCCUUCCCCUUCCUCUCUCCCUCCCUCCCUCCGCUCCAGCAGUGGCAGCCCGACCUGCCUCCUAGGACGGUGGUGUGCGGGGCUCGGGCAUCCCUGGCCUCUAGUGGCGUGGCAGGGCGGCCUCCAGCAGCGAUGGCGGAACUCGGCCUCCGGUGGCGCACAGGCAGCGCAGCCUACCUGGUCAAAGGCGGCGCAACAGGGCGACCUCCCCAGCCUCCGGCGGCGCGCAGGGCAUCCAUGACCUCCCCGGCCUCCCUUGCCAGAGGUGGUGCGCGGGGCUGCGCCGACCUCCCCAACCAGAGGUGGCAAGGCCCCAGCUUACGGCGGCGCGUGGCUCCCCAGCUAGGGUGUGGUGGGGCGGCGGCAAGUCAGGCGUGGCCGCGUGGGGGUGGGGGGAGGGGGUUGGGCUGGGCGGAUUCAGAUAGUAUCCAUUUAACCAUCCGAAAUGUGGAUAUCCGUUUAACAAUCCGUUUAGCAAAACCGAAUUUGGAUACUUCCACUUAAGUAUCCAACUAGGAUUCGAAUGCGGAUGGUCCUACCAUAUUGUUAUUUCAGCGGAUACGAAUAUGGGAUAAUUCGAAUAACGACUUACCCAUCCCUGAUUAUAUCCGUGUAAAUAAAUAAUUGCGGCAGCAGGUUCCCGUCGCCACGCCCCCGUCAAACCAAACAAUUGCUUGCGCGACACCGUGUUACUAGAUCUUGUACAGUACUCCCUCCGUUGCAGUACUCCCUAAUGAAAGUUGAGAAUCGAUCGACAACCACGGCUAGUUGCUAUGCACUCGAUCAGAUGGUCCAGGCGCCCGCUGGUAAUCAGGUCGUGGUUCACGCGCAUCAGGCCAGCUAUGACGUUGCCAGCAGUGCUCAGUACACAAAUCUAGCUAUCAGUCGGAUCCAAUUGGGCAGGCAUUUGCACUGUGGUUGUGUUUGAACCUGUAGAUGUCGUUGUCAUUAUCAGGCACCAUACAUCCUCUCUCAGAGGGUGUUUCACCCCCUAAACUUUAGCCCCUCUCACAUCGAAUGUUUUAGAUACUAAUUAGGAAUAUUAAACAUAGAAAAUUUACUAAACCCAUUACAUGGAUGGAGGGUAAACGGCGAGACAAAUCUAUUAAAUCUAAUUAGUCCAUGAUUUGACAAUGUGCUGCUAUAGUAACUAUUUGCUAAUGAUGGAUUAAUUAGACUUAAUAGAUUUUUCUUGCUGUUUAGCCUCCGUCUGUGCAAUUAGUUUUAUAAUUAAUUCAUAUUUAGUCCUCCUAAUUAGUCUCCGAAUAUUUGAUGUGACACGGACUAAACUUUAGAUAGCACACCAGGGACCGACACCAUGCAUGCUGAUUUCAUAUCAUAAUUAAGGAAAGUGAUAUCAUAAUUAAGGAAAGUGGUAGCAUCCAAGAAAUCGAUCAUGUUUCUUCCCCCUUUGGCUUUCCUACUAGGAUUUGGAUAGCGGGCCUUCCUACUAGGAUUUGGAAUCCGCUAUCGCAUGACUAUCUUAAUUAUGUCCCAUAGUCCAAAACUCACAAAACAUCAAAAAUCCAUCGAGAAUAAAUUAAGUAAAAAACAUGCGCACACAGAUAAUAAUAAUAAUAAUCAUGUUUCAAUAAAAUUGCUAAGAUUAGAGAUAGUACAUAAACAUAUUAGAUUGUUCGUGACACAUAUCAUGGUGGAUAGUGUCUGUGUCCUUAUUACAAGCAGCGAUAGAUGCUUGUCACCACACACACGCACGCACAGAUGCACGACAUACAUAUAGUUGAGACCAACGGAUGGACGUCCCAUAGGGUGAAUAAUUUAUUGGAGAUAAAUAUUAACAUAACUUGGCCAUAGCUUGAAGCAUAGCAACAUAUGCUUAUGAAUGGCAUUCAUGCGGGUAGCAAUGCUAUCAUAUGCUUUUAGGCUUGUCCUUAGCUUCUUCCAUCUUAUAGCAAACACUGCCAUUUCUUCCAUCUUAGCAGCAACUGUCAAAUUAAUUGAGAUAUGGAAAUCCCAUUAGCGCAUGAGUUAAUUUUGCAGUGGAAAUAGAGUAGAAGAUGUCUUCAUAAUGUAAGUAAUAUGACUCUGACAUAGGGAGUGAAGUCAACAAAUUACAUUAACGGAAAUGCAUGGAAGGCCACGCAUAUGUAUUAGUCCGAUAUGCUACAAAGCUUGUAUGUACAUAUAAUAAAUUAAAUGCAUUGAAUAGAGUGAUUUUAGUGAAUUUACCUAAAUCGGAUUAAAAAACAUGGGAAACAACAAGUGUUCUUGUAGGGCUUUGUUUAGUUCCCAAAUUGGGAGUAGCAAAGUUUGCAUUUUACCAUAAAUGCGCAACUAUAGCAUGUAGCAUUUUGUUUGUAUUUGUGAAUUAUUAUCCAAACAUUGACUAAUUAGGCUCAAAAGAUUCAUCUCGCAAAGUACAACAAAACUGUGCAAUUAGUUUUUGAUUUCGUCUACAUUUAGUACUCCGUGCAUGUACCGCAAGUUUGAUGUGAUGGGGAAUCUUGCUUUUCAAUAGUGACAAAGUUGGGAUUUCGGGGGGAAGGCCUGUGUCGGAGCCACAUGCAAGAAUGGCUGACAUUGAGGCUCAGACAAAGCCCAAUGGCAACUGCUGACAUGCGAUUAAAUUUAGAUAUCCACAUCCAGCCAUUCACAUUUAUGAGAUAUGGACACGGUGCAAAUGGGUGGGGUCCUGAUAUGGAGGUGCGAAUGGCUGUCUACUUGUAUAGUGUAGCUCCAAUGUACGUAUAUGUAUCUUAUGCAUGUAUACAGUUGCACAAACUCUGAACCAACUCUUCAUAACAGGUCUUUGUUACCAAGUAACUUUACUUUUGCACGUUUCAGCCGAGAGGUAGAAGAGAAUAUUUUUGCAUUUUCCAUGUGCGUCAGUGGUAGAGAACUAGGAAUUAGUUCCGGAUGGUAGGGCACAAAUCUUCCAAACAACUAUCCGAAAUUAAGCAAUCGAGAUAAAGGGUGCCAUCUAUUCUCUCCGAAAAACACAGGUACCAAAAAGAAGAAGAGAAGAGGGAGGGCCUCCCGUUAAGGCCCGCUCGGGGUCUCCAUCCCACCACGCGCCCUCCCAACCCAAAGCCCAUCGUUUUCCCUCCGUCCCUCCCCUCUCCAUUGCCGCCGCCGCUCCCCUCAUCCGAGCUCGAUACGGGUGGUCGGCGGCCCCUCCUCUCCGCUCCCGCCCCCGGCCUCCCUUUGACCGCCGGGCGCCGGCAUCACUGCCGCGGCCAACCCCAGGGCGCAGCGCGUGCCUCUAUUUCUCUCCCCCGUUCAAGGGCCCUUUGAUGGCGACGAGCACCCACCCACCAGGUAUGCCCUCCCCUUCUCUUCCUAACCCUAAUAUAUUCGGAUCUCACCCAGUCACAAUAUAUUACCUAAUAGCUUCGAUUUUGUUUGCAAAAAUCAUCACGUGCGCACCCAUGUCCGCUAGAUUCUUGCGCCUGAUCCUGUGCUGCUAUGGUUUGGGCGGGGUAGACUAGUUGAUUCGUGCACUUUUGGGUGCUUGUAGUGCUAGGUUUUGGAGGGGGAUAGCCCAGUUGAUUCCUCCGUUUUGGGUGCUCAUGGUGAUAGGAUUUGGAUGGGGAUAGCCCCAAUGAUUCGUGCGCCUUUGGGUGCUGGGGAUAGUUUUGGGUGCCUGGAUAGUCCAGUUUCAAUGUCAGUAUAUGCGUAUUUUGGGGAGAAUUUUGUUUUGGGUGGUUCUGGUGCUAGAGUUUCUGAUGCUUAGUAGCCCAGUUUCAAUCAAAUUCCCCCAUGGGUCGUGCACUACGGGAAACAAGAAAAUUGCCGAGUGUAUUUUUUUUGUCGAGUGUUUUUUUUCGAGCACUCAGCAAACAAGCUCUUCGCCGAGUGCCAAGUCAAAAACACUCGGCAAAAAAAAACACUCGGCAAAUCGGGGCUUUGCCGAGUGUCAAAUAAAAAACACUCGGCAAAGAAGGGGGUUUGCCGAGUGUUAAAAAAAACACUCGGCAAACAGGAGGGUUUGCCUAGUGUUUUUUUGACACUCGGCAAAAAAAUAAUUGUUUUUCCUCUUUUCACCUUGAAAUUUUUUCUACUCCCCACAUACAACACGUGGUACUCCAUGUUAAAAUUUGGUAUAUUUUUGGAUUUAUUUGCUAUAUUUAUUUAAUUAAUUGCAUUACAAGGAAAUUUUUGGUAUAAGUCAAAUUUGAACUGCAAGUGAUUCAAAUUGUGGAACAAAAUGAGUAGAAAAAUGAUAUUCAUGUUAUUUGGCUCAAUUUGAGACCUGACCCAUGAAAUGAAAAGAAAUUUCGAACAUCUUGUUCAGGAAACACGACAAUGAACAUGUGGCGGUAGUAUUUUUAAAUUGUAAAAAAAACAAGCAAAGUCUGAAAAUCAUGAGAUUUGUAGUUAUGUGAUGAUAUAAUACGUGGAAGCUGUGGAAAAAAAUUGGAAAGGUUUUGCACAUUUCAUCAUGUACGAUGAUUACAAACCGAAGCAUAUCAGAAGAAGAAUAGUAACUUUGAGAAGGAUUCGAUAAAAUUUAGAGUCGAAGUGACGGUCGAGUUCGGUUUGACUACAAAACUUUUUGUAUAGUCAGUAGAGAACAUAUCUUAUUUCGUGUGAAAAUUUGGUAUUUUUUGAAACUGUUGGAUAUUUUUAAUUUUUUUUUAAAAAAACUUUGCCGAGUGUCCUAGGGUAGACACUCGGCAAAGAAAAACUUUACCGAGUGCCCGCCUAGGACACUCAGCGAACCUUUUUUUAAACCUACCGGCUCCGGCCGGCCCAGCCCACAAACACCACCCGCCCCCCGCCCCCGCGCCUUCUUCCUCACGCCGCCCCCGCCCCCCACCCGUGCCUCCGGACCGCCCCCUCCUCCCCCUGGCCUCCCCUCACGCCGCCCCCCUCCUCCCCUAGCUCCCUCCACCGGCGGCCCUCCCUCCCCCGGCGCACAUCCUCCACUCCUCCUCCCCUUCCCUUCCCUCCCCUCCCCUCCCCUCUUCCUCCCCUGGCCGGAUCUGGCGCCCCUAGCUCCCCUUUCUUCCGCGGCCAGAUCUGGCGCCCUCCCGGCGGCGGGUCGUGGCGAUCGGGGCGGCGGCGGCGGAUCAGGCCGCGGGGCGGCGGCGGCGGCGGGUCGUGGCUACCGGGGCGGCGCCCUGCCCCUCCCCUCCCUCUCCAUCUCCGGCUGCCGUCCACCCCCUCCCCGGAUCCGCCCCCCUCCCCUCCGCGCGGCCAGCCCCUCCUCCCUCUCCGGCCGCCGCCCCGGCCCCUCCUCUCCCUUUCUCCGGCCACCGCCCCGCCCAUCUUCUCUGGAUCCGGCCGGAUCCGGCCGCCGCACAGCCCCUCCUCCCCGGAUCCGGUGGGCGCGGACUUCGUGGUGGUGGCGCCGGAUCCCUCCCCUCCCUCUCCAGAUAACUCCCUCCACUCCUCCGCUCUUCCCCUCUCUCGCGCGGCGGCCUCUCUCCGGCCGCCGCCCCGCCCCUCUCCCCGGAUCCGGGGGGGGGGGGACUCCGCCCCUCUGCCCCGGAUCCAGCUCCCCGACCCGCGAGUGGGGCGAGCUUGCUCAUGCGGUCGACGUCGAGGCCAGGGUGUGGUGGAGGUGGUGGCCGGCGGGUGUGGUGGUGGUGGCGGCGGCGGGCAUGGCGGCGCGGAGGCAAGGCACGGCGGCCGGUGGGAGGCACGGGUGCAAGGCGUCGACGGCAGGAGGCAAGGCACGGCAGCAUGGGAGGUGGUGCUGUGGUGGUGGUGCUGGCGGUGGUGGCGGCGGCGGAGCAGGAUGUGGUGGUGGCGGAGGAUGUUUUUUUUUCAAAAAUUUGUUGCCGAGUGUUUUCUCGGCACUCGGCAAAGACUUUACCGAGUGCCCGACACAAAACACUCGGCAACUCAGUGUUUGCCGACUGAAAAAUUGCCGUGUGCCGUUUGCCGAGUGUUACACUCGGCAAACGGUUCGCCGAGGGUUUUUUGCCCUUCGCCGAGUGCCCCUAGCACUCGGCAAUUUCACUAUCUCCCGUAGUGGUGGCUGGACUUAUGGGGGGAUCAUUGAUGGGGGACUAGUUGGAUACUUUUUGGCUGUUUUGGGAGUCCUUGGCAGCGGCUUCUCAGGGCGUACGUAGCCCAUUGUAGAUUCCAGCCGAGAAGAUUAAGGAAUUGUGACUGCAACCAUGUUACUUUUCUAGGACUCUGUUUCUGAUAUUGUUCCCGCUGCAUCUUUUCAUCCCCAUGGUGAAUGUUGCUGUUGAUCUGUAGAUUGGAUUUGUUCCUCGGUAGCUUUAUUAGAUUUGUGCUGAAUGAUAAUCUCUGCCUGUGAUAUUUUUCUUCAUUGCGGAUGUGUGCCGAGUAUUAUCCCCUUUGUUCAUUCUGUUGGCUUUUUUUAUUGUCUCUGUACUCGGCUGUUCAGCUUGUGCAGCUAAUGAUCUAAUGUAUUUUGUCGUAACUAUGUAUUUUUCGGAUGUGUGCCGAGUAUUAUCCCCUUUGUUUAUUCUGUUGGCUUGCUUUCAUUGAUCUUAAGAUAACUGGUGCUAUAAAUUCACACUAGCUGAUGCACUUGCAAAUAGCUAUGUAAAUAUGAAAAGAAGUAUUUUUUUAUCCUUUUGUUUGUUUGGCAUCAUAUCUGUUUAAAUGGCAUAGCAAUAAGAAUUUUUUGUUUUUGGGGAAUCAUAUCUGCUUAAAUGGUAUAGAAAAUGCUGAGUGCACUGUCAAAUAGAUUUUCCAGCAGUCUGCUUUCAGUUGUUUUUGCAAAUCCUCACAGGCCAGUGAACUGACUUUGUUUUUACCACCCCAUGCCAUUUAAAUGACUAAAUCAGUCAGCCUAAUACUAUAUAUGGUCAUGCUAUGAUCUUAUUUCUUGAAGCUCUAUAGGUCAACCCAUAAGGGUAACUUAGUUUUUCCUAUUCUGGCUGGGGAAGUGGAUACGAUGGCUAUCCUUGGUAGAGUUAAAUACAUUGGCGGCUCUUAGCGCGCCAAUGUGGCACCACAAUAUCGAACAUAUGUAGAAACCCCCUUGUUUUUUCUCAUAUCCCUCUCUCUCAGCGUCCUCUUCUCUUCUUCUCCUCUGUCUCCUCCCCUCCCAUCGCGUGCUUUAUUGCGCCGCCGCCAUCCGCCUCCAUGUAUGAACACGUCGUUUGUCAUGAAGAAGCAGUUGAUGAGGCAAUCAAGCAUGUGGUGCACAAGGUUCUUCUGCUGGCCAAGUCCGAGUCGAACAGCCGCGCAUUCAUUGGGGAAGCACGCGCCAGGCAUCACCAGGCUCCUCGUGCCCCUACUCUGCUCCAAGGACUCGGUGCUUCGACGCGCUGCUUUCCCUGUCCGGCGAGCGGGGAUCGUUGGGAGAUGAUCGAUGGAGGAUGGAGCUGAUCCUCCUGUACACGGUGCCGGUGGGGAGCAGGGAGCUGCGGAGCAGGUCCACGGGCGGCGCCAUUACAGCAGGUGCAGGCUAAGGGUAAUGAGCAGAUCGAGGCGAUGGAGGAGGACCCGCACGAGGUGCAGCUUCUUCGCCUCCUGCGCAAAGUCAGCGCCCAAGCAGCCGCUGAGGGACAGGCCGAGGCUUAGCUCGAUCUCAUCCGACUAAAUGGUGGCUGCACUCCCACAGUCCCACUGGUGCUCCUCCCUUCUGUCCGAACCUGCCGAGGAAAUCCCUCGAUGCCAUGGGUCCCGGCUGGACGACUACUCCUCCCACAGAUUGACUGAGGAAGAAGAGCUUCUCAGUGUCCAAAAAUUCAGUUACACUGGAAACAGCAACCAAUUACGUUCUUCCGGCUCAGCCAAGCCCCAAUCUCCUUGCUUCUGUGCGCCCCUGCUAAAUAUUCCAGAAACCAAUCUGGUUAGUUGUUUUUUCACAUUUUCAGUGCAUGCCGGUGCUGCUGUGUGCGGCAUGCAUGGAGUUGUCGUGGGAGUGCACGGUGGCUUAGCUGGUGCGCCAGUGCGCGGGCACGAACACAACGGUGAAGAUGGCAGGGCCAUCUCAAAGCUCCUGAGCACCUGCACGCGUCGCUGAGCAGGACAUGCUGCGACGGUGGGCGAGCGCUGCUAACGCCCUGGGGAAGAGCAGUGGGUGCAGAGAGAGGGAGCGAGGGAGAGGGGUUCUUGUAUAUGUUUGCUAGCGUGGCACCGUUUACGGUGCCCGCCUAAGUGGCAUUCACGUGUCAUUCAUCCCAAAUGGUGUUGCAAGGUUGAACCUAUUGUGGGAGGCUUUUGGUUUCCCUUGACAGUAUCACCAGUGAUAUCACUGCGUUCUGGUUAUGUAUGAAACACUUGUCCUUUUAAAACCUUUCUGAAUUUAGAAACGAAUUUGAAACAUUACCCUCAUUUCCAUGUUUUUCUAUCUUUUGUCCCUGUAAAAUCAAACUAAAUUUGAAUUAUUAUGUUCAGAACUACAAGCUGAUUUACUUGUCCCAUUUGCUAAUAACAGGGCCUUGUGAUUUCUAAUGAACAUUGCAGAGCAUGUUAUAAAGCGUAUGCAUGAACACCAAGGGGAUGAAACCAUUGGUAUAUUUCUCACAACCUUUUGAACUUAUCAUUUAGCAUAUUUGUGUUCUAGUGUGACGUUUCAGCCACGAGACAUGAGAAAUGUUAGCUAUGGAUUUUGGUUAUUCAUCAUGGGUUCACAGAUUUGUUUUUCUCUAAAAGAAUUGGGAAGUAGCUUUCUUUCUGGGUAUAUGUGGGGAAAUGCAUAUGCAAUCUUUUAUUUAUUGAGGUGACUGUAAAAUUCUUGUCUGACUGAAUAUGCGAUUUCAACCUACAUGCUAUACUUAGGGAAAUUUGUGAAUCUCCUAAUGUCUGCUGCAUGGCAUGAAUGCAUAUUUUACUGGUCCAUAAUGUGAAGUUCUGUAUAUAAACUUCUCGUGUUGACCCUUUAGAACAUGCUAACUGGAGAGUUUUCUAGAGUAGUUAAACAAGAGAUUUAGUUAAAUCUGCACACAUAGGUGGGGCCUGGCAUACCCUAAGAAUCGGCCUAGCCGGUCAGCCCAUUAGUAAAAAAAAAAGCACCGCAGUCAGCAGUCCCCACGUUGGUCUUCCUCGAGUCGCGACUCGCGAAGCUCCCAUCCUCCGAGUCCAAGAUGGUGGACUGUGUCGAGCGCGGGGCGGGCGAUUAGUUGCCCGGCCGCCGGCGGGGGAUGGCCGGACGGCCAGAUCGCCGACUCCUCUAGUCCUCCCUCCAGCCUCUGCGCUUCUUUCACAGUGGAGCUAGCGGCGAGGCGCCCGACCGACACCCUUCUUCCCAAAUCCCGGCAGCCCUACCUCGAUUUGGCCUCCUCCGAUCAUUUGAUAAUCAAUUUGAUGAAAUUAAUAUGGAGUUGCUUUCUUGUAUGGUUGCCUUCAAUCCUGCUAAUUCAUUUGCUUCAUUUGAUGCACAAAAGAUACAUAGACUUGCUAUAUUUUUAUCCACAAGACAUCACAAGCACGGAUUUGCUAAAACUUGAAUUCCAGCUCGAUAUUAUAUUGAUGAUGUGAGAUAGGAUGAUAGUUUCAAAGGCCUACAAGAUCUUGUUAACUGAGACUCAGUUAAGCUUGUUGAAACAAACAGGCAUAAUAUUUAUGACUUGGUUUACUUGCUUCUCAAAUUGGUAUUGGUUCUUCUUGUGGCGACAGCUAGUGUUGAAAGGGAUUUUUGUGCAAUGACUUUGAUCAAGAGUAAGCUAAGAAAUAAGAUGGGUGAUAGUCUUUUGGAUGAUUGUCUUAUCACAUUCAUUGAGAAAGAUAUUUUCUUUGAAGUGGAUGAAGAAGAUAUAAUUAAGACUUCAUAUCCAUUAGAAAUCGUAGGCUGGAGAAGAAGUAAUAUUUUAAUUUUCUUUGAACGUUAGGUCUGUAAGCUUCUUUUAAACUAUCUACAUUAUAAUUUAUGGACCUUUUAAUUUAACCGUUGAAUUCAUGAUAUUAUGAGAUUUUUUUAUCUAUGUUAUUAUUGUUUACCGAUUUAUUACCAAAUUAUUAGUUUGAUCUUACAAUAUUGUAUUUUGGAUGAUUGGCUCGGCAUACUCUAAGUUUAAAUCCUAGCUCCGCCACUGUUUGCACAUUAAUGUGGCUUAUAUGUGUGGAGUCACUUAACCUAUGCACUUGGACCUCCACUCCCUUAGGUUUUAUGAACCUAAUUUGACAGCCUGCUCGUCUUUUAUUUUCUACCAAUCAGCUAGGAACGAACAUGGUGAUGUUUGCAUCUCUGCCAUCAAUGGCUUACAUGUCAUUAUGUAUCACAUUAGCAAGUCUUGUUUUGUUAUUGGCUGGGAUGACGGGGACUCUAGCUGGAAUUGAAUCAAAGUGGUAGAUCACAGGGUAUUCAUUGCCAUGUAUUUCUGCAGUUGCAUGGACUUGCAUCAAACGGACCUUCCUACUUAUGUGAUUGUCCUAUAUGAUCUCCUUUGAUUUCAUUUGCACACUGUAAUCACAUUAGCUAGAACACUCGCUUUUUGCUUCAAAUUUGAAAUUCAUAUCAUGAUGGACUAGAACGCUGAAUUUCUUGAUUGCUGAGUUACUAAUCACAUUGUGGCGCUGCCAAAGAAGCUGGACUCUUCAUUGUUGUUGCCUUGUGGGCUGCCGUGUGCAAAGAACAAGAGCGCACGGUAUUAUAAUAGCAGAGCAGAACACAGACAAGCGACAAGGAGCGGAGCAGAGCAGAGCACAGCCAGGCACAAGCAGUAGAGUAGAGCAGAGCAACCGGGAGAGGAGAGGGCACAUAUGCAGAGUAGAGCAGAGCCAAGCGCAAGCAUUCAUGCACUCAAGCAUGCAGCAGAGGUGUAGCAAGGCAAGCACAAGCAGCAGAGCAGAGGGAAGGGAAGGCUGGGAGAUGAAUAGGCGAAUAGUUACCUGGACAGAGCAGAGGGAAUGGAGAUGAUGCAGAUGCUUCCGGAGACUCGAGAUUUGGAGAGGAACAAGGCCACGUUGUGAACAAGGUCUCCUUUCUCUUCUCUAUUUCCCGCGCAAGUACUUGUGCAUAGUGGCUGCCUCAUCCUCCAGGACGUCCACUUCAACCUGAGGCGGGUGCCACAGACAUCCUGGCUAUGCGACGGCUACCCCCAGCACACCCCCGGCGCCUAUGAACCAUGAUCCUAAUACUAUAAAUUGUCAACCUUGUAAUCUUAUUUCAAGCAUGCUCUCUAUGUCAACCUGUAAGGUUAACUUCGUUUUUCCUUUUCUGGGUAGGGGAGUGGAUAUUGCUGUUAUUUAUAUUAUGUUGAUAUUGGUUUCCACAUGUCAUUCACCCCAAAUGUGUUGCAAGGUUGAACCUAUCAUCGGAGGAAUUUUUUUCCCUUUACCUUUAUAUCACUACGCUCUGGUUAUGUAUGAAACACUUGUCUUCUUAAAAACCUUAAUUUAGAAACAAAUUUGAAACACUAUCUUCAUUUACAUCCUGUAUGUGUUUUCUACCUUUUGUCCUAUAUGAUCUGCUUUGAUUUGAUUUGUGCAUAGUUUUUUCAAUUCAGACCUGGUGAUUUCUGAGGUUCAUGUUGUGCUGAUAAGCAGCCUACUAUUCAGUAACACUUUCAUGUGGCAUGUUCAUGUUAGCUAGCUAGAAACACUGCUUUUAGCUUCAAAAUUCAAAUUCAUGACAUGAUGGACAUUGACAAUGAAUUUCUUGAUUGCCGAGCUAUGUACACUGUAAUUCAGACCUGGUGCUUUUAGUUUUUUUCUUGAUUGCCGAGCUAGAAACACUGUGCUUUUAGUUUUUUCAAUUCAGACCUGGUGAUUUCGGUUUUUUCAAUUCAGACCUGGUGAUUUCUGAGGUUCACGUGUCACACCGAUUUUAAGAACAAAAUCGAGUGCAUUAAAUAUACAUGUACGCUAGGAUCAGGUUACACACAUGUACGACAUAAGCGAAUAUCAAAGACAAUGCCAUAACGAAAUAAAGAGAGUAUUAAUCAUUAUUACAUGACCGAAAGUCUCAAAUAAACCACAAAAUCUAUUUAUUACAUAGCGGAACUUCUAAGAUAGCAACGUCUCCACAGGCAGCUGACUGAAGAACUGUAUGCCUAGAACUCUUCAAAAUCGUGCAGGUACUCCUCCAGAUUAGCUUGGUAUGAACAACGGUUUUGCAAGGGUGAGUACACUUAUGGUUGGUACUUAAUAAGUCGUGGGAAACAAUGUAGUGUAAGGCAAAUCAAGGUAUGGCUAAGGCUUAAACAGCAUCAGCUUUUAAUUUAGUUGGUCAAAUUUUAUUAGCAAUUAAUUAGACGUAAAUUUAUACCACCCGAAAUUAAACAAGAACAUGAAUAAAAUAAUAACAUAACCAUAAAUGAAAUGACAACAAUUUAAAUCCAUCUUUUCAUAGCAUUAUCAUGUGAGGGUCCAGUCCGUUCUUAACCGUGAGCACCGCUGAUCGAUCAGUUUUACACUCUGCAGAGGUUGUACAUCUUUACCCACAAGUCGCGUAAAAGUUCAAAAGAAUUUUGGACCCAACCAUGCGGUAUUUGCAAGGCACCAUACCACACUUCCAAGGUGUGAUUGCAUAUGAACGCUACGAGGCCUUUACAAAGAUUCAUUAGUAAGUGGUAACCCGCUAAGGUUUCGGUAUUUGGCGUGCACAACCUAUCACAGGCCGCUAAUGCAACGACUCAGUCCCCCCUCUUGCCUCAUCACGAGUAAGAUUACCCCAGACUAAGGUUUCUAAUUAUUCAGCCAAGAUCAGAACCAUUUAGUCUUGUGGUAGCACUGUUUUCCUGGGUGGUUCUCCAUGUUCCGAUUAAACAUAAUGGUCUUGUAUUAAUGGAAGGUAUAACAUAAAUAAUACCAAAUUAAUAAUAAUUCAGAUUAAAUCACCAUAACCAUAUUUGAGCACUAAGCAUGAGCUACCCAACAUAAAUUUAACCCGGUUGGUCAAGGCAAGGUAGAUAAAGUCUAGGAAAUUCUUAAUUGGGACCCAUCAAGUUUAAAUUAUACUUUGCAUGGUAUGUUGCAUAGAACAUGAAAGUAAAUGUGAAUAGGACUGAAAAGGAGUGAUUAGGGACACGACUUGCCUUUUUAACCUUGUUCUUGCUGUUCGUACUCUUCGAAAACUUUGAUCUUCAAAUCCCUUGAACUGCUGACCGUCUACACGCGUCACACGACCACAUACAAGCAAACAAAUAUAAUACAUAAGAAAACAGUACACCAAUCAUAAUUAAAUAGAAGAAACAAAUUUGAAAAGCUAUUCUACGCAUUAAAACGAAAACACGGAUACAAGGAACGUUAAAAACGGAGCUACAGUGCAAAAACUACGCUUAAAACAAGAUGCAGGGGUAUAACUACGAGAAACCAAACUUCCAGGGAUUUAAUUUUAAAUAAUUUUGAACUGCAGAAGGGGCAGCAGGGCAAAACGUAGAAAAUGCAGGGGCUUAAGCGCAAAAGCAUGGCUGCUGACUCAGCUGACUUGAUGUGGAUCGUCGGAUGGCGAUCCGGCGGCCGGCAGCUGCUGCGCUGACGUCAGCGACGGCGAGCGCCGGCGAAAAACGGCAGUUCGCCGGAAUCGCCCGGGAACGCGCGACUGGGUGCAGAUUUGAGCGAGGAUUAGACUAGCAGAUAGAAACGAGCGCAGUGAACUCAUUUGGGAUGCCUACGGCGAGGACUUGGCGACGGCAUCGGCUCCGGCGAGAACUUGCGGCAGGGAAACCAAAUAAAAUAAAAUAACACGGUUCAGAGAAGCGGCGCUGGAGGAACGCGAGCGAUUUUGCGUGCGAGCGGAAGAAAACACUGCGAGGAAGAUGACUGCGGGCCCUGCUUGUCUGCGGCAGGAGGAGAGCUGCGUGCGAGAAGAACCUGGCCACGAUCUGGGCCGUUGCCUUCGAUCUGGGCCGAGGCAAGCUAGCUGGCCCGCUGCUGCGGAAAGGUGCUGGGCCACGGGCGGAGCACAGCGUCGGGCCAGAAAGGAGAUGGCUGCUGCGAGGAAACAAAAGAAAAUGAACUGGGCUGCGACAGAGGAAAACUGGGCGUCGGCCAGAAAGAAGCUGCGUGCAGCUUGCUCUUGUUUCCGAACUAGAAACAGGAACUGACGGAAAGACAGAAAUCAAUUGGAGACUGAAACUGACGCCCCAGACUCUGAACUUCGAAAAAACAGGACAACCAGCCAACUGACAGAAAAAAAAAAGCUUAACAACCCAAAAGCAGUACACAACCACGAAACCAGGCCACAAGACUGAAAAAGCUUGAUAGGAACAUCUGGCGACUGAACCAAAAAACUACAGAACUGCAACUGAAGAACUAGAGAACAGAUAAAUAACUGAUUGAACUCUGAAACUGAAACACCAAAGAGCAGGAAGCUGACUGACGGAAAAUGCAAAACAGCAACCCAAGGUGAAACACAAAUUCUUCUUCAAGCAUUCAAACAAAGAGAUAUGCAACAGCAUGAAUGCUCAAUAAAAUCCUAUAUUUCAUUAAUUAAUUAGAAAAAAUGCUCAAAUGCCUAGAAAAAUGCAAAAGUGACCUUAUAUGCCUUAAACAAGCAAAUUCGUUUCUAGCGAUUUUUGGUAAAAUGCAAAAUUAGAGAUUUUGGGUGUUACAUCAUGUUGUGCUGAUAAGCAGCCUACUAUUCAGUAACACUUUCAUGUGGCAUGUUCAUGUUAGCUAGCUAGAAACACUGUGCUUUUAGCUUCAAAAUUAAAUUCAUGACAUGAUGGACAUUGACAAUGAAUUUCUUGAUUGCCGAGCUAUGUACACUGUAAUCACAUUGUGGGGCUGAUAAAAUAAGCAGCGUUGAGACACAUAACAAUUGAAUCUUAAGCUUCACACAGAAUCUGGACCAGUCAUCCUCAUUCCUGUCAUGCUGGAAAUGUCUUUGAUACAUUUCAAUCACAGGCAAUUGAAUUCGUACUGGGGAGGAUGGCAAUGGUGCAUGAAGAGAGAUCAAUGUGGCAAAUCUCACAUUGUUCAUUACCAGGUAUCUCCGAUUUCUGGUUAUUUUAAAUUUACCUUGACAUGUGACUUAUUGAGGUAUUGUAUUUCAUCUAAUGGUAGUUCUGAAUUUAUGGUAACCUUGGAUGGGGUUUGUCACUUUAUACACGCACGGACUUACAAAGGACAGCAAAUGAGUAUAUUUAGAGGGCUCCUGUCCAACCAUGGACUAUACUUAUGUACCCUUUUUUGACAUGGUAAUUUGAGGUUAAUGGAAAAGUAGCGAUAGUCGCCUCCAGCGAAGCUACCUUCUUCGAAAGCUCCGAGGCUGCUUUCUCGCUCUUAGCAAGCCGAUCCCUCGUAAUCAUCGAAGAGUAAGAGACCUACAGAUUUUAAAAACCAAGUUACCAAAAAUAACGAAGUAAAAGACAACACUCGCAAGACAAACCACCAAACUAUCUCAUAAUUGUACCUUCUUUACGAGGUUCGCCUCCAAGUUAAAGAGCUCUUCCAAGAUCAUUGACUUCACAGCUUGCUGAAAAUCUAUGCGCCAAAGGAUAUAGUCGUAAGCAUAAAAUAAAAAUUGGUAAAAACCAAGGACAGCAAAGCCAUCUACAAGCUGUUCUUACCCUCAUACUUUCGCACCUCAACGGCGAUCGGAACAACCUUCUCUCUAGCCUCGCCCUUAGACGCCACCACAAUCUUCCCGCCACACAAAUCCACAACCCCUCCUUUACCUUUGCCCUCUCCCGAAGUCGUCGUGCCCGCCUUCUCCACCCUUUUUGAACCGCCAACAUCUGCAUAGCGCUCGCAACCUUCACCUUCAGCCCCCCAGACCAAAGACAGGUUGUGAGGAUUAUAAACCCUACCUUCGGCGCAUGUAGCUAGAAUCUCCGUGCGCCCGCUCAAGCCCAGACACUCAUUCAGUCCCUGAAGCCCCGCCGGCAACCUCUCACCUACAUCAUAACAUUCAACUUUUAGCCUCACAUGAUCCUCACAACUAACCUUACCAACGCCCCCCAUAGUUUCUUCCAAGUCCUUCAAAAAUUUCGUUGAGGCCUCACCACAAUCAAAGAACCGUAGCAUCGAUAGAAACACCUCUACAUGCUUACCAGAUCUCACAGCUUCGGCACACCCACCCUUUGGAUCAGAUGAGAACGCAUCCACAAGCUUCGCCUUUUCGGUGGCAAACCCCCUCUCAAGUUUCCCAACAUCAGUCAAGAGAUGUUGCGCGCUCUUAAACUUCGAGCUUAUGGAAGGCACCGUGAUCUUGGUACCAGCUGCCGAAGACGCGUCAACCUUGGCACCCGUAACAGUAACAGGAGCAAAUCGAGGUUUCUUGGCGCCUCUUUUGAUCCGUGCGGCGGGCCCGGUGGAUGAAGGUGCAAGAGCUGGAACCUCCUUAGGAGGGCGCAUAGAGACAGGAACAACAUAUGCCGGAUUGCUCAAGUCGCCAGACGAAGCUGUCGACCACGAUGGCAACAUAGCAGACGAAGCCCCCGCGGUCAUUUCCUUCCUUUUUUGCGCCUCCAAAUUCAAGGUCUUUUGCUUCGCCUUAGCGGUCACUUGCAAUUCAAUAGUGAGCUUCACCAUGGGUACGAAGUCAAAUUUUGCCUUUUUCCUCUGCUCAAGACUAGCACCGCGACGGCGCCUCUUGCCCGUAACUUUGGGGUGAGGCAGAACCACAAUAUCAUACAAGUCAAAAAUCUAAGAUGAUGACAUUCCAUUUGUAUCCAUGAUUUAUAUUGUGUUCCUUGAAUAUCCAUUAAAGUCUACUUGAAUUGAUUUGCAAUUAUGUGAAUUGUAUGUGAAACUCUUUCCUUGUAUGGUUAUUCUAAAGUUGUCCCUAGUCGGAGUUCAUGUGAGGACACAUGAAUAUUAGACUAGCACAUGUAUUAGUUGAUGACUAUGUUUCACAAGUCAUGGACAUGAAGAUGUGGAACUAAUAAUGUGGGCACAUGUGGAGACACGUGCUAGGACUGACCCAACACGAGAAGUAGUUCUCUCUUUAUACAACAUAUACGCUUUGUCCUUAGACCUGAGAUUGUCGCAUGUACUCAAGAUGUGGAUCGACUUACUUAGGGGCUAUCAAAUUCUACGCCGUAACAGGGUAGUUAUAAAGGUAGCUUUCGGGUUUGUCAAGAAGCAUGCUAUGAGACAUGGUCAAUCAAGAUGGGAUUUGCCCCUCUCUGAUUGAGAGUGAUAUCUCUGGGCCCCUCGAGUGAUCGGAUCCGAAAAUGCAUGGCCAUGCUACAUACGAUUAAGAGUUAGCCUACAAAAGGAUUCCGAAUCAUAGGAUCGAGAAAGAGCGGUCGGCUUGAAGCUAGACCAAAUAUCGUGAGGCAAAGGGAAUAGCAUGUAUAUAAUGUUGUGAUGGUUCGUCUGAUAUGAUCUUCGUGUGCGUAUAGGAGUUGGCACGUCUUGCUAGAGGUCGCUACCGACUAUUGGGCCGAGUAGGAGUACUCAGGCCAUGUCUAUACGUAUCCGAACCCAUAGGGUCACACACUUAAGGGGCUGGAAGCCCAAUUCGGAUGUGAUCCGAAUUGGAUUAGGUUUAGAAGUACUAAUGGGCCUUGGACCUAGAGGCCCGUUAGGAACCUCUAUAAAUAGAGGGGUGGGGGCGCCCUAGGGUUUACACCUUUUUGGUGAAACACAUCUGCCGCGCCUCCCACGCCUUCGCCUGUUGCAACUCGCGGACCUAGCAGUCCGGCUUGCGACGCUUCCUCCCUGCACGUGUGGAUACCUUGGAAGUGUUGCUCCUGCAGCACUUGGACGAGCCGCCAACGAGCCACGACGAGCCACGAUGAGCCGACGAUGAGCCGCGGCACGAGGGGGAUCUUGCUGCACGUGGACGAGCUGCUGAGGAGCUGCUGGACGUCGAUGUGUUCGACUACGUACGACUACGCUGAUCGACUUCGCUGCAUCAACGCGAAUCUACAUCUUCCGCAUCAUUGCAUCGAGUGGUAAUCCCGUGAUCCUGAUACGGCAGUUUUCCUAGUUUACGCGGUAGAAAAUUUUGUUUUGUGCUAGUGUAGCCUAACUCAUAUCCCAACAACGUGUGCUAUAGGUCACGCAAGCCUGAAAAUGGCCACACCGGACACCGGGUACGAAAACAUGGGGGAUGGACCGAACAUUUGAAAAUGGCCUCCAUAUGUGUUUUCGGCUAUGAAAAUGUGUGUUAUAGGUCACAGAAGCUUGAAAACGGCCGCACCAGCCACUAGGGACGAAAACGUGGGGGAUGGACCAAAGACAUAAAAAAUAGCCUCCAGACGCGUGUUCGGCCAUGAAAACGUGUGGUAUAGGUCCUGGAAGGCCAAAAACAGCUACACCGGCCACCUGGGACGAAAAAGUUUGUGUAAGACCGAACACUUGAAAAUAGCCUCUGGACGCGUGUUCGGCUAUGAAAAGGUGUGUUAUAGGUCACACGAGCCCCAAAACAACCACAGCGAACACCAGCUACAAAAACAUGGGGGAUGGAUCGAAUAAUUGAAAAUGGCCUCCAGACGUUUGUUCGGCCAUGAAAUCGUGCGUUAUAGGUCGCGGGAGCCCGAAAACGGCCACACCGGCCACCGGGAAUGAAAAUGUGGGGGAUGGACCGAACAAUUAAAAAUGGCCUCCGGAUGUGUGUUCGGCCAUGAAAACGUAUGUUAUAGGUCACGGGAGCAUGAAAACGGCCGCACUGGCCACUGGGGACGAAACGUGGGGGAUGGACCGAAGACGUGAAAAUAGCCUCCAGACGCAUGUUCGGCCAUGAAAAUGUGUGCUAUAGGUCAUGCAAGGCCAAAAACAGCUGCACCAGCAACCGGGGACGAAACCAUGGCUGUCAAACCGAACGCUUGAAAAUCGCCUUCGGACGCGUGUUCGGAUAUGAAAACAUGUGUUGUAGGUCACGCGUGCCCGAAAACGUCCACAACGGACACCGGGUACAAAAACGUGGGGGAUGGAUCGAAUAACUGAAAAUGACCUCCGAACGCGUGUUCGGCCAUGAAAACGUGUGUUAUAGGUUGCGGGAGCCCAAAAAUGGCCACACCGGCCACCGAGGAUCAAAACGUGGGGGAUUGACCGAACAAUUAAAAAUGGCCUCCGAUUGUAUGUUCGGCCAUGAAAACGUGUGUUAUAGGUCAUGGGGGCCCAAAAAUGGCCGCACCAGCCACCAAGGACGAAAAUAUGGGAGAUGGACCAAAGACAUGAAAAUGGCCUCCAGAUGCAUGUUUGGACAAAAGUGUGUGCUAUAUGUCGUGCAAGGCCAAAAACAGCUACACCAGCCACCGGGACAAAAACGUGGGUGUUUGACUAAACAAGUGAAAAUGGCCUCCGGAAGCAUGUACGGCUAUGAAAAUGUGUGCUAUAGGUAAUGGAAGGCUAACAAAAGCUACACCGGCCACCGGGGACAAAAUCAUGGGUGUCAGACUGAACACUUCAAAAUGGCCUCCGGACGCGUGUCCGGCUAUCAAAACGUGUGUUAUAGGUCAUGCGAGCCCGAAAACAACCACACUGAACACCGGGUACAGAAACAUGGGGGAUGGACUGAAUAACUGAAAAUGGCCUCUAGACGCGUGUUCGGUCAUGAAAACAUGUGUUGUAGGAUGCGGGAGCCCGAAAACGGCCACACCGGCCACCAGGGCAUGGACCAAACAAUUGAAAAUGGCCUCCGGAUGUGUGUUCGGCCAUGAAAACGUGUGUUAUAGGUCACGGGAGCCCAAAAAUAGCCGCACCGACCACUGGGGAUGAAAUCGUGGGGGAUGGACCGAAGAUGUGAAAAUGGCCUCCAGAUGCGUGUUCGGCCAUGAAAACGUGCGCUAUAAGUCAUGUAAGGCUAAAAAUUGCUACACCGGGACUAAAGCAUCCCCCAUGAGUUACAAUAAAAGGAUUGUAUCCUCUACUCAGUCGGAUGUACUGUGUAGGUGAGAUGGUAAGGAAGCUAUGCGCGAGGUUUGAGGUUGUGGGUUGAAAUCCUACGCACCGCGCGCACACGCGCAUAUUUUGUGUGAAAAAUCAUGUGACUUGUGAUCGGCCAAGGAGAAGUGGGUGCAGCUGUGGCUUAAGUGGCUGAGGCACGCUGCCAUAGACAUCUCCGAUUUGCUCGAAGACUACCAAGACACUAGCAAUAACAAGAACUACUGCUCUUCCUAGCAGACUCUUUACAACCACUUUAAAGCUGUGCAUUUCUCAAUGUAAUUUCGUAGAAGGCAAUCGAUCCAACCAAGCGACUAAAUCAUUUGUUCUUGCCAAUGAUGUACAUCAGGUUUUCUAUAUGAAGGACAUGUCUAGCAAACCUAAGAUUUUAGAAGAAAAAGAAAAAUUAUGGGAGUCAAUAAUAAAUCAGGCCAAUCAGGAGAUUAUAGUAAGCUCGAUGGUAUGCCUCCAUUCGAUGUCGAAGUUGGCCCAAGCAUCAUGUUAGCCAAAGAUCAAAUGUUCGUGCAUUGCUACGGUAAAGAUCAAUUGUGUCUUUUAAACCCAUGGAAUUUUUUAUCUAUGUUUUUAUUACACUUAAUGGAUGUCUACACAUUUGCUAGAAAAUCAAAAUAAUUUUGACUUAAUUAUUUCUUUCAACUCAAAUACUCAUUAAAUUUCUACCUUUUUAUUUAAGCAAGAGAGUUGCUCAAAAAAUGGAUACGUAACCAUGUUGUAUCAUACAAAGCAACCACAUUUCACAUAUAGUCUGGCUUAGCAAACACCAUUGUUGUCUUAACAUAGUGUUCAUGAGUUAGUAGACAUGGAUCUAUUUCUAAUUGCAAGUAGUGCAGCGUACAACCAGCCUGCACCGCCGCAGCUCAAUAUGCGAUAAUUUUUUAUCUUCCCAUGUAAUUUUUCUACUCUAGUACAUAUUGAACUCCACAUAAAUGUCAUGUUCUUUCACGCCACAGACGGUUUCUAAAGUUUGGAACUAAAUAGAUAGCCAAAAAUUUUAAAAAAAUAUUUAUAUGGAUACAUGUAUGUUCUUUGCAAACUAACAAUAUUGUUUACAAUAUCAAAAGGAAUAUGGCUAUGAUCAUUGCCGCAUAUGGCAGGUGAUGGUAGAUGCCGUAUGGGGUUUCUUUAACUUAAUUGUAUAAUAAGCUGAAAUACAUUUUCUAUUUGCAAAUGAAUCAUAGCUGAAAGUGGUGGGAUUGUAGAACCGCCGGCCAUCGUGUCCUUGUAGGACCGCUGCACGAGCCUGUGAGCCACCAGCCACCAUGCGCCCAAGGGCCAUCACCACGCCAUAAGAGGAUGCUGUCUACCCGGUUUCGCGCGCCUGUGCUAGCUGCCUGAACCUGGGCCGCCGCCGGUCGCCUGCCCAGCCGCGCGUUGCGCCAGGGUUUUGCUGGUGACGACCAUGGCCUUCGCGAUCAAAUUAAAAAGUUAUCAACUGCAAAGUAUUAGGUCUCGUUGAGCUCUACAAUUUUGAUAUAAAGUUUCUAUUCAUCCGAGAUCAAAUAAAAAAUUUGAUACUCAAAGCAUAAAUCCAUUAAUCUAGUCUUGCUAAUCCUUACCACCAAAUAAAAAACUAGCAUGUGUUGUGUGUUUGUGACCCUAAACGAUCACAAAUGAAUAACUUAUGGGCCUUGCUAGCGCCCGGAUGUCCAGGCCGGGGCACUAGCAUCAGACCCACGAGUAGCCGUCCGAUCAGGUUCGACACCACUUCAGGAUCUGGCUUAAAAAGAAGUCCCACCGAAACAUUGUUCCAUGUUGCAUGAAGCAACCCACUACCGUCGCCAGGUCUAGAGCAAGCACCACCUUCAAAUGUGCUGCUCACCCUAGCUAAAUAGGGGCAUUAAAAUAUUUCUCGCAUAUCCUUCUCAAAUUAAACAAAAUCGCAACAUCUGAAAAUUUUUACAGAAAACCAUGAAACAUAUCGAUUAGAUAGAUGUAACAAGAUGGAAUAUGGUAUAUGCAACAUAUAGGUUCCGAAAAGCAGAUGAAAUAUUAUGUAAUGAUUCUUGAAACAGUCAAGAAAAAUAGAUGUAACAUCUAAAAUUAAGAAAAGAAGCUUUAUGCAAAUUGCAAAAAGCUGAAACAAGUGGUUGAAACAUUUCAAAUCACCAAAUGCCACAUUUGAAAUGACCAGAUGAAACAUCACGAAAUCAAUUGCAACAGUUGAAGAUGAAAACAUUCAAAUGCCUUGCCUUUCUCCAAAUUUGACCCUCCAAGCAUGAGUCCAGCCAUUUGCACAUUAGACCCUUGGGAGGAGCUCACCGGAGAACAACAAGACCGUGUUAUCCAACAAUUUUCAGAUCAAAUUGCAACAUAAAGAACAAAGCAUUGCAACAUCUGGCAUCACGAGCUACAACAGCAACCAGUUAGGAUCAGGAGAAAGAGGGCAAACACAAGCCUAACAAUGAGUUAUAUCCGGUUUAAACAAGGAUAAAAAUGAGUGUAUUUUACACUCAUCAUGUUGUCUUUUCGCAGCUGUACCGCCUUUAGCGUGUUGUAUUGUUCCUAACACCAAGUCUCCGAGGCCCGAAAAAAUAAGGAAAGUGGUAGCAGCUCAGAAAUCGACUAAGUUUCUUUCCCCCUUUGGCUUUCCUACUAGGAUUCGGAAUCCUCUUUCGUAUGACAAUCUUAAUGAUCUCCCAUAGUCCAAAACUCACAAAAACAUCAAAAAUCCACCGAGAAUAAAUUAAGUAAAAAAACAUGCACACACAGAUAAUAAUAGUAAUCAUGUUUCAUUAUGAUUGCUAAGGUCAGACACAAUACAUAAACAUAUUAGACUGAGUGACCCACCUCACCUCAGAGUAUGCACCAUGUCUGAGUGACCCACCUCACCUUGCCAGGACACUGGUCCUGCCCUCGUGGUUCACGCGCCCUCGUGGUUCAGCAGUGGUCAGUACACAAAUCUAGCUGCCAGUCGGAUCCAAGGGCAGGCAUUUGCAUUGUGGUUGUGUUUGAACAUGGAGAUGUCAUUAUUAUUGUCAGGCACCAUACAUCCUCUCUCAGUUUCACUCCGCCUCACACACGGAUAGCACACCAGGGACCCGACACCAUGCAUGCCGAUUUCAUAUUAUUAAUAUUUAAUUUUUUUAAUGGUUGUUGAAACUAUAUUGUUGAUAUUUUUAUACAUAAUUUACGACCUAAUUUGGAUAUAUUUUUGAAAUAUUCCGAAAUCUUAAAUUCACACGUCUAGAGAUACAGUUAGUCCAAUCUGAUGUUUCCGAUUAUAAAAAUGAACAUAAAGAGAUAGGAAGCGAGAGACGUGAGGGGGAAAGUUAAAUUAGGGCCUAAGGGGUGAAGUUAGGGUUCCAGGUGAGCUGUCAUCACUACGUGUUUUUAAUCGAAAUUGGAAUGUCAGCAAUCGUCAGAUCUUGAGCCAACAGUUGAGACUGCCUCGGAAUGGUAAUUAGGUCUGCGCGAGCUUGCAUUGUGGCCUUCCUUGAAACCUUGGACAUAGGUGUUAUAUUAUUAUGUUCUUGCCAGCACACAGCAGUGAAGGACGACACAGUUGAGAUGUGCAUCACAUUUUCUAUAUGAAGGAUAUGUUUAGCAAACCUAAGAUUUUAGAAUAAAAAGAAAAAUCAUGGGAGCCAAAGCGCCACAUAGUUCUUCCAGGUAAAAAAAAAUCAUCCACUGGACCAGCACAUAGUAACGAUCCAAAAAGUCCAUAUUAAGAUUUUUUGAUAGCAGAAAAAACAUAAAAUGUCUAAUAUUUGUAGUAUUAAAAGGAAAAAUAAUAUAUUCACGUGACCUUUUUCCCGUAGCAAGGCACCGGUACGUGGUCAGACUUAAUGCACGAUGCCUAAGCAUCCAUUGGGCCUACCCUCGUGUGGAUCACGCGCAACAGGACACGGCUCACAAGCUAUGAUGUGCAGCAGUCGCUCAGAUGGCUGAAAGGUACCCUUAAUUUGAAUGGUACCAUAUAUAUAUAUAUAUAUAUAUAUAUAGUAAACAAGACAAACCACCGUUGAUACUACUUUGCACUACUUGAUACAUAUAUCUCCACCAAAAGCGAGGCACGUGGGGAGGAGAGAUAUGUGGUUGAUGGUGCGGGCACGUGGCGAGUGCACCGUACGAAAAUUUUGCUCGUGUCGGACGACUGAUGUGAAGCAUUACCCAAUCUUAAUUAUCUCCCAUAAUCCAAAACUCACAAAAACAUCAAAAAUCCGCCGAGAAUAAAUUAAGUAAACCAUGCACACACAGAUAAUAAAAUUGCUAAUAAGGCCAGAGACAAUACAUAAACAUAUUAGACUGUUCAUGACACAUAUCACGGUGGAUAGUGUCUGUGUCCUUAUUACAAGCAAUGAGAGAUGCUUGUCACCACACACACGCGCACAGAUGCACAACAUACAUAUAGUUGAGACCAACAGAUGGAUCAACUAGAGGUCACCCCAUAUGGUGAACAAUUUAUUGGAGAUAAACAUUAACAUAACUUGGCCAUAGCUUGAAGCAUAGCAACAUAUGCCUAUGAACGGCGUUCAUGCUAUCAUUUUAGGCUUGUCCGCUUCUUCCAUCUUAGCAAGCACUUCCAUUUCUACCAUCUUAGAAGCAACUGUCAAAUUGAGAUAUGGAAAUCCCAUUAGCGCAUGAGUUAAUUUUGCAGUGAAAAUAGAGUACAAGAUAUCUUCAUGAUGUAAGUAACAUGCCUGAAGUUGUGAGAUGGGAAGUGAAGUCAACAAAUUACAUUAACGGAAAUGCAUGGAAGGCCACACAUACGUAUUAGUCCAUGAUAUGCUACAAAGCUUGUAUGUACAUAUAGCAAAUUAAAUGCAUUAAUUGAAUAGAGUGAGUUUAGUGAAUUUACCAGAAUCGUCCAGAAAACAUGGGAAACAGCAAGUGUUCUUGCAGACUGCGUCGGUGCCACCCACAGCAAUACAACCAAAACAACAUGCUUUUGCCCGAGCGGCUGCGCAGCAGCCGCACUCUGCCGCGGUGGCCGAGUUAGCAUUGAGGCUCAAGAUGACCAGGCACAUGAUCACCAUCAAAGCGGUGGUAGUCCUCUUUCCCUCCAUUGCCUCCUCUUGCUGCUACCUUCCUUGGUUACCUAGCUAAGUUUAUUGGUUUUGUGUUGAGAGGUGAUUCUUGCAUUGAAUGGACGUUGCCGCGGCUGCAAUUUAUAGGCAGCUGCGCUAUGUGAUGAUAUGGACAAGGUGCAAAUGGGUGGUCCUGAUAUGGAUAAGGUGCAUGCGAAUGGCUGUCUACUUGUAUAGUGGCGCUCCAAUGUACAUACGUAUGUAUCUUAUGCAUGUAUACAGUUGAUGGAUGUACAUGUUUGUUGCACAAAUUAUUCUGAACCAACUCUUCAUAACAGGUCUUUGUUACCAAGUAAUUUUACUUUUGCACGUUUCAGCCGAGAGGCAGAAGAGAAUAUUUUACAGAGAGGGCAGAGAAGGAGGUUGGCGGAGGCGCCGUGGUAGGGUUCCCCGUGUCGCCAAGAUUUUUGCAUUUUAGAUGUGUGUAUUGAUCACUUCGUCGUGCUCGCGGGGCCCAACUCCAGGUUGUACCCCAGCAGACCACGUUCUGUUUCUCUGCCUCCAAUGAGCAUGCAUGCCUCCACAAGGACCACAAGACUUAGUAAAAAAGCUAAACUUUGCAACACGAUGUAUACAGAACGUUUUGAAAUGUACUCUCGUUAGGCAUUCACCUCCUUAACAAUCACUGCGACUGUAAAAGAGGUACAUCGACGCUAGCUAAAUAAACCACUAUAAGAUUUAGCAAGAGAUCAUUUUAUACAAUCCUGUAACGAAACAAUUUGACAAUUAUAGUGUCCAUAUAUUUUGACAAAAAAACGUUUAAAUUAUAUAAGGAGGUGGGCCCGAAAACGGUUGGAUUACAUCGAGAACGUUUUGAAACAGUUGGCGGAGCAGGAUUCUGGCGUGGAGCAUCUACAUUGUCGCGCGCGCGGACUGCCGGAGUAGGCACGCUCGACUUGUCCCAUCGCCAGCUAAAUGAUUUAGUACCGGAUGGUCUCUAGUACCGGUUGGAGCUACCGUCCACCAGGAGCUUUUCUAGUUUGGAACUGGUACUAAUGCUAAUAUUAGUAUCAGGUCAAAAACAAUCGGUACUAAGGCUAGGGAUGACACGUCAUUUUUCUAGUAGUGUGUGCAAUUGGUUUUGUAAUUAGUCUAUAUUUAAUACUUCUAAUUAGUAUCUACACAUUUUAUGUGACAGGGACUGAACUUUAGUCCGUGGAACCAAACACCCCAUAAGUAUGUUUGGUGCUGUAAGGAUUUCGGUUUUAUUUAAUUUCCUAGGCAUUUAAAUUUCUUUCUAAAAUAAGUUAAUGAAUCAUAGGAUCUCAUUGUUGUAUUCAAGCUGGUGCAUUGAUUUUGCCUAUAAAACCCGCCGCGGUCUUCGCAGCCCCCAUCAAACCCUAGCGCCCUUGCCACAAGCUCAGCACCGCUGCCGCCCGAGCUCGAGCACUAGCACCCACCCAUCGCCGUUGCCUUCCCGUCGAUGGGAUCACCGCCCGGAGCUUCGCAUCGUGGUAAGGAAGCCGCCCGUGAAGAUCCCAUGUGCUCCUAUGCCCUCUACCGCGUCCCCGAGUUCCCGGAGUUGCUAGUCUCCCACCGAGCCGACUCUCCGAGCUUCACGUCACUGGUGCCGCUCCGAAGACCUAGUUCGGUUCGCCAUGCACCUCGCUUCAUCCUGAGCUAAACCCCAUAAUGAAUGGUGGUCGGAUGCUCGCCGCCACGGCGCGUCGUCUUUUCUGUCGCCCGUGCAUUGCCUAUCCCCUUCCAGCCGAUUGCAGCUGUCCGAUCGCAAACCGGUGGCCCUGAUCGGAUACCAAGGUCAAUACCGGUCGAACCGAGCCGUGCGCUGCUUUUGCAAGAAGGCCCCUGUUUUUCUCUCUUUUUGCACCUGAGGUCCUACGCAGUUCAAAAGUAAUAAGAUCUAGGUCCUUUUUCUUUUGUUUUAGCCCGUGUUCUUUUAUAAAAUCCCGCCCACUAUUCUGUUUGGUCUUUUGACGCGUUAGACCUUCUUUUUAUAUGUUUAAUUAGGUUUUAGGUCUCGAUUUCUUUAAGUUUAGCCCUUGAAAGUUUAGUUCUCUCGCAGUUAAGCCCCUGAACCUUGUUUAGCUCAUAUCUUAAGCGUUUUAAAUCCGUUUUAACAGAUUCUUGCGCCUAUAAGUUCAUGUUGACGCAUAGAUUAGUUGACUUAUACGAACCUUGCUGAUUCAGCUCCUUGAUUGUGCUUCAGAUCUCGCUAGGGAAGAAUAAUGGAUGGGCUUUGGUUGAGCUUGUAGAUCGACUUGCAGUUGCAGUGAAUGAGCAGAGGAUUGGCAGUGAAUAAGAUCAGGCCGCUGCCCUGCUUGGUAGGGAAAAUAUCUGCUUGCUACCAAGGCCUGUGACGCAUGGACCCCAUUGAGAGUGCAUUAUUGACAAGGACUUAAAGCCAAGGGCUCCACACCUGUCAUUGAUCAGCUGUCUGCUGGGCGCUGCAAGGAGGUAGUGCAUGUUUGACAUAAAGAAGCAGGUGGCCCAGGAUUUACGAAAAAUAAGGAUCUAUUUGAUACCCUUGCUUAUAUUUAGGGGCUAAAAGUUGCUUAUUUGAAGUUGCUUAUUUUUAAUCCUAGCUGUUUGAUUGCAUGGGCUAAAGAGCAUUGAAUGAGGUGGAUAUUGUCAUGUUUGCCUCUAAUGAUUGCUUCCCAUCACAUUUCUCCCCCCUCAUUCAACGAGGGAAGGAGGUGUAAAGUGCACCUUUUAGCCCCGAUAAGUAACCCUUGUGUUGUUUACGGGCUGAACAUAAGUAGCUAAAGUUUAGCUCCAAUAAACAAGAGUGUUUGGUAUUUUUGGGGUUAAAAGGGGCUAAACUUUAGCUGCUUAUGCAUAAGCAAGGCCAUCCAAAUAGGCCCUAAGUAUGUUUGGCGUUGUAAGUAGGUUUUAUUUAAUUUCCUAGGCAUUUAAAUUUCUUUCUAAAAUAAGUUAAUGAAUCAUAGGAGUUCAUUGUUGCAUUCACGCUGGUGCAUUGAUUUUGCCUACAAAACCUGCUGCCGUUUCCGCAGCUCCCAUCAAACCCUAGCACCCCCGCCACGAGCUCCAGCGCCGCUGCCGCCCGAGCUUGAGCACUAGCGCACACCCAUCGCCGUCGCCUUCCUAUCAAUGGGAUCACCGCCCGGAGCCCGUGUCAUGGUAAAGAAGCCGCCCGUGAAGAUCCCGUCCACUCUCGUGCCCUCUACCGCGUCCUCGAGUUCACCGGAGUUGCCAGUCUGCCACCCAGCCGCCUCUCCGAGCUUCAUGUUGUCGUUGCCACUCUAGCUGCCUCUCUGAAGACCUAGAUCGGUUUGCCGUGCACCCCGCUUCAUCCUGAGUUAAACCCCAUCAUGCCACGUCAUAGUAAGGAAGCUGCUCAUGAAGAUCCCGUGCGCUCCCGUGCCCUCUACCGCGUCCCCAAGUUCACUGGAGUUGCUAGUCCACCACCGAGCCGCCUCUCCGAGCUUCACUUCACAGUCGCUGCUCCAGCCACCACUCUGAAGACCUAGAUCAGUUCGCUGUGCACCCCACCUCAUCCUGAGCUAAACCCCAUGACGAACUGUGGUCGGAUGCUCAUUUUCGAGUGAAUUCCGGCGAGAUGGUCGCCCGCCGCCGCCAUCUCCAUCGCCCAUGCACCGCCUGUCCCCUUCCAGCCGAUGUCCGAUUGCAAACCGAUAGCCGAAAUCGGAUGUGGUCACCAGGAUUAAUACCAGUCAAACUAAGCCACGCGUGCCGCUUUUGCAAGAAGGCCCCUAUUUUUCCCUCUUUUUGCACUUGAGGUCCUAUGCAGUUCAAAAGUAAUUAGAUCAAGGUCCUUUUUCUUAUGUUUUAGCCCUAUUCUUUCAUAAAAUCCCGGCUGCCAUCCUGUUUGAAAUAGAUACGGUUAUAGAUAUGCAAACAUCUGCAUAUUUCCAACCGUAUCUCUUUCGAACGGGAGACGCCUAACUAGGUUACGUGACAUACGAACAUCAUACGGAUAGAGAGGGGUAGGAUGUCUCACCUUGCUAUCCUACAAAGUGACGACUCGAGGACAGUAAUGUAGCCUCUCCUUCAAAAAAAGAACAUACUACUAUCAAGUUAAAUUUUUGACAGCACCUCCCCUGCACGUGGAGGUUUCCAUAACCUGCAUCAAAUAAAACGGCACGAUGGCUGACAACCACAUCUACAGCACCAGAAUGGCACGAUGGCCGACUUCCACAUAAAGUUCUUAUACCUUAGAUUGCCAAGUCAAACAUCCUUUUCUAAUUUCUAAAACAAAAGCCCUCCCACCUCUCUAUCUUAUACUUUCCUAUUUACUAAUUGCUUUUGUAAUUUCUAAUUUCUAUUUCAUCCUACCACCUCUGUACCCUUUUCUCAUUUCUAAUUCCAAUUUUCUAACUUGAAGAGCAAAGAUUGAUUACUAGGAGGGGUGAGGGACGCCGGCCUAGAGAGGCGAGGGGACGUCCGGCGGCGGCGGGUGCGUCGGGGGUAGGAUGCCAGGGGCGGCUGCAGGGGCGCCGGGUUGGGGGCGGCCGGGAUCGAGGGCACCAGUAGCGGGGGCACCGGGCCGGGGGCGGCCGGCGGGGCGGGACGCCAGGGCCGGGGCGACGGGCGCCGGUGGCGAGGCCGCCCGGCCGGUGGUGGCCGGCGUGGCGCCUGGGCCGGGGGGGGGGGGCGGGCGGGGUGCGGCGCGGCGCGCCGGGGCAGGGCGCCGAGGCUGGGUGGUGGGGUACGGGGCGGCGGGCGGGGGGUGGGGGGAGGGUCGGCGGCGGGGCGCGGGGGCGGCCAGCGGCGACGGCGGAGGGCGUCGGUGGUGUUUCGGAAGUGAUACGGAGGGGGUAGAGAGAUUCGUUUUCGCGGCUGAGUGUUCGAGUCAGAAGGCCGUGCGGCUUAAGUCAGGUGGUUUGCCGAGUGCGCGCGAUCUGGCACUCGGCAAAGUCAGAAGUUUUGCCGAGUGUCAGAUCGCGGGCACUCGGCAACUGCAGCUUUUGUCGAGUGCCCUGGAUUCGGCACUCGGCAAAGUGAAGUUUUAAUUUUUUUUAAAAAAAUUUAAUCGGAACACGGGCGUGCCAGCGGGCCCGUGACAUACUUUGCCGAGUGUGUAGCAAAAACACUCGGCAAAAUAUUAUCUUUACCGAGUGUUUUCGCUAGGCACUCGGCAAAGUACACUUAUAUUUCAUGUACACUUUUUCAAUAACGUGUUUUACUAACCUUUUUCUGAUAUACUUGGGAAAAACCUUAUCAAAUUCACUCAACAAUGGAUAUAUGGUUUUUCUACUGACAUUAUUCCAUUAUUUCAUUCAGUUAUAGCUCAAAUUGAAUUUAUAUCUAUUAAAAAUCAAUAAUUGCAUUUAAUAAAUAAAAAAUACCAAACGGAUCUGAAAAAUUUCCAAAAUUUGACAUGAACCAAUCUAUGUUGUAUGUUGCCUGUACAAAAAGCUUUGAAGUCAAACCCCAAUUCAAGUGUCACUUGGACUCCAAAUCUUAUCGGAUCCUUUCUAACUUCUAUGAAUCCUUUCGGGAGAUGAGUCGGUUUGUAAGCAUCAUAUGUCAUAAAUUGGGCGAAACCUUCUCAAUUUUUUACCACAGCCUCCACAUAUAAUAUCAUGACACCUUGACAAAUCUUGUGAUUUUCAGACUUCGUUUGCUUUUUUUAGAAUUUAACAACCAUUCAACCACAUGUUCGUGAUCGUGUUUUCUAAAAAAAUGUUCAAAAUUUCUUUUCAUUUCCUGGUUGAGACCUCAAUCCGGAUUGAAUAAUAUGAAUAUGAUUUUUUCACUGAUUUUAAUCCAUUAUUUAAAUCACUUGCAGUUAAAUUUGACUUAAAUAAACAAAUUCCUAUUAAUGCUAUCAAUUCAUUAAAAAUAGCAAACAGAGAAAAAAUAGACCAACUUUUAAGAUGGAUUACCAAAUGUCAUAUGUGGGGAGUAGAAAAAGUGUGGAGAGCAGAGGUGGAAAAAAAAGUUUUGCCUUUGCCAAGUGCCUACACAAACACUCAACAAACUUUGCGGAGUGCCUAUUGAAAACACUCAGCGAACUUCUGAGUUUGCCGAGUGUCUGGAGGGAGCACUCGGCAACCUACUUAUUUGCCGAGUGUCCGCGUCGGACACUCAGCAAAGUACUAACGGCUGGCACACUCCCCUAACGGACGGCGCACGUGCAAGCCAUGUGCUGGAGAUUUAUCGAGUGUCAAAUCGUUGCCGAGUGUCGUGUGGAUGUUUGCCGAGUGUCUUAUUUGUGACACUCGGCAAAGCUAUUGUUUGCCGAGUGUAUUAUUUAUGCCGAGUGUCUUCCAGUAUACACUCGGCAAAUGAUGUCUUUGCCGAGUGCUCGACAUAAAGCACUCGGCAAAAAUUUUACACUCGGCAACAUUCCUGUUUCCGGUAGUGAGUGACCCGGGACUAAAGACCCCCGUUGUCUCUGAUUGCUUUAUUCCGGAUGGAUUUUCAGGAGAUUUGCUCCCUACCAAUAGGGACUAAAGGCAAGUUUUCCACUUAUAGCAAACCAGUUAGCCCAUUGUUGAUGGAACGCAUCACUAGAAACAGCUCGGGAUCCACUUGUCCAAUAAUCGAGAGGGCCUAUAUAUGGACCACGUGUGCGGAUCCCUAAUUAGGAAAAAAGAAUAAUGGAGUAGGACAUCUCCAUGCUCACCUAGUAGCCGCUGCUAGCUUGUGCGUGUGGAACACGAGUGCCGGCCCAGUUGGCGCUAAGACAUCGUACGUGCAUUAAGGCUACGAUCUCUUUCUUCUAACUCAUGCUUGUGCUAUUAUACAUUAUUGCAUGAUCAUCAAGAUAAGAUCGUAUAGUGACUGAGUGAGACAUGUAUGUACUAACAUGCAUUUAAGCCUCGAACUGUGUGUUGUUACGUGAGCUGCCUCCUCACCUCGCCUCUGAAUUAUUGAACCGUUUCCAACAGUGUUGGUCUCAAAUAAAUUUGACACCAAACAGAUUUAUGAAGAAGAGAGAAUAAUACUUGGAAUUGGAAAAAGUUUAUCUCUCUUUACAAUGGAGUAGGGCUCCCUUUUAUAGUGACCCAUAAGCCACUUUACAUUUGGAAAAUGUCCUUCCUCAACCACUACAUUAAUUCCUAGGAUAUGCUGUACAUAAAGGUCAUUUGAGGUAACGUGUACAAAUGAACUCUUCCACAUGGUCACGUUUCUCAUGCCUCCUGUUUUCCAACCUCGAGACAUCAUCUUCACGCCAAGUUGAUCAUCUAGCCUCGAGGCUCCAUCCACGAUCCAGAAUGAACGUCCAGGCUUGAGGCUCCUUCUUCGUUAAGCUUUGUUGAGAACUCAUAACCUCACAUAGUUCUCCUCCGAGUAUUGUUCCCGACUCAGAACACUCGAGGUUUAGCUCAGUUGGAGUUUAGCUAUUACUGUUGCUAGUCACCAGCCUCGAGCCCCUCCAGAAGCAAGGUGAUGCGAGGGUACGAGUUUUACUAUUAAAGGUGUUUCCAUAGAAUGUGCGAGGUUAAAGCACUUGCAGCAAAAGCGUGGAGCUGCUUUCAACCAGAGUGCAAUAAUGCAGCCGUGCCCAUCUUGGUCUUGGUCUCCGCCUGAACUAUAGCAGAUGCUGGCAGCGGUAGCAGGGUGGUCCAUUAUAUCUAUGGAUGGCAAUGGUCGGAUUCGGAUGGAAUCGAAUUCGAAUAGCACUUUUUACCACAUACUAAUUCAAAUCCGAAUUCGGAUUCGGAUGUUCUCGAAUGCGAAUGCAAAAUGGAUGGUUCGAAUUCGAAUACUUAGCGGAUUUUUGCAUAAUAUUAAUCGAAUAGAAUUCAUUAAAUUUAGCCAAGAAAUUAAAUUUUCUGAAAUUAAAUACUUUCCCUUCGCCCCAGCGGCGGCCUAACUCCCAGGACGGUGGCGUGCGGGGCCCGAGCAUCCCUGGCCUCUAGUGGCGUGGCGGGGCGGCAUCCAGCAGCAGCGGCGGGGCUCGGCCUCCGGUGGCGCGCGGCCAGCCCGACCUACCCGGUCAGAGGUGGCGCAGCGGUGCGCGGGCCUCCCCGACCAGAGCCGGUGGGGAGCGGUGCGCGGGGAGGACCUCCCCAGCCGGAGGUAGCAGGGCGCGACCUCCCCGGCCGGAGGUGGCUCCCUGUGGGGGCGCGGCCGUGACAGCUAGCGAGGCAAUAAUUGCUUCCGUACGCAGCAAUAAUUGCUUGUGCGACACCGUGUUAUUACUCUGGUACAGUACUCCCUCCGUUGCAGUACACUGGUCCAGGCGUCAGGACACUGCUCCUGCCCUCGUGGUUCACGUGCAUCAGGCCAGCAGACAAGCUAUGAUGUUGCCAACAGUGUUUGUUUGAACAUGGAGAUGUCAUUGUGAUUGUCAGGGACCCGACACCAUGCAUGCCGAUUUCAUAUUCUUAAUAUUUAUUUUUUUAAUGGUUGUUGAAACUAUAUAGUUACUCCAAUAUCACGUUUCCGAUUAUAAAAAUUAACAUAAAGAGAUCGGAAGGGAGAGCCCGCAUAAUGAAGCCGACGCGUAUAAUAAGCACUAGAGCCGGCAUUUAUACAAACGGGUACGCAUAGUAAAAACUAGAAUUUAUAAAUAAAUGAAGAUAUUCAAAUAUCUGGCUUACUUUUUUCAUUAAUUUUGCAUGAAUAAGGGAUGAUUCAUUAAUCAUUAUUGAACAAAUUGGCACACAUGCUUCGUGCCCGCGUUGUGAGCAUUAUGCGAUGCCACUGAGCUGCACCACCACGGUAGAGGGCCUGUUUGCGAUGCCACCGAGCUGCACCACCACGGCAGAGGGUCUGUUUGGGAAGGGGAAGUUAAAGUUUAACACCCCCCAUUUAACACCUUUUUAACAAAAUGGCUGCUAAACACUUGUGUUAAAAGAGUAGUGUUAAAAUUUAACACCUCUCUUUUCAUAAACACAUGGAGGGGGUGUUAAAAUUUGCUAAAUGUGUUAAAAGUGGUCCCCUCCCCACUUAUUCCUUGGUUGCCCCCCUCUCUCUCCUCCUCUCUCUCCUACCCGCCGCAUUUAAGAGCAUUAUUGAGGGGUAAUGCAGUCCUUUUCCAACAAAAGUGUUAAACUUUAACAACCCUUCCCAAACAUGCCACAAGCAACACCACCGGCUGACUGUGCUAGCGGGGAGCACCCUCACCGCCUGCCCGUGGGGACUUCUUCUGCCGGCCAUCGUGUCUUUGUAGGACCGCCGCGUGAGCCUAUGAGCCACCGGUGGCCGUGCGCCCAAGGGCCAUCACCAUGCCACCUGAGGAUGCUGUCUACCCGGUGCCGCGUGCCUCUGCUAGCUGCUUGCACCUGGGCCGCCGCUGGUCGCCUGCACAGCCACGCGUUACAGCCGCCCCCCUGCGCUGGGCCACCCCAUUUCGUGUUGGAAGAACUGCCACAGUCUCGCGCACUGGGGUUUUGCUAGUGACGACCAUAGCCUCCAAGAUCAAAUGAAAAAGUUGGUACUCAAAACAUACAUCCAUUAAUCUAGUCGUGCUAAUCCUUACCACCAAAUAAAAACUAGCAUGUGUUGUGUUUUUGUGACCCUAAACGAUCACAAAUGAAUAACUUAUGGGCGUUGCUAGCCUAUAAGUUAUGGGCGUUUGUGACCCUAGUCGCGCCGGGGUCUUGCUGGUGACAACCAUGGUCUUCGCGAUAAAGUAUUAAGUCUCAUCGAGUUCUACAAUUUUGAUAUAAAAUUUCUAUUCAUCCGAGAUCAAAUGAAAAACAAAUGAAAAAAUCCGAAGUAUUAGGCUUCAUCGAGCUCUACAAUUUUGAUAUAAAAUUUCUAUUCAUCCGAGAUCAAAUGAAAAAAUCCGAGAUCAAAUGAAAAGUUGGAACUCAAAACAUACAUCCAUUAAUCUUGAUAUAAAAUUUCUAUUCAUCCGACAUCAAAUGAAAAAGUUGGUACUCAAAAUAUACAUCCUUUAAUCUAGUCGUGCUAAUCCUUACCACCAAAUAAAAAAACUAGCAUGUGUUGUGUGUUUCUGACCGUAAACGAUCACAAAUGAAUAACUUAUGGGUGUUGCUAGCGUCCCGGACGCUAGCAUCGGACGCAUGAGCAGCCGUCCGAUCGGGUCCGACACCACUUCACGAUCUGUCUUAAAAAAAAGUCCCACCGAAACAUUGUUCCAUGUUGCAUGAAAUACCCCACUAUCCAUCGCCAGGUCUACAGCAAGCACCACCUUCCAAUCUGCUGCUCACCCAAGCUAAAUAGGGGCAUUAAAAUUGCAGAAAUAUGUCACAUAUCCUUGUCAAAUUAAACUAAAUCGCAACAUCCGAAAAUUUCUUACACAAAACCAUGAAACAUAUCGAUUAGAUAGGUGUAACAAGAUGGAAUAUGGUAUCCAACAUAUAGAUUCCGAAAAACAGAUGAAACAUUAUGUAACGAUUGUUGAAACAGUCGAGAAAUAUAGAUGUAACGAUUAAAAUUUAGAAAAGAAGCUUUAUGCAAAUUGCAAAAAGCUGAAAUAAGUGGUUGAAACAUUUCGAAUCACCAAAUGCCACAUUUGAAAUGGCUACAUGAAACAUCACGAAAUCAAUUGCAACAGUUGAAGAUGAAAACAUUCAAAUGCCUUGCCUUUCUCCAGAUUUGACCCUCCAAGCAUGAGUCCAGCCAUUUGCACAUUAGACCCUUGGGAGGAGCUCACCGGAGAACAACAAGACCGUGUUCUCCAACAAUUUUCUGAUCAAAUUGCAACAGACAAAACAAAGCAUUGCAACAUCUGGCAUCACGAGCUACAACAUCAACAAGUUAGGAUCAGGAGAAAGAGGGAAAACACAAGCCUAACAACCCCAAGACAAAACUGAUGUACUCAUCAUACAUCACGGCUUGCCGUGCACAGAGAUGAAGGCCGCCAAGCUCAAUCGAGACAGAGACGACGUGAUAGUGCUCCAGAUCGACGGUCCCCAUCAAUUGUUGCGUACACUGCCAAAAGCAAUGGAAGAAGAAGGGUCGUCCCUGCUCGACCUCCGUAGAUGAGCGCAGAUUGGGGGAAACCGUAUAGAGUGCCGCUGACAGCACAGGCGAGGGGGCUCAGGCUUGAUUCAGGGUGAGGGUAGCGGGUAGCAUGAGGAGACAGUCAGGUUUCAUAGGAGAGAGGCGGAGUAGAGAGCUCUGGUGACUCGGUGAGGAGGGUGCGGCACGGAGAAAGGUGUGUAGCUGAAGGAGCUACAUGGUUGGGGCGAGGCGAGCGUAGAGACUAGAGAGGGAAAAAAAGCAUGGGGAGGAGACGAUAUGUGGUUGAUGGUGCGGGCACGUGGUGAGCGCACCGUAUGAAAAUUUUGCUCGCGUCGGAUGACUGAUGUGAAGCAUUACCCAAUCUUAAUUAUCUCCCAUAAUCCAAAACUCACAAAAACAUCAAAAAUCCGCCGAGAAUAAAUUAAGUAAACCAUGCACACACAGAUAAUAAAAUUGCUAAUAAGGCCAGAGAUAAUACAUGAACAUAUUAGACUGUUCAUGACACAUAUCACGGUGGAUAGUGUCUGUGUCCUUAUUACAAGCAAUGAGAGAUGCUUGUCACCACACACACGCGCACAGAUGCAUGACAUACAUAUAGUUGAGACCAACAGAUGGAUCAACUAGAGGUCACCCCAUAUGGUGAACAAUUUAUUGGAGAUAAACAUUAACAUAACUUGGCCAUAGCUUGAAGCAUAGCAACAUAUGCCUAUGAAUGGCGUUCAUGCUAUCGUUUUAGGCUUGUCCAGCUUCUUUCAUCUUAGCAAGCACUUCCAUUUCUACCAUCUUAGCAGCAACUGUCAAAUUGAGAUAUGGAAAUCCCAUUAGCGCAUGAUUAAUUUUGCAGUGGAAAUAGAGUGCAAGAUAUCUUCAUGAUGUAAAUAACAUGCCUGAAGUUGUGAGAUGGGAAGUGAAGUCAACAAAUUACAUUAACGGAAAUGCAUGGAAGGCCACACAUACGUAUUAGUCCAUAAUACGCUACAAAGCUUGUAUGUACAUAUAGCAAAUUAAAUGCAUUAAUUGAAUAGAGUGAGUUUAGUGAAUUUACCAGAAUCGUCCAGAAAACAUGGGAAACAGCAAGUGUGCUUGCAGACUGUGUCGGAGCCACCCACACGAAUACAAAGCUGACAACAUGCUUGUGCCUCGUGGGAUACGCAGCAGCCGCACUGUGCCGCGGUGGCCGAGUUAACAUUGAGGCUCAAGAUGAACAGGCACAUGAUCACCAUCAAAGUGGUAGUCCUCUUUCCCUCCAUUGCCUCCUGUCGCUGCUACCUUCCUUGGUUACUAGUAAGUUUAUUGGUUUUGUGUUGAGAGGUGAUUCUUGCAUUGAAUGGACGUUGCCGCGGCUGCAAUUUAUAGGCAGCUGCGCUAUGUGAUGAUAUGGACAAGGUGCAAAUGGGUGGUCCUGAUAUGCAGGAGCGGAUCUAGGGCCCAGGCAGUUUAAAUUAAAGUCUCCUCAUAGGCAGUUUGACUAUGAUCAAUUUUACCUGUAUUUCUCAAUAUGUAGAUAAUUCUAUGCCAACAAUUAAAAACUAAUACAUAAUUUGACACGGUGUACCUCGAGAACGUUUUGAAAAUGUACUCUCUCGUUAGGCGUUCACCUCCUUAACAAUAACUGCGACUGUAAAAUAGGUACAUCGACGCUAGCUAAAUAAACCACUAUAAGAUUUAGCAAGAGAUCAUUUUAUACAAUCCUGUAACGAAAGAAUUUGACAAUUGUAGUGUCCAUAUAUUUUGACAAAAAACGUCUAAAUUAUAUAAGGAGGUGGGCCCGAAACAGUUGCAUUAGCAUAUGGUUACCCGUUUGUUGUCUUCCGGUCCUAAAAAAAGGACCAUCUUACUUAAAAAGGUUCUAUUAGGCCAUGCAGCCGGCUCUGUGGCACCAAAAAGAAAUUUUGACACGGUUUACAUCGAGAACGUUUUGAAACUAGACUUUGGUAAGCAGUUCAUCACCUGCUUAACAAUAACGGCGUACAUAGACGCUAUCUAAAUUAACCACUAUAAGAUUUAGCGAGAGAUCUAUUUUUUAUAAUUGCGUAUACCACUUUACGAGAGAGACGUCAAGAGCAUGAUGGUACACUUUGUAUAUAUCUUUGAAUUCCAGCUACGGGACUUUCUUGCCUUCGCCGAAAAAAUCUAUCGGUUUUAUCUUAAGGCCGAACAUCUCCCUCUCGUCAGCGAACUUCUUCAUGUACCAUUUAUGGAAUUUGUAUAUCAAAGCUUCCCUACCAACUCAGGCCUUACUGGAGAUUUGCCUAGCUCAAAGGUCCAUUUCAGUUCAACUAGCGGUCCAGCUGGCAGCUCAACUUGCCCAAGACACUCAGCAAGUCCCAUACCUAUUUCUUCCAUGAAUUUUAUUACUUCUGCUUGUUGAUGCAAGGGCAUUGCUGCUAUCUGUUUAGCGUCGUUUUCUAGUAGAUGCCCGAGGUGGGGGAUAGCACCACUUGAAGACAACUUUCCUUUCCUUUUUUUCCUCUCAUCAACCUUAACUAAUGCCCGUUCGUAGUUCGACAGUAGUGGCACUGACUUCUUGGUUGCUUCUUUCAUCUUUUUUUUAAAAAAAUAAUUCUCUUCGAUCUAUUAGCGGUGGCUCCAUCUCCUUUGCUUUUUUUUCUUCGACCCUUUUCUUGAACCACUCCCUGCAUUCUGCUUGGUUUCGGCCCAGCGUUCCGCUUGAGUCAUUGCCUCUUGGCGUUUCUCAGGAGUCACUUUAGGCUCCUUUAUUUUUUUCUUUCUCUAUCUUGGCUUGGGAGGCAAUGGUCGUGACUUCUUAAGUGGUGCUGCAGUUUCCUUGCUCUAGGCUUCUCUUAGUCCCGAUGACGAUGAUCGGGGAGGAGUGUUGUUGUCCUCGUCGUCGCUCGCACCACCAGGAUGUGGUGGAGAUGGAGACCUUGAUCGAGCAGGAAGCGACGGUCCCUGUGGUGACGACGGUCCUGGAGCAGGUUGUGCUGGAGAUGAUGGUCCUGGAGCAGGCCGUGGUGGAGAUGACGGUCUUGAGCUUUGGGGAGAGGGUCGCUGCUGGGGAUUUGUGGGGAGCAGUCUUGAGCUUUGAGGAGAUGCCUCAAUGCCGGGGAUGAUGAUGUAGCAUUUGUGCCAUAGAAUGAUCCCGUGAAGCGCAUAUCCUAGUGUCCUUUCCCCGUCACCUCCCGGGAGGUCGAGCUCUAGGCCUUCAUAUUGGCUAUCAACGAGCUGCUCUAGGCCGACGCUGGCGUAGCCAGGUGGAAUCUCAAUGCCAUGGCUUGUCUGCCCUGGCAGGAUUGGUAAGGCACUCUCAUACACCACCUGUACAUAUAGCAGAAAUAAAGAAGUUAUUAAACUCCGAUCCCGAGGUGUGGAUGGAUGAUUGAGAAGAUUGCAAAAAUAUCAUGUAUAAGUAUACCUUAAUGGUGAUGUUGUCGACCGAUUUAUGCAGCUCACAUGAGGUGCGUUGCGUGAUGACAUCCAUAGGGAACCGUUGCUCAACCAUGGGUAAUCCUUGCAUUUAUGGAUCGGGGAGCCCUGUGGAAGCACAGCUGCUCCCGAGGUGUUAAGAAGGGCUAGCGACGUUUGGAUCCGACAGUGCUCUAGAUUGGGCUAACUCCGCAACUGCUAGGGCCACUCGACAAUUGAUUUCCUCUUGCAUUCUUACUUCUUGUGAAUGCACUUUGGAUUCUAGCAUGCACCUCAAGGUCUCCUCAACAUGUUCCUUUCUUCGCUUGUGGCUUUGGUACGAAGCGAUGUCACCUUGAAAAGCGAACUUCCACGGAAUGACCCCGUACCCUCGGCAAUGUCUUGGGUGCUCGGGAUUCCCGAGGGCCAAUGUGAGCUCAUGAUUCUCUCGGUCCACCUUCAACCUCCGAGCCUUAGCAUCUUCAAUGUUCUUCAUAAGCCUUUCGGCCUUCUGACGUAUUGUCUCAUUGAAGAUCAAUGUCACAUCCUCUUUGGCUCAGGUUGCCUCCAUGAGCGUAACACCAAUUUUUCGAUUGAUCGGGCCAUUCAAGAGUUGCUGGUAUGAUACUCUGAUCAAUCAGGUUUUGUUCCAUCUUGCACCAUCUGGGAAUUGCUGUGCCCUAACCACCUCACCCUAGACGAUGAUGGUACUCCUUCUUGCCAGCAUUUGCAACGUUGGUCUUGACCUUAUUCGCACCGUCUUCGCUCGUCUUGUGUUCGACAAAUGCCUCCCAGUGGUCCCUCAACUUUUGCCACUCAUCGAAAUCCGGAGUUUAGCCAUUCUUGAUGAAUGUGGCAUCCAGCAUCUUCUUGAAUGUCUGGAAUUGUGUGGCCAUCUUCUUCAGCGUCCACGGUUUCACAUCAUCUUCAUUACAUCCUUCGGGAAAUGUGAAAUGUCUCUUAACAUCUGCCCACAGCAUAUUCUUUUCUGAAUCCGGGAGCGUGUAUGGAUUAGUACUUUUGUCCUUCCAUUCCCUGAUGCUGAUAGGCAGAAGCUAGAGACUAUUUCUUUUUCUAAAAAUACACAUGAGGGAGAAAAUUGGUAACAGCUAAACAGUGCAGAUUGCAUUUCAACACACGUUUUUAUAGCUGAGCACACGUCUGAAUCCCAUUUUUAAGUGUUCGGUCCUACACCCACAUUUUCAUCCCAGGUUGUCGGUUUAGUCAUUUUUUACCUUCCAUGACCUAUAGCACACAUUUUUAUGGUAGAACACGCAUUCAGAGGUCAUUUCCACAUCUUCGGUCCAUCCCCAUAUUUUCAUCCCCGGUGGCCAGUGUGGCUGUUUUCGAACUAACGUGACUUAUAACACACGUUUUCAUAGCCGAACACGUGUCCGAAGGCCAUUUUCAAGUGUCUAGUCUGACACCCACAUUUUUGUCCCCGGUGGCCGGUAUGGCUAUUUUUGUGCUCCCGUCACCUAUAACACACAUUUUCAUGGUCGAACACACGUCCGGAGGCCAUUUUAAGUUGUUCGGUCCAUCCCCACAUUUUUUACCCCGGUGGUCGGUGUGGCCAAUGUUUUCUUGGUCGAACACGCAUCCGGAGGCCAUUUUCACUUGUUCGGUUCGACACUAACAGUUUCAUCCCGGUGGCCGGUGUGGCUAUUUAUCGUUCUCCCAUGACCUAUAACACACAUUUUCAACACUAACACUUUCGGAGGCCAUUUUCAAUUGUUCGGUCUGACACCAAUGUUUUGGUCCCCAGUGGCCGGUGUGGCCGUUUUCAACCUCCCGUGACCUAUAACACACAUUUUCAUAGCUAAACACGCGCCCGGAGGCCAUUUUCAAGUGUUCGGUCUGACACCCACAUUUUCGUCCCCGGUGACCGGUGUAGCUCUUUUUGGCCUUCCAUGACCUAUAGCACACGUUUUCAUGGCCAAACACACGUCUGGAGGCCAUUUUUCACUUGUUUGGUGCAUCCCUAGUUUUUGCUCCAGUGCUAAUGUGGUCGUUUUUAGGCUUCGACCUAUAGCACACAUUUGCAUGGUUGAACACGCGUCCAGACGUCAUUUUCACUUGUUCGGUCCAUCCCCCACGAUUUCAUCCCCGGUGGCCGGUGUGGCCGUUUUUGGGCUCCCAUGACCUAUAACCCACGUUUUCAAGGCCGAACUCGCGUCUGGAGGCCAUUUUCACUUGUUCAGUCCAUCCCACAUGUUCUCGUCCCCGGUGGCCGGUGUGGUCAUUUUCAGGUUCCCGUGACCUAUAAUCCUCGUUUUCAUGGCUGAACACACGUCCGAAGGCCAUUUUCGCUUGUUCAGUCCAUCCCCCAUGUUUUCGUCCCAGGUGGCCAGUGUGGCCGUUUUUGAACUAACGUGACCUAUAACAUACGUUUUCAUAGCCGAACACGUGUCCGAUGUCCAUUUUCAAGUGUUCGGUAUGACACCCAAGUUUUCAUUCCUGAUGGCUGGUGUGGCCAUUUUCGGGCUCCCGUGACCUAUAACACAUAUUUUCAUGGCUGAACAUGCGUCCAAAGGCCAUUUUCAUUUGUUCAGUCCAUCCCCCACGUUUUCAUCACCGGUGGCCGGUGUGGCCAUUUUAGUGAUCCCGUGACCUAUAAAACACGUUUUGAUAGCCGAAGACGUGUUUGCAGGCCAUUUUCAAGUGUUCGGUUUGACACCCACGUUUUCGUCCCCGGUGGCCGGUGUUGCUGUUUUUUGCCUUCCAUGACCUAUACACGUUUUCGUGGCUGAACACGCGUUCGGAGGCUAGUUUCACGUUUUCAUCCCUGACGGCUAGUGUGGCCAUUUUCGGGCUCCCGUGACCUAUAACACACAUUUUCAUGGCCAAACACAAGUCCGGAUGCCAUUUCCAGUUGUUCAGUCCAUCCCCCACAUUUUCAUCCUCGGUGGCCGGUGUGGUAGUUUUUGGCCUCCCGUGACCAACAACACACAUUUUCGUAGCUGAACACAUGUCCGGAGGCUAUUUUCAAGUGUUUGGUCCUACACCCAUCUUUUCAUCCCCGGUGGGUAGUGUAGCCAUUUUUUAUCUUCCGAAACCGAUAGCACACGUUUUCACGAGCAUGGCCUGUGAGGCUUAGCUUCUCGUAACCGUAGGUCAUGGCAGGGUUUGAUCGGUCAGGAGGCUGAAGAGUAAGUUACUUUGGGUAGUCAGUGGAAUGGGAUGCCCUUUCAUUUGGGCGAAGUGUGUGAUCGCACGAAAGUAAAGAGCAGGUGGUACUGCACCCUCGUGGAGCCCCCGAGCGACCCAAGCUAAGAGUGCUCGGGCUGGGGCGCUAUAGGAGCGAGUAUCAAAUGGAAACAACUGGUAAAACCAAGCUAGGGAAAUAAACAAUGUAACUGCUCAAUGUUCCAUGUGUUGGUGAGGAUGUUGCCGUCGUCGUCCUUCAGUCAGUAGGCGCAUGGUCGGAUCACCUCGGUGACUGUGUACAGUCCUUCCCAUGGCGGAGAGAGCUUGUUCUUAUUAUUGGUCGACUAGGUCCUUCGAACCACAAGGUCACCAAUCUCGAGGGUCCUCCCUCGGAUUUUCCUCUCGUGGUACCUACGAAGGGUUUGCUGGUAACGAGCGGAGUGGAUGAUGGCCAUCUCAUGUGGCUCCUCGAGCAGGUCGACUAUGUCCUGCUAAGCUUCUGUAGCUCGGUCUUGGUCGAAGGCCUUUACCCUUAGGGCACCGUAAUCGAGGUCGAACGGUAACACGGCUUUGGCUCCGUACACCAAUAAGAAGGGGGUGAACCCUGUGGAUUGGUUUGGGGUCGUUCUAAGGCUCCAGAUUACCACUGGGAGCUCUGUGACCCAUCACCCGGUGUGCUUUUUUAGCCGGUCGAAAAUGCAAGGCUUGAGCCAUUGGAGGACCAUGCCAUUCGCUUGCUUGACCUGAUCGUUGGUUUGUGGGUGCCCGACCGAGGCCCAGUCGAUCCUAAUGUCGUAUCCAUCAUAGAAAUCCAGGAACUUCUUGCUAGUGAAGUUUGUUUCGUUGUCUGUGAUGAUGCAGUUAGGGACGCUAAACCGAUAGAUGAUGUCAAGGAAGAACUCGACUGCGUCUUGUGACCGGAUGUUGGUGAUGGGCUUCGCCUCAAUCCACUUGGUGAAUUUGUCCACCGCCAUGAGUAGGUGAAUGAUGCCACUCGGGGCCUUUUUAAGGGACCCAACUAUGUCGAGGCCCCAGACCGCGAAUGACCAGAUGAUGGGGAUGGACUAGAGCUCUUGCGUCGGCAGGUGAGUUUUCUGAGCAUAGAACUGGCAGCCUUCACACUUGUGGACCACCUCCUCUACGUCUUGAAAUGUUGUGGGCCAGUAAAAACCUUGGCAAAAGGCUUUCCCGACCAGUGAUCUCAGGGACGCAUGGUGUCCGCAGAUUCUGGCAUGGACAUCAAGAGAAGUUGUUUCCCCUAAUUGGUCGGGAUGCACUUCAUGAGUAUUCCCGAUGGACUUCAUUUGUAACGUUCAUCACCGAUGGCGACAAAUGUCUUGACGCGUCAAGUGAUUCAUCGUGCUUCAAUCCUCUCCAGUGGGAGGACCUCUUCGAGGAUGUAGGCGAGUAACGACGCUCUCCAGUUGGUUGGGUCAUGCACCAUUACGUCAGUGCUUCUAGGUGAGGUCGCCAUAGGGGCAUCAGGGUCGGAGCCCCUGAGCACGCAAUCGGACUGUGACUGGGUUGGGUCCUCUCGGACACGGGCAGAUGGUUCAUGGAGGUCGUUCACGAAGACUCCGUUGGAAGAUGGGCCCCAUCUAGGUGCCAAUUUUGUGAGGAAGUUAGCAACAUCAUUGUCCUUUUGUGGCACAUGAUGUAGCUCGAUCCCUCGGAACUUGUCUUCUAACUUGCAUACAUCUUGACAGUACGCUGCCAUGAGAGGGCUCCUGCAGGAGGACUCCUUCAUGACUUGGUCGACCACUAGCUCCAAGUCGCCGCAGCAUAAAGCCGCAUCUCGCCGAGCUCGAUGGUGAUACGUAGCCUAUUGAUGAGGGCUUCGUACUCCAUGAUGUUGUUCAAGGUUGGAAAAUGGAGACGGAUCGCGUAGCGGAGCCUAUUCCCCUGUGGUGAGAUAAGGACCACUCUAGCCCUCGAGCCAGGUCCCAUGAUCGAACCGUCGAAGUACAUCAUCUAGUACUCGUGGGUGACAUCCAGGGUCAGGAUCUGGACUUCCAUCCACUCGGCGAUGAAGUCGGCCAGGUCCUAAGACUUGAUAGCUAUGCAGGGGACGUACUUGAUGUCAUGGCCCAUGAGCUCAAGCAUGCACUUGGAGAUUCGCCCCAUAGCAUCACGGUUGCAGAUGAUCUCUCCCAGCAGGUACAAGGUGAUGAUCGUGACCUCAUGGUCGGUGAAGUAGUGUCGGAGCUUCCGGGUUGCCAUCAGCAUGACGUACAGAAGGUUCUGGGCUUGGGGUAACGCAUGUUGGCGUCAUGUUGACACCAUGUUUUGACAUACGUCAAACAUGGCGUCAAAAGAAAAUAGAGAUGCCAGCGCAUAGUGGAAGGACAACGGCUAGUGGAAUCGACUGGUAAGGUUGUAGAGGGUUGAGCCGAUAGAGUAAGGCAGAAGCCUAGGCGAUGGGAUCACAGGGGCAUAGCCCAUAGAGUCAGACGAUGCGAGCAGGAGGGUUCUAGCCGAUAGGAAAUGUUGGAGGUUCGGCCGAUGAGGAGCUGGUUUUGGUCGGUAGAAGCCAAGUUCGUUUCUGACUCCUACAUGAGUCAUUUUUAUUUAGAAAGUUUGUUUCUUUAGAGAUAGGUCUUAUGAUUUGUUGUAACCGACUAGGAUUAGAAAUCUUGAUGUAUAGGGUAUAAAUAGGGGCCUUGUAAGGUUUGGAAAAGACACACACAUCAUAAUCAAUACAAAUCUACUAUUUUCGCAAUCUACUUUCAAGUCGACGACUUCGCCAUUGUUUUGUUUUCUUCACGAGUUCUUCCAAGCUGGUUGGGCUGCAUUGCUUCGAUCUCCAGCUAGACUGUAAGUUUCGCGUUUACUGAAUACCUCCUAGGCUUUAACUUUGGGUGCAUUGCUGUCAUUUCGUCUGGAUUUAUUCACAAGUUAUCGAUAUUUACUGGAUCUGCAUGUUUUAUUUGUUAAAUCUUGUUGCUUUAGUUUUUAUCACGGUUAUCCAGCUUAGAACACAUUCCAAUCAGCUUUUUCUUUAUUUCUCAUACUAAUCUACUAUCACCCAGCCGAUUAGAUCUGUUUUAAUUGGUGUUCAUGUAAUGCUAUUUAGGUUGUAUUUUACGCUUCCUUUACAUCUACUACAUCCACAUCGGCUGAUCUAGCCGAUUGUCUUUUCUCGUGUCGGCAGCUCUACGAUACGUCCUGUGGAGCGAUUUAGAAUGCCAGCUGAUUUGCUCUUGUAUUUGACAUUUUACCUGUCCUUUUCAAUCAAUAGGUCAGAUUGACUGGCACACCAUGGAUCGAUAGGGCUACAACCCAAACAGGAGCGAAGCAGAUUCUCCCCGGUUUUGUGUGUUAGUGCGCGGGAGCCGUCUCUCAAUUUUUGCGUCAACACAUCGGUGAGUACUUCACUGAUGAAGUACACCGGUCGCUGGACCUUCAGCGCAUGUCCUAGCUCCUCUCUAUCGACUACAAGGGCAGUACUAACCACGUGGUCGCUUGCCGCGAUGUAGAGGAGAAGGGGUUCUUCCUGCUCGGGAGCGAUGAGGACUAGGGCCGAAGUCAGCAAUGCUUUGAGGCUUUCCAAAGCCCAUUGUGCCUCCUCCAUCCAGACGAAUGCGUCUGCCUUCUUGAGGAGUGUGUAGAGAGGCAUCCGUCGUUCGCCUAGUUGGGAGAUGAACCGGCUCAGGACGGCCAAACAACUAGUGAGCCUCUGUAUGCCCUUGAUGCUGUGUAUGGGGCCCAUGUUGGUGAUGGUCGUGAUUUUUUUGAGGUUGGCUUCAAUGCCGCGCUCGGACAUGAUGUACUUGAGCAGCUUCCCCUUUGGAACCCCGAAAACACAUUUCUCAGGAUUAGUGGGGUUGUGGUGCUGCACUACUCCAGAACAACAACACUGCGGCACGCUUGCUCAAUCAGACGGCAAACCAGCCUGCUCUAGCAUACAACCUCCAUCACCAUCGGCUCCGCAGCCAGCCGUCCAGCGUUAUCAGCAGCAUCCACUAGAAGUCAGCAGGGAGGAUGGUGUUUUGGAUCCUCACAGGGAUGGGUCACCUAUAGUGGUGUACGAUGAGGCAACCAGUGUGUUGCGGCAUGUUGAUUCUUCCCGCCAGUUGACCUAGCCGCAAUAUCUGCAACAUACAUCGGCUAUCCAAUAGCCAAUUGUGGUGCCACAAAUUCAGCAGCAGGUGCCAGUGGGCCAGCCAAUGCUCCAACCUAUGGUCCAGCAGUAGCCGCAACAGGUUGAUUGGGCCGCAAAGAUAGCUGGGGUGAUGCAAGAUCAGUUCGGUCUAAAACCUAAAGUGCAGACCUACACGUACAGAAUGCCGUACCCACCAGCCUAUGACAUGUUGUCGUUCCCUCACCGAUUUCACCAAGUUCUCGGGACAAGAUGAGGCAUCUACGGUGGAGCACGUCAAUAGGUUCAUCAUUCAGUGUGGAGAGUCAGCUGUGCAGGAUGCUCUGAGGGUUCGGCUGUUCUCAUCAUCUCUGUCCGGGUCAGCCUUCCAGUGGUUCACGACGCUUCCACCUAACUCCAUUAUCACCUGGGACAAUCUGGAGAAAUAGUUCCACAAAAACUUUUUUGCUAGGGUUCACGAGAUGAAGCUGACAGAUCUAACUAGUCUCAGGUAGAGGAGUGAUCAAUCGGUGGCCAGUUUCAUCCAACGGUUUAGGGAAGUCAGGAACAAGUGCUACAGUUUGGUCUUGAGCGAUAGCCAACUAGCCAACACGGCUUUUUAGGGGCUUCACAGGAGUUCGAGAGUUUGAGCCAGAUUGUACACCGGUUGUCAAACCAAGACGUACACCCAUUUGAUUAGAGAAAGAAUUUCCAGAAGAAGGUGGCGUACGUGGAGUGUUUGGACUUAGAAGGAGAAGCAGAGGUCAGCUUGGCAGAGUGGGUUAAAGUCCAAAAAGCCGAUCUCUUGCCCGUACGGCAAGAAGGAGCCUGAGAAAUUCGAGUUCAAUAUUUCCAAGGCCAAUAAGAUCUUUGAUUUGUUGCUGCAAGAAGGGAAAAUCAAGCUCUCACCAUACCACACGAUCCCAUUGACUGAAGAACUUAAGAAGAUCAAGUACUGCAAGUGGCACAAUGCCACAUCUCACAACACCAACGAGUGCAAAGUCAUCUGCCAGCAGAUCCAAUUAGCUAUUGAGCAAGGGAGGCUCAAGUUUAAAGCUCCUUCAAAACCAGCAAAGCCGAUGAAGAUCGACCAACAUCCAUUCCCAACAAAUAUGGUAGAAGUCGGAGGCAAAAGCGCACCUCCCACAAAGGUGCUGACAUCAGAACCAGCCAAGAGGAGUGGAGAUGUGGACCCUAGAGUAUAGGUGUCGGCCAACGAUGUCAAGUUGAACAGUCAGUUGCAAGAAGGUUAAGCUCAACAAGGCCUCAAUGGCCGAUAUCCUCCCAAGAGUUUCUCAAUAAGUUAUAGAGAUAGCAAGACCAGGCAAGGCACCGGGAAGAGAUGACACAUCACCAUGAAAACCACUGGAGAUGCCCAUUCUUCAUAUACUGCUAGGAGGAGCGGAUCAAGAUACCAUCGAUUGACAACUACCCCGAAUGCAAUGGGUCAUACCAAGGCAGCCGAUUGUCCAAAAGACCGUGCUUUGAUGAUAGGAAUCAAAAGCCGAUCAAUAGGGAUAGACCUUACCAUGAUGACAGGUGCAUCCCAAUGCGUGAUUGACUGGGGGGGCAGGAUCAGUAUACAUGAUUGGCUGGAGGGCAGGCUAAAUGUUCCCAACAGACUAGAGGAAAGAGCCAAUGCAAGAGUCCUCGAUGAAGAGCCUUUGUGUCGCGAACCAGAGCGGCGGCGUGCAUCAUGAGACAAAGCUAUAGAAUAGCCUAGAUGGUGCCCAGCGGGUUUGACUAAGUCCCAGAAGAGACGGGUUCAAUGCAUGCGACAAUGGGAGUAUCAAGAAGAGGAACAAAGGUGUGCUUCAGAAAGGAAAGGGGUCAAAUCCUAGGUGUGGCACAUCAAAGACAAAGCCGAUGACGAAGAUAACAAUCCCAAAUCAGCUGUUGAUGUCAACAUGGUUUUCGUAUUACCGAUGGAAUUCAUGGCUCCAACCAAUCACAAGGCAACAGAAGCAGAACAGGGGAUGGCACAAUUAACCUUGGAGCUGAUGUCAGCCACCUUUGAGAAACCCAAAGAUGAAAAACGUCGGCACCUGAAAGCCCUCUUCCUCAAGGGGCAAAUCGACGGGAGGCUGAUUACCAAGCUUCUGGUGGACAGUGGUGCAGCCGUGAACAUCAUGUCGUAUGCCAUGUUCCGCAAGCUCGGCAAAGGCGAAGAAGACUUGAUCAAAACAGACAUGAUGCUGAAGGACUUCAAAGGAAACAUCUCUCCGGCCCAGGGGGCACUCUGCGUCGACCUCACCAUCGGCAGUAAGACCCUAGCUACUACUUUCUUUGUUAUUAAUGGUAAAGGGUCCUACAAUAUGCUUCUGGGUCAAGAUUGUAUUCACGCCAACUACUACAUCCCGUCUACAAUGCAUCAAUGUCUCAUCCAAUGGGUCGGCGACUCAGUUGAAGUGGUCACCGCUGAUUCUUCUUUCAGCGUCGUUGCAGCCGAUGCACAAUAGUAGAAUUGCAAAUAAGUCAGCUGCAUAUCUGGCAGAGUCUAGGAUACAGAUUUCUUGAAGAUGUCCAAUUUUGGACUACAGCGAUCCAAGUAGUCGGCUCUGAAGAAUUGUCCUGAUGGAUGAGUUCACCCAAGAAGAUGGGAAGCUGGAGCAUGAGUUUAUGUCAGUCGACGAGUUAGAGAUGGUAGAGCUUGAAGAUGGGAGCAAGCCAAAGCAGACAUAUAUUAGUGCUAAGUUAGAUCCUGAGUAUAAGCAUGAACUAAUUAAGUUGUUAAAAGAAUUCAAAGAUUGUUUUGCUUGGGAGUAUCAUGAAAUGCCUGGUUUAGAUCAAUCUAUUGUCGAACAUCAGUUGCUAAUAAAAUCAGGAUAUCGGCCGUAUCAGCAACCUGUGUGACGUUGUAAUCCGAAGAUUUUACUUGAUAUUAAGGCUAGGAUCACAAGAUUAAUUGAUGUGGGGUUUAUUCGGCAAUGUCGGUAUGCUGAGUGGAUUUUUAAUGUGGUUCCCGUAUACAAGAAGAAUGGAAAACUGCACAUUUGUAUUGAUUUCAGGAACCUCAAUCAAGCCACACCAAUGGAUGGUUGUCUGAUGCCGACAGCUGAUGUGUUGAUAGAUGCUACUUUAGGAUACAAAGUCAUUAGUUUCAUGAAUGGUAACGUUGGAUAUAACCAAGUAUUGAUGGAGAAAGAAGAUAUUUCCAAGACGGCUUUCGGGUGUCCUGGACACAACGGUUUAUUUGAAUGGGUGGUCAUGACCUUCGGAUUGAAAAAUGCUAGGGCUACAUAUCAGCGAGCCAUGAAUUACAUUUUCCAUAAACUUAUCGGCAUCCUAGUGGAAAUUUAUAUCGAUGAUGUCGUAGUCAAAUCGAAAGGGUAUCGAGAACACUUAGCCGAUUUGCGUGAAGUCCUGGAAUGCACAAGGAAAGAUGGGUUGAAAAUGAAUCCGAAUAAAUGUGCUUUUGGCGUGUCGGCUCGAAAGUUCUUGGGGUUCAUGGUUCACGAGUGAGGCAUUGAAAUUAAUCAGAGGAUCAUUGGUUCUAUUAACAAAGUUGUGGCUCCGUAAAAUAAGACUGAGUUGCAGUCAUUAAUCGAUAAAAUUAAUUUCAUCCAAAGAUUCAUAUCGAACCUGUCUGGAAGGAUUCAAUCUUUCAGCCUGUUGCUUAAACCAAAAGUCGAUCAAGAGUUCGUUUGGGGGUAGAGCAGCAAAAUGCAUUGGAUGAUAUCAAACAAUACCUGGUGUCACCUCCUAUAUUGGUUCCUCCACAAGCUAACAAGUCGUUCAGGUUAUACCUCUCAGCCUAUGAGUGUGCCAUUGGGUCGGCUCUUGUCCAAGAACUUGAAGGGAAGGAACGAGUAAUUUAUUAUGUGAGCAGAAGACUCUUGGAUGCAGAGACCAGGUAUUCCCCAGUUGAGAGGUUGUGUCUAUGCCUAUAUUUCUCCUGCACUAAGCUUAGACACUAUUUAUUAUCCGCCGAGUGCGUUGUGGUAUGCAAGGAUGAUGUGGUCAAAUACAUGUUGCCAUUGCCAAUUCUAAAUGGAAGGAUUGGGAAGUGGAUUUUGACUCUGUCGGAGUUUGACCUAAAGUACGAAUCAACUAAAGCUGUCAAAAAGGGCAAGUCAUGGCCGAUUUUGUUACUCAUCAUUGUAGGCCAGAGGUUGCUAUUGUUGAGGUAGCCCAAUGGACUUUAUUCUUUGAUGGAUCUUCAUGUGGGAUUGGAUCAGGAAUCGGCAUAAUCCUUAUAUCACCUUGGGAGGCGAACUACAAGUUCUCACUGCCAGUUGAGGCUUCUGCUACCAACAACCAGGCCGAGUAUCGAGCCAUUUUGAAGGGGAUCCAAUUGCUGAGAGAAAUCAAAGCUGAUGCUGUUGAGAUUUUUGGGGAUUCUAUGCUUAUCAUCAACCAGCUGACUGGAGGAUGUGAAUGCAGAGAUGAUAUUUUAAGAAUUUACUAUGAACAGUGCCUUCAGUUACUCAAAGAAUUCAAGAGUGUGGUUAUUGAGCAUAUUCCCAGAGAUUACGAUGAGGAUGCUAACAAGCUCGCCGCAUGCUUCUGGUUAUCGACCGAUCUGUGGUGUUAUGGCCUUAGAGUUAAUGGCCGAUGAUUGGAGGAAAGAAAUAGUAGAUUACUUAAAAGAUCCCUCCAAGAAAGUCGAUAGGCGAGUUCGAUUUCAGGCUUUGCAAUAUGUGUUGCUUGAAGAUGACCUUUAUUAUCUGAUGAUUGAUGGGGUCUUGCUUAAAUACCUCAGGGUUGAAGAAGCCAAGAAACUGAUGGGCGAAAUUCAUGAAGGGGUUUGCGGAGCUCAUCAAUCGGCUUUCAAGAUGAAGUGGAUGAUUAGAAACAAGGGGUAUUAUUGGCCGACUAUACUUGAAGACUGCUUUAAAUACUAUAAAAGUUGUCAAGAUUGUCAGAAGUUUGGCAAUGUGCAAAGAGCCCCGGCAUCGGCUAUGAAUCCUAUAAUAGAGUUGUGGCCAUUUAGGGGGUAUCGAUUUGAUCGGCCAGAUUUAUCCACCUUCAAGCAAGGGUCAUAAGUUCAUACUAGUAGCAACGAAUUAUUUCACUAAGUGGGUUGAAGCAAUUCCCUUGAAAAAUGCAACAUCGGCAAGCAUGGUUGAUUUUGUCAAAGAACACAUCAUCUAUCAAUUUGGUAUCCCUCAAACUAUCACUACCGAUCAAGGGACAAUGUUCACUUCGAGAGAGUUUGAGGAAUUCGCUACUAGUAUGGGAAUUAGGUUGUUGAAUUCUUCUUUGUAUUAUGCCCAGGAAAAUGGUCAAGCUGAAUCAUCCAACAAGGGGAUCAUUAAAUUAAUUAAGAGGAAGAUCGAAGAGCAGCCAAGGCGCUGGCACACUACGUUGAGCGAAUCCUUAUGGGCGUAUCAAAUGGCUUGUCACGGAGCCACAAAAGUAUCCCCUUAUCAAUUGGUUUAUGAACAUGAAGCAGUUCUACCUUGGGAGUUAAAGACUGGGUCUAGGCGUGCAUCGUUGCAAGACCAGUUAACAGCCGAAGAAUACUCUACUUUGAUGAAAGGGGAUUUGGAAGACCUAGCGGGUCAUCGACUAAGGUCUUUGAUCAGCAUCGAAGAAAAUAAGAAGAGGGUGGCUAGAUGGUAUGACAAAAAGGUCAAGGUCAAGGAGUAUUCCCAAGGAGAUUUAGUCUGGAAGCCGAUAUUGCCGAUUGUGUCUAAAGAUCCCAAAUUUGGGAAAUGGUCGCCUACAUGGGAGGGACCGUAUCGGAUAAACCGGUGUGCUCCUGGUAAUGAGUAUAUUUUGGAGACACUUGAAGGAGAGGAGUUCACAAGGGCUCUAAAUGGAAAAUACUUUAAGAAGUACUACCCGAGUAUAUGGGUAGAUGCAUAGCCGAUGGUGUGAUGCCUCGGACUAACAUAGACGAUAUUGAGGGUAUCGCCUUUAGUCUAAAAAGAAAAGAAGGAAAAAGGCAGACACAUGGAUAGCCGAUAAAAUCAGCUGUGAUAUGGCCGAUGUGAUACAAGUCACCCUUAGAACAAAUAAUACUUGCAACACUUCGGACACAACAGGUUAUUACAUCAAAGUCAUCAUUAUAUCAUGGCCAAGACAUUCCAUUACAGGCAAAUCUGGAUGGCUCCCUAUUGAUAUCGGCAAAUACUUACUCCCUUUGGCGAGAUGUGCCUAGGAGACGCCCCAGUUGAGCCUUAGUAGUGCCGAUUUCCCUGUUGACCUGGCCCAAUUCCAGUAGAAGUUGAAUUUUCCUAGCCUCCAAACUGGCCAACUUGUCUUCGAGCAAUACACGGGGGGGGGGGGGGGGGGGGGGGGGAGAGAGGUUGAUGGCUUCGAAGGAUUGGCUGCUGCAUUUGCUGGUUUGAGCCUGCAGCUUUGAUUGAGGACAAGAUCGAUUUGAUGUCCAUAGGUAGAUGGUCUCUGAUUUGAUCACGAUGAGCUUGGAUCAAAGCUUUGUCCACCUAGGUGAGCGGCUCAUUGGAAUGAAGGAUCUGGAUGACCUAUUCAAGCUGUUCGUCCACUUGAUUUGGCUGGGAAAGAGAACAAAGAGUCAAGGUUUGGUUCAUGAUAACCAAUUCGGAAUAGAGAAAACAUAGCAAUACCUGGUUGACUGAAGAAGAGGAAGCCAUCUUGGUCGCGUGAAUUCAAUCUAGUUCGAAAACUCGCAGUGUGUGCGGUCUUGAAGGUGACCUCAAGGAAGGAGUAGGGGUCUGUAUUUAUAAGACGAAUAGACGUGUGAAAUGUGAACAAUGGUCGGUCAAAAGGGGCUUUAAAUGGGACUAGCCAUUGGCGAGUCAGAAAGAGCUGUGGAGAAACGGUCAAAUUACAUUCAAGAUGGAUAUUGAGCAUUGACAUCACGAGAGGAAUGUACCAAGUACCAGAAUACAUAAAAGCUAAUAACGUUCGUUACAAUUAUGCUAGAAGAGUUUGAAUGGCAUUUAUCGCACGCAGGCGAAUCUGAUUGGCAGCCUUUAUCUCCCUACGGUCGUCAUCGGCUGAGCCGGGUAUGUCAGUUAUGCUCCGAUGUAGCUGAAUAGCUUGAUGCGCAUGUGCUUGCUUUUCCUGCUCUAAUUGCUUGAGGACUUCUAGAAGUUGGGCGAGCUUGGUUUCUUCGACGAUGAUGGCAUCGCCGAUGCUUUUCAAUUCCUUCAUCAGUUUUUACCUCCUUGCUUUGAGCCAAUCAAUUUCACCAACAAUAUUGGGGCGAGAAUCCCUAAGAAAGCCGAUCUUGGGAUGGAUUUCAUCGGCCUAAAGCUUAUGGAAUUCCUUGUCCUUAUGCAAUUGUUCCUGUUUGGCGCGAUCGGCUGUGCGGCGUAGAGCCCUUAACAUCGGGACUUGGUGACUCCCUAUGUAGGCUGCGGGGAGGAUGGCUUCUUCUUUGUCUUCUAGGAUCUGGCCUUUGAGGUUGCGGAGGAUGUCGUGCAUCGGUUGUGCAUCUUUGACUAGUUGGCUGAUGCCUUGCUGAAGGAAGUCGAGUAUAUCUUGAAGUUUGGCCUUUAGGACAUCAGGAAUAGAUUCUGGAACCAGUGGGUGUGACAAAACUUCUUCUUCUUCGUGGAUUUCCCCUACCUGAAAUGAGAAGAGGCUGCUGUCUGGAGUGUCCUGAGCCUGCAAGGAUCAAUAAGGUAUAAGCUGAUGAAGCUAGUUGAUUGGAAUCAAUUAAUGUGCAAAAGAGUGUUCACCAUCUUCCAUUGGGUUUCUCUGGUUUGUGUUGGUGAUUCCACUAGGGACUCUUGUUGAACUGGUUCUGCGGAGGGUGGCAUGUUCUUGGAAGGUACAUUGACUGCUAGUGUUUCAAGAAUAGCGGCCGACACUUCUGGGAUAGUCUGUAUAGAAAACCGAACGAUUCUUAGCAACGGAGGUUGAGAAGGGUUGGAAUAGAGUAUGCAUUUUACCUCAAGUGUUGGAGUGAUGGCCGAUGCAGUCUCCUGUGUAUCUUUAGCCUGUGGAUCAGCCGAUGAAGGAGGCGGAGGCAUAGCCGAUUCUAGGAUGGGCUCUUCUGGUGCCGAUUGUGCGGAAGGCUAAAAGAAACAAGAGUCAGUACUAGCAAAGUAUCUAGAAAAAAUUAAAUAAGUGAGAUUACCUGCAUAGCCUCUAUCAAAAGUGAUGUAGCUACUGACGCUACUUCCGCUAGAACAGCCGUUUGGGGUGCCACCGCUGCCGUCGGAUCAGUCUCCUGGGCUGACGCUGCUGUCGGCAGGACGGAUGCCUAUGCUGAUUUGGAGCCUUUUUGAGGGUGCUUCUUACGGGUAGCCUUCUCAAGAAUAGAGACUUUGCGCUUUUGGCCUACGGCUAUGUCCAUUAAAGAUGGCGCAUCGUAGCCAAUGAGGGGGUCAGCCAAUGGAGGGACGUAAGCAAUUGGCUUGUUGCUCUAGCUAACUCUUGAAGGUGUAAAGUGAACACCCUGUAAAGGGCAAAAGUGUUAGUGGGAAGAAAAUAUCUGUAAUGAAAGGAGAUUCAGCGGAAUCAAUGGUGAUUACCCCUCCAUCAGGAUCAUUGAAGUCUAGGUCGAACUUCCUACAAUAAAUUCUUGUUGCCACAUAGAAAAGAUGAUUCUUCCAAUCUUUCCACCACGACAUGAAUUGUUUAAUGGUGAAGGCUGCAGCUGUCCAUGUUUCCAAGUUGAUGGUGCUGGUAUCCGGAGCCAAGUUGUUGAGUCUGUUGUAUUCACGGCUGCUGGAAAGUUUCUCACGGGGUCUCACCAGUUCGGAAAAAUAAGGUCUUAUCAGCAAUUGUCCAAAGCCAAGUUGAUGAGCUGCUGUCGACGGGUGAUAAAAUUCGUAUCUCAAAUGCUGACCUUUACCAGCAAAAAAGUUAGCUGGAAGAAUUCCAGGCUUGAUGAUUGUCUUUAGGAUUUCUCCACUAAAGGUGCAUGUGAUGAAGUCGAAGCAAUAUGGCAACUCAAAGAUAGGAACUUCACUGUGGCAAGCAUACCAGAUGGUAGCCCCUUUGGUGAGUCCAUUGUAACAGCACUUGAAGGCCUCGGCUGCUGCGGAGGGGGAGAGUCUACUGCCAGGGAUGACUGAUACUGCUUCACCAUAAGAUGUGCAUCGACAGGUUACAACUGGUUCCUCCUCUAGCUGAUCGCUGGGGAAAGACAUUUUCUUGAGGUCGUACUGGUAGGCACGCUGGAAGUAAAGAUUGAGCCAUAGGUUGAACCACUAAGGGCCGCCCAGAUUGCCAAUUGGUUCUCCGACCAAUAGUUUGCUAGAUACUUGAUGCAGUAAGUGAUAGGUCGAUCCAAGAAGGUGCUUUCCCAGGGGGAUUGAAGACCCUGCUGCCAAUGCUUCGGCCAAAGGUUGCAGAUUACUGGUCAGGCUGGCUGAUCUUCCGCAGAAUACAAAUUUGUCCAGCCACAUAUUUAGGAAGGUCACAUGCUCCAUCUCAUCGACGGUUCCAGUUCCGAUGUGACGAUCAAUAUAGCCUUUCCAUCCGCCGAUGGACUUUGUCUCCAGCCGGCAAAAAUCUUUAUCUGCGAAAUGAAAUGGCAAAUUAGCAGAAGUGAUAUCCAAGCCUGUCAGCAUCAUGACAUCAGCUAGAGUUGGAGUCAUCGGCCCAUGGCUGAACAAGAAGGCAUUCAGAGUGUCUAACCAGAAAUAUGAUGCAGCUACGAGUAUGGGUUUGUUUCUAGCCAUAGCUAAUAAAGAAAGAGUAAUGCAUUGACUGAUGCAGCAUUCUUGCCAGAAGACAUUUUUGGAAUUGGCCACCCUGAGAUACCAAUUUUUCCAUCCGGGUGUGCGGUUGGUCCAAGAUUUGAAGGCGCUAUCCCAAUCGGCUAGAUCCAUUGAUGCAGAUUUGAAAGGGAUUCUAUUAGUCUCCAAGUUAAUUAGAUCUAUUGGAUCAGGAUCUCCCAUGGGGCCUAAGUUGAUGUAUCCAGAGGUAUCAGCUAUGGGGAUGGUGAUUCUAUCUCUAAGGGCCUGAGAAAUGCGAAAAUGGCUAAAUGAGGAAAGGAAAGUAAAGGCACGGGGAGGACAAUGAGGGUAGAGAGGUGUACCUCGGGGACUGCAGUAAGGGUGGCCAUGGAAUUGGUUUGGGAUUUGAAGUGAUUAGCAAGCGAAUCACCAAUGGUCGCUGGAGAUCUCCGAUGGUCGCCGGAAGUCGUCGACGGUCGUCCUUCGCCCGAGAAGAAAGAGGAAGUAAGGUAUGGUGGUGUGAGAAGAUGAACCGGUGGGGAUGAAGAAGAUGACGGUUGUAAAUUUAUAAACUCAUCCGAGAGGGUAAAUGUGGUAUCUCAUCCACCGCCUGCGCGAAACUCGAAAAGUUGUUACCUCUAGACACUUUUUUAGGCAAUCACGACUGAGGAGAUUUCGGAACAAAAAAUAUUUUGUUACUCGGUGAUUAGUAAAUAUUGGUGUUUUCCUAGGGAAAGUAAUCAUGGCUGAGAUAAUUUUGGAGCAAAAUAUAAGUUUCACUCCGAAACUGGGGGGCACGUGUUGACACCAUUUUUUGACAUACAUCAAAGAUGGCGUCAAAAGGAGUAGAGAUGCCAACGCAUAGUGGAAGGACAAUGGCUAGUGGAAUCGACAUGUGAGGUUGCAGAAGGUUUAGCUGAUAGAGUAAGACAAAAGCCUAGGCGAUGGGAUCACAGGGGCGUACCCAAUGGAAGAUGAUGGAGGCGUAGCCGAUAGAGUUAGCCGAUGCGAGCAGGAGGGUUCUAGCCGAUUGGAAAUGUUGGAGGUUCGGCCGAUGAGGAGCUGGUUUUGGCCGGUAGAAGCCAAGUUCGUUUCCAACUCCUGCGCGAGUCAUUUUUAUUUACAAAGUUUGUUUGUUUAGAGAUAGGUCUUAUGAUUUGUCGUAACCGACUAGGAUUAGAAAUCUUGAUGUAUAGGGUAUAAAUAGGGGCCUUGUAAGGUCUGGAAAAGACACACACAUCAUAAUCAAUACGAAUCUACUAUUUUCGCAAUCUACUUUCAAGUCGGCGACUUCUCCAUUGUUUUCUUUUCUUUACAAGUUCUUCCAAGCUGGUUGGGCUGCAUCGCUUCGAUCUCUGGCUAGACUGUAAGUUCCGUGUUUACCGAAUAUCUCCUAGGCUUUAACUUCGGGCGCAUCGCUGUCGUUUCGUCUAGAUUUAUUCACAAGUUAUCGAUAUUAACUACAUCUGCAAGUUUUAUUUGUGAAAUCUUGUUGUUUUAGUUCUUAUCAUGAUUAUCCUUCUUAGAACACGUUCCAAUCGGCUUUUGCUUUAUUUCACGUACUAAUCUACUAUCACAUAGUAGAUUAGAUCUAUUUUAAGUGUUGUUCAUGUAGUACUGUUUAGGUUGUAUUUUACGCUUCCUUUACAUCUACUACAUCCACAUUGGCUGAUCUAGCCGAUUGUCUUUUCUCGUGUUGGCAGCUUUGCUGAUACGUCCUGUGGAGUGAUUUGGAACGCUAACCGAUUUGCUCUUGUAUUUGACAUUUUACCUGUCCUUGUCAAUCAAUAGGUCAGAUUGAUUAGCACACCACGGAUCGAUAGGGCUACAACCUGAACAAGAGCGAAGCAGAUUCUCCCGGGUUUCGUGUGUUAGUGCGCGGGAGCCAUCUCUCAAUUUUUGUGUCAACACGUCGGUGAGUACUUCACUGAUGAAGUAUACCGGUCGCUGGACCUUCAGCGCGUGUCCCAGCUCCUCUCUGUCGACUAGAAGGGUAGUGCUGACCACGUGGUCGCUUGCCGCAAUGUAGAGGAGAAGGGGUUCUUCCCGCUUGGGAGCGACGAGGACUGGGGCCGAAGUCAGCAAUGCUUUGAGGCUGUCCAAAGCCUGUUGUGCCUUCUCCGUCUAGACGAAUGCAUCCGCCUUCUUGAGGAGUUUGUAGAGAGGCAUCCGCCGUUCGCCUAGUCGGGAGAUGAACUGGCUCAGGGCGGCCAAACAACUAGUGAGCCUAUGUAUGCCCUUGAUGUUGCGUAUGGGGCCCAUGUUGGUGAUGGCCGUGAUUUUUUCGGGGUUGGCUUCAAUGUCGCGCUCGGACACGAUGUACUCCAGCAGCUUCCCCUUUGGAACCCCAAAAACACAUUUCUUAGGAUUCAGUUUGGCGCUGAACCUUCAGAGGUUCGCUAAUGUCGCGGCUAAGUUUGUGAUCAUGUUGCUUGCUUGAGUCAUUUUCACCACUAUGUCAUCCACGUAGACAGUGAUAGUGGGUUUUGGCCGCUCAACUUGGUCGGGUUGGUCGGACGGGUUGAUCUAGUCGACGAAGCACCGCUGCAUGCACUGUUGAUAGGUGGCACCCGCGUUCUUCAAACCGAAUGCCAUGGUCAGGUACAAGUACGAACCAUACGGGGUGAUGAAGGACGUCGCGACCUGGUCGGUUUCUUUCAUCGUGAUCUGGUGAUAGCCUGUGUAGGCAUGCAGAAAGGAGAGGAUUUUGCAAACUGAGGUGGAGUCGACUAUCUGAUCUAUGCGUGGUAGAGGAAAGUGAUCCUUGGGACACGCCUUGCUAAGGUCAGUAUAGUCAAUACACAUUCUCCAUUUCCCAUUCUUCUUUGUUACCAGGAUUAGUGAGCCAGUCAAAGUGGUAUACCUCCUUGAUGAAGCCAGCCGCCAGGAAUUUGGUGAUCUCCUCACCUAUGGCCCUGCGCCUUUCGUCAUCAAAGCGGCACAGGCGUUGCUUGACGGGCUUUGAGCCCAGGGCGAUGCGUAGUGCGUGCUCGGCGACCUCCCUCGGUAUGCCCGGCAGUUUAAGCCUGCUAGGAAUCUAGGAUAGGUGGGUUCGUCGCCCCCGACACGCUUGUGGAAGGUGUCGAGGACAUCCUCCAUGUCAUAGGAUGCCUCCCUGACCUGGUGUGCCCAGACCUUGACCUGCUCAUCGAGCUGGUCCCAUGGCACUUCCGCCACCUUUGGGAGGAGGGCGUGCACGUGGAUGCUCUCCGGCUCCUGUGAGAGGAACUCCACUUUCUUCCUGACUCCCUUCUGCAGCUUGUAUUCAUCUUGGAGCAGCUUGGGGGCAAGGCAGCCCAUUGCCCCUAUCACCAGAUCCAUGGUCCCAAGCUCACUAUCAAGCUGAUGUGUGUUAUGUAGCUGAUGUGCACAUUCUAUUCUUUCUUGCAGCUUAGAUCUCAAGCAAGAUAUUAGCGAAGGAUGGUCGCGUGGAUGGAAGUGCCUGAAACUAAAAACAAAAACAUCAAUCCAGUCCAAUUCAACUCGUAAAUCGAAAAAAUAGCUAGCACCUAGGACCAACUAAUACAAACCGAAAUUCCAGUGACAUGUUUUUGUUUCAACUCAAAAAAAUUUGCAGUCAGCAAUUUCGAAAUCAAAAUGCUUCAACUUGACCAAUCUUAAUUACCCAAACUAAGACGGGUAAGGCUUGUCAAUCAGACGUUUCAUACUGGUUGUGGGCCACGUGAUAGUGCCUGAUGACUUUUAACUGUGUAUGGCUACGUGAUAGUGCUCACAUUGAAGCCUUUUAAUGUGAAUUUAUAAAAAAUUUCAAUUCUAUUCCGAAAUUAACGUGGUGCUCACAUUGAAGCCUCCAAUUGGUGAAUUUAUAAAGUUGUCUCCCCUGCUGGUCUGUCAUAAAAAAUUGUGAAAGUUAUGCUCGACUAAUUCAUAAGGAAACAUAAACAUUUUCAAAACUAACAGAGAAACUAUUAAUUUAGUGACAUAAUGCUCGUCAUCUUAAUUAGAGCGUUGAGUAGCUACUUAAUGGGCUUUGGUUGAGCUUGUAGAUCGACUUGCAGUUGCAGUGAAUGAGCCGAGGACUGGCGGUACCAAUAACGGGAGGCCGCUGCUCUGCUUGCUACCGAGGCCUGUGACGCACGGACCGCAUUGAAAGAGUGCAUAAUUUCCAAGGACUUUAACCCCAAGGGCUCCACACCACUGAUUGAUCAGCUGUCUGCUGGCUGGGCGCUGUAAGGAGGUAGUGCAUGUUUGACAUAAAGCAGCAGGUGGCCCAGGAUUCACGACAAAAAAGGCAUGCUGCAGGUGGCCCAUGUGGAGUUGUACCCCGGCCUAGAGCCCUAGAGCCAUGGCGUGCUGCUCCCCCCUGCUUACUGGCUACUGCUAGGUCCUCUCGUCCUUUCAUCAGCUAGCGUCCCGCUGCCAAGCUUCAUUUCUCUUCGUGUGUGUCUAUCUCUCUCUAUAUACGUGUGUGUUUUGGGUUUUUUGCUUGAUUAUUCUUACAAGUUUAGGGGUAUUUAGUUCCACGGACUAAAGUUUAAUCCCUGUCACAUCGAAUGUUUAGAUACUUUAGUCAGUCGAACUCUCCAUCUGUGCAAUCAGUUCCUCCUAAUUAGUAUCUAAAUAUCGGAUAAUUUCAGCAGUCUUCAAAAGUUUCCUUUGUGUUAAUAUCUAUUCUCUCAAGCUGAUACACUUUUCAUGUGAGAAACCUUAUCUCAAGUUUUCAGCAAUCUAUUAUUUUCCUCACUUUGUUUCCUUGAUCAAAGAGCUCCAGCUAUGUAUUACAACAUAUGUGUUUUUAUCAGAAGGACCUACAACCUUGCUAAUGCAAUCGCACCUGCAUGAAUUGUGGAUCUAAGAUAGAAUGAAGAAAGUAGAGUAACAUUGAGCUAUUUACACAGGCUACCAAGAACAUGUUGCUACCGGCUCGGAUUUCAAGCACAAUCGAGAACAAGCAAGAAAAAGAAAAAAUAAUAGGGUGAAAAUCUAGAUCGAGGAUAUUUCAUUCAAAAGAAAGACAGAAAGCUAGAUGGAGAAAACAUUAAGCAGGUUGACAGAUAGAGUGUUAUGGCAAGUGGGCUGGCCGUAGGUCUAGGCCCACGAGUACUGUAGCUCGUGAACAGUACCACGAGGGGAAUAAGAUUGGUUUGUUAGCAGGUCAUUAAGAUAAGGUUGUUAAAGAGAUAAGGUUAUUUAGAUUAGAUUGGGUUUGUUAGGUAGCUAGCUAUAUAAGCACAACCACACCAUCCGUUGUAAUCAAGCAAGAAGAACCUAAAAAGUAGUCAGAGCCUCCUAGGGAAGACGACGAAUAGAUUCUUCGUGUUAUCCCCAAUUCUACCAUAUCAUACAGCCAGGGAGCCAAAGACACACACCUCUCUGAUUCAGCUCCUCGAAUGUGCUUCAGAUCUAGGUAGAGAGAAUGAAGGAUGGAUGGGCUUUUGUUGAUCAGCUCUAGAUCAAGCGCAGCUAGUUGUGAAGGAGACCACUGCUUGGUGGGGGUAACAUCUGUUUGCUACCAAGGUCUGCGACGCCUGGACCCCCGGCGCAUUCUAAGGAUUUUAAUCUCAGGGGACUUAAUCGUAGUUAUAGCUAUAGUAUUCCAGCAUACAAAUUGUAGAAAUUUCACGUGAAUUGUACUCCCUCCCCUGACACUAUGAAAUAUUCUCCCUGAGAGUCCCCUAUUAUCCGGUAGUAAUUUUCAAUUGAGUUCAAAUCCUUCCUCUUCUUAAUUUUGUUCUCUUUGUUGGAUUGUAUGUUCACUCCUAUGCUGUCGUUUUUUUGUUGUUGUAGCCUGUAUGCUGUGUGGUCACGAGAACGUGUGCUCUAUCACUGCCAAUCAAUGACCAAUCUAGCAGGCUAGCAGUGUGUCUCUGUGCUUGCGUGGUCCGAUCCCUCUGUCUUCGGGGUCCCGCGUUCCUAGCUUCCCUGUGCAUAUCAUCUCCCUGUGCAUCACGUGGCACAUGGAGUGUCUUCCCUUGCCAUGUCCCUAGCUUCCCUGUGUAUCUCAUCUCCAUGGCACAGAGAGCGUUCAUCACAUGGCACAUGGAGUGCCUGAUGACUUUGUGAGUCACCCUUGUACUCCCUCCGUCCCAAAAAAAUGCAACCAUCGCUUCCCGAGGAAUCAAUCAAUUUCAAAUUUAACUAAAUUUAUACAAAAUAGUAUUAACAUUUAUGAUACAAAAUAAAUAUCAAUAAAUUAAUCAUGUAAUAUAUUUUCAUACUAAAUCUAUUUGGAUAUGUGAAUGUUAGUAUAUUUUUAUAUAAAUUUGCUCAAAUUUGAAACUGUUUGACUCCUUCGAAAGUAAGAAUUGGAUUCUUUUUGGGACGGAGGGAGUACGGCCGAGGGGUAGUGUAGGUCAAGUCUUGACGAGGAGGCCCUGCCGUGGGCAUCAUCUGCCCACUGGCCUUCUCGCACUCCUCAGAGCUGAGCCCAGUCAUUUGACCACGCAUAUUGAUGAAUGGAAAAGGGAUACCAUGGGAAUGGGAUGGCACGCACUUCGAAAGCUAGGGCAUGUUUGUUUGAGCUGCAACUUUUAAUCUUUUCUGAAAAAAUUGCUGUUAGUUUUUUUUCUGAAAAGUCAACACUAGAUUUUGGAAGAUGUGUUUGGUUUUCUGAGCUCAGAAAGCUAAAAAAAUCACAAAAUUAAGAUUUUUAGCUUCCCAUAUAAACUUAAUAUUUAUGGGAGGCUUCUAGAUUUCCAGAAACUACACGAGAAAUUCACUAUUUGUUUGAGCUUCUAGCUUUUCAUGCACGAGAAGCUGCUUGGAAUUUCAAACAAAUACGCCCAAGCAAAGAAAGACAGUCAAAGCUAUAAAGUUCGUCGGAUGCGAGCAGUAUAUAUUAGCGGCCACAAAACAAACUUUCCGACUUUGUUAUAUCCAUCGGCCAUUGGCAACGGAACACGCCACUAUAGGUGGAUGAGAAAAAAAAUUUGAGGGCCACUCCAAUUUUUCUAUACAGGAAAACUGAAGUCUUUAUCAAAAUACAUGAAUGAAGAGCCAAUAAUUUUAGUACGUGUUCCAUAUCUCAACUCUGAAUUCCAAUAUAAAAAAGUGAUUGAUGCCUGAUGCCUUAACUCCGCCUACAUAUGCAUUGAUGCGAACAACUGACCGGUGAUGAUCGAAGUGAGUGCUCAGUGAGACUAAGGUGUUUGGAUCCUUGAGCUAAAAUUUAGUUUGUGUCCUAUCAGCCCGCCAGCGAUGCUAGGCCACGCCACAUGCUUAUCAUGAAAAACACUGCAAGAUUGGAGAUUAGGCUGAUGGAAGACUAGUGUAACAACUUGGUCUAGGAAAACGGCUAAGGCCCAAUCUACAUAUCGAAUGGACCACACCUACUAGUAAUUCGCUUACACUUUGGUCCUCGCUUCAUGAAAAAGGGUUAACCCGAGGUUACUAGUCUUCCUACUGGAUCCUAUUUAACCUAGUUCAGUUCCCUCUCCGUUUCCGGUUUUGACUGUCCUCGUGUCAGUACAGUGUCACUACAGGGUCGGGAGACGAUUCGGACUCUUAGGGGGACCACGACGAUGGUGGCACCUCCGAAGGGCAUGGUGGCGAUCGCGCCCGCUUCGCCUCCCGAUCGUGGGCAACGUCCACGCCCGCAACACGCUUCCUCGACUCAGGGGCGCCGGAAGGCACCCCCGUACGACGCGUGUUGCCAGAAGACGCGGCUACAGGCUCUCGGCACCCCAUCAAAGACACGGCGGCGCCCCCGUCCACCUCAUCCCCCGAAGAGUCCGAAUCAUCUCACUCAAGCUCCGCCUCUACGUCCGACCAGCUCUCGCCACCGUGGACCCGCCAGUUAAUCUCUCUCUGCUUCACCUACCUCCUCUGGAUCUUUGUGGUCCUCUUCUUCUUCCUCUCAUCUGCGGCCAUCUUUAGGGUAGCUUGCCAAGCCAUGCCUUCUGGCCCUUUCAGGAGGUGCGAUCGGGAUCGGUAGCGCUCGAGCCCCUAUGAUACGAACAAUUCAGAAUCGGUCAGGAGAUCUGGAUAAAGAAGAAAAAGGCCAUAGGAAGAAGUAUACCAGGUCGGACUGCCUCUGGGCAUGGAGAGGACCAGGCGUCCCACUAAUGGAUGGGUUCUACCCCAACUGCAGCACCUGGUCCAUGCGCGUCGUGACCUCGCUACCCGGCAAGUCCGUCGGCAACACGUGGUCAGGAUCCGACGGGCCGGAAUACUUCCACAUAGGCCGCGCUCUUUCCCCCAACGGGGCAAUCCAUCGGCGGAUAAAGGUGUCGAAGACCCUAAAUCCGUUGAGUCCCACUUGCAUGAGCCUCCGCAGCGCUGGCUCGAUGAUCUCCAUAUGGUUCUUGUGGUAGGAAGCGGGGCCCAUGUCUAGCUAUCCUGCUUCGUUGGCCUCCCCCAGUGAACUUCGGGAAUGGCGCCUCCACAGGGUUUCGAAUGUAGAACCACUCGCAAUGCCACCCCCGAUUAGAAUCAUUGGGGUGUAUGGUGGGUAGGCAACCUUGGACUUCCUCUACAACGCAAAUCCUCCAACCAGGGCUGGUCGGGCUGCCUUCCCGUUUUCCUCCGACAGAGCUCACCCGCUAAAGAUUCCCCGGAAGAGAUCUACGUGUGGCUCCUUCCCGAGGAACGCCUCGCAGACGGUAACGAAGCCGAUGAUGUGCAGCACCCCAAGUGUGGAGGAGCCUGCGUAGGAACCAAUGCGCGGGGUAUCCGAGCCCACGCUCGUGGAAGGAGAGGAAGGAGACAACCUCAUCGGGCUUGGGUCACUGUAUGACGAUCCCCAGCUCCGGAGCUCUCCAGCCCGCCACCGCCUUUGACUGAAGUAGCCCCUUCGUAGCAAAGUCCUCCAAUAGUUCCUCCCUCAUGGGGGAUUCCCUCCAACCAGACAUUGCGCGAUGAGAGCAACGGACGGAUCGGCAAGUCUUCUUUCCCUCUCUGUCUUCACCCUCCUCUCUCGCAUAGCUUGCCACAGUGCGCAAGGAAGCUUGGUGAAAAGGCGGAAGAGGAAGCGGCAACGAUCGAGGAAAGGUGAAAAGAUAGGCAAAAACCCUCCGCCUUCCCCCAUUUAAUGGGGAAGGUGGCGCAGAGUCUUAGAGGACGGGACGUAAUAGACAGGAUGUGGCCCGAGCGAAGGAACGUGGCCUAGGUAGGGCCCACCCACUACCGUAGCGAGGGUGCAAAAAAUAGGGCAUGACCGCACAACCCUCCGCCUUCCAAGGCAAGGUUUCGGGAAGGUCCCACCAUCAGAACCUCCACCGAGAAAAGACCAGCAAGCCACUCGGGUCAGUUGGACGACUCGGGCAUCCGACGGGAGACAGGUAAGAAAUGAUGGAAUGCCACAUGCAGGCUAAGCCGACCCCAUCACAAGUGACGGAUCCGGAUUCCACUCCGGCAUACCCGCUUAGGGUCCCCCAAGCCUGUCGCUCGAACCAUCAAAGGUAAGCUACGUCAGCUUAACCCCUCCGGUUGUGGAAACUGCAAAUGGGGCGAUGCCUAGAAGUCCGACCGACGUAAUUUUACCGACCCCCAUUUACUUUCUCAGCGUAUGAGCACUCAUUCAUUCAUCCAUCUCACGCAUGCAUACAUUCAUCCAUGCAUUCAUACAUUCAUCUCAUGCAUGCAAUCAUUGCAUUACAAUUGCUUUGCGUCACGUCACAAAGCAAUAGCGGUUCAUUCAAAAUGAACUGCGACUGACCGGGGUUCAAAGACCGGCCCGUGAAGGGCUCGAGGCCGCCUCGCGUCAAACAGAGCUAGGGGAGAAAAUGCGGAUGAGCCCCAGCAGCCCUCGCCCAACCUGCUCCAAAGCGGAUAGGGUCAUCUCGACCUUUUCAUUCGAUCCUAACCUCGAGCCAUGCCCAUAGAAUCUCCAUCAAGGGGAGGCCAACGGACAACCUGAGUCGAUCUCCGAAAUGGCUUGGGCAUCUGUCGGGAGGCAGGUUAAGGAGCAGUGGAAUGCCACAUGAGGGCUAUGCCGACCCCGCUAUGAACGACGGACCCAGAUUCCACUCGGACAUGCCCUUGAAAAAAGGGGAUCUGGAAUCGAGGUGACAGUACCGCAACCGCUCGAUAAAGGCACCUGGGAUCAAGGUGACGGUAUAUCUACCGCGCAAUGAAGGCACCUGGGAUCGAGGCGAAGGUACCAGGGCACGAGGCAAUGGUAUGGUGCUCGCAUGAAGCUUAUCCUUAUCAUCCAGGAUACGGGGCCGGUCUCCACAAUGCAGCCCAUCCAUUUUGCAAACAAGACAAAGAAGAACAACACCCUCGUGUGUUCCCCCUGAUGAGGCAACGACCUACCGACCAAAACACAGCAACCACUUCACGGCUCCAACGGAGCCCUAAAGGGGCUUAGGGGCUCCUGACAGGUCCAUAGACCUGGGGUCCCCAACGAGACUGCCUUCCUGCAGUGUUUGGCCCAACAAAAUGCCUAGCAACAACACGCACCUGGGCCGACCCAGCCGCACAACGCCAGGCCGAGACCGAGAUCUAGCCACCGACUGGCUCCUCCGACCAAGAGGCCUGGUCAACACCUCGACCAAAGGGGUCCAGUCAGGGGUGGGACCAAAGUCCGACCCUGACCGAAUCCUCCCGACCGAGGAUGCCCCGAACCACAUCGUUCCCCCUGACCAGCACAAUCGGGGGCAACUAGGACAACUGACUGGGGACACCCGCUCGGUGUGGACCUAGGAGUAGGUAGGACGGAUAAUGAGGAAGCAUCCAGGUCAACUACCGUACGAGGAACCAUAUCGCGACACGCGCUGCGCACGUCCGCAUUGUGCCACCGCAACCCACCCACUCCAACGGAGUGUUCUGAUGAGAUGAACAGGGACCGAGGACAGCAGCCAUACCUUACCUGAUGACGUGGAGCACGACAAGACUAGGCGAUGCCCGCACUCUCCCUCUCCCUCUCUCUCUGACUUGUAAGGCCGUCCCCUUGUGCUAUAAAAGGGGACGGGCCCUACCCAUCUGAACACACCACCAGUCAACCAGUGCCGGCCUUGCAAGGGUGCUAGAGGUGCGAUGGCCUAGGGCCCAUGGGAGGGAGGGGCCCAACCUAGGACCCGUGUUUAUAGGCAUACAGCAGGUCAGUAGCGCGUCCGCGUACGGCGUACAGAAAGACCCCCGGCCGGCCCUUUAGACGUGCGACAGAGUCACAGAGAACAUAGAGUGAGACCCCCGGCCAGUCCUUUAGGCCUUUACUUUAGGCCCUUCUCACCGUGUGACAGAGAGUUAGAGACCCAGGUAAUAGACUAACAGAGGGUCAGAGGCCCAUUAGGCUUUAGACCUAUAGGACAUCAGGACUUUGAUGCGUGCGCUGCCGGCCGAAUACGAAUUGCCGUCGUGCGACUGGAGUCUGGAUAGUUUGGUCCUGUGUCGGCGCCUCGGCAAUUCGGCACAUCCACUUUCGAGUUCCGCUUCGUCGAAUCAUCAUCUCGUCUUGUCUCGUCGACUCGACUCGUCAUCUUGGACUCACGGCACCACGCAUAGCAAGGCAACGAUCAGGCCCUAGGUAUUUUUUUCCUUGAUCAUUUUUUAAUCUAAAUUAAUUACUUCGGACUUGUAGUACUUGGUACUCAUAUAAUAUAGUUGUGUUUUUCUUCUAAUUUAGGUGUUAGAAUCUUAGAAUGUUACCUAAGAAACAUUUGUCGGGGGCUCAGAAAAGAAAACGGAAAAGAGUAGAAGAUCAAUUUAUUGAAUCUCAAAAAGGUGCUAUACAUAAGUUUUUUUUUCAGCUUCAAGCAGUGUUAUGCCUGAUGAUAAUCUUGUAGAUGCACUUGAUAUUGAAGAACAAGGGCAGCAACAAGUUAAUGAUAAUUUAAGUGAACAAGUUGAUUACAUUGAUGAUGCUACGGAGAAUAAAAAUUUACAGCCUUCCUCUCAACCUAAAAAUUCAAUUGAUGAUGUGCAAGAAACUUCUAUUCAUGAUGUCUUUGAUCCUAGAACUUGGGGAAAUCUUGAUAAUAAGGGUAGAGAUAUAUUGAUUGAAAAGGGGCCGAUGAGAGAAUUGAAUCUUGAGUUCCCUGCAAAUGCUCUUAAUAGACGUUUUUCAUAUGCUUACUACUCCAGAAAGUUAAGCAAUGGUAAGGUGGUUGAUACAAAAUGGUUGGUUUACUCUAAACAUGUGGAUAAAGUAUUUUGUUUUUGCUGCAAAUUGUUCAAAUUAAGUUAGAGCAAAAGUUUGCUAGCACAUGAUGGAUUGAGGGACUGGAAACAUCUUAGUCUUAGACUCAAGCAACAUGAGAAUUGUGUUGAGCAUGUAACAAAUAUGAAUACUUGGAAUAAACUUAGGCUAAGGUUGAGCAAAAAUAAAAUAAUUGAUGAUGAUUUCCAACGGGAAAUUGCAAAGGAGAGAAAGCGUUGCAGACAAGUUUUAGUAAGAAUUGUUUCUGCUGUCAAGUUUCUUGCUAAACAUAAUUUGGCUUUUUGAGGGAAAAAUGAGACACUAUAUCAAGAUAGCAAUGGUAACUUUCUGGGCACAGUUGAAAUGAUGGGUGAAUUUGAUCCCAUGAUGCAAGACCAUAUUAGGCGGAUUCAAAAUAGUGAGAUUCAUCAUCAUUAUCUUGGGCAUAAAAUUCAGAAUGAGAUGAUUUCUCUUCUUGCAAAUUGUGUGAAGCAAACUAUACUAAAGAUCAUCAAGGAUGCCAAGUAUUUUUCUAUGAUUUUAGAUUAUACUCGAGAUGUGAGCCAUGAAGAACAAAUGACUCUAAUUAUUCGAUGUGUUAAUGUGUCGAAGAAUGUUCCAAGGGUAGAGGAGUUCUUCCUAGAGUUCUUGAAGGUAGAUGACACAUCAGGAUUGGGUCUUUUUAAUGAAUUAAAGAAUAUAUUGGCCUCUCUUGAUUUGAAUAUUGAUAAUGUGAGAGGACAAGGCUAUGAUAAUGGUUCAAAUAUGAAGGGUACUCACCAAGGUGUUCAGAAGCGCUUGCUUGAAAUUAAUCAAAGAGCACUAUACAUGCUGUGUGCAUGUCAUAGUCUGAAUCUUACUCUUUGUGAUAUGGGAAAAUCUUGCAGGUAAACUAUUAUUUCUAUUAUACAUUGUUUUCAUAUAAUAUGCCAUGAUUUGGGAAAAGUUGAAACUUACUAUUUGUUAAAUCUUGCAGGCAAGCUAUUUUUUUUGUCUCAUCCAACGUAUAUACACAUUGUUUGCAAAAUCUACCAAAAGGUGGAACAUUUUGAUGGACAAUGUCCCAGGAUUGACAGUUAAGUCAUGGUCUAAUACAUGCUAGGAAAGCCGAAUAAAAAGUGUUCAAGCUAUCAGAUUCCAAACUCCUCAAAUAAGAUCAGCUUUAAUAGCGCUAGAGAAGGCUUCAACUGAUGACCUAAUGGCAGUUAGUGAAUGUCAAUCUUUGGUGAGUGCACUAGAGAAUUUUAAAUUUUUAGUUGGUUUGGUUAUUUGGCACGAUAUUUUAUUCUCUAUAAAUAAGGUGAGCAAAAAGUUGCAAUCUAAAAUUGUGAGUAUAGAUGAUACUCUCAAACAUAUUGAAGGUGUCAUAUCAUAUUUUAAGAAGUAUAGAGAUGAAGGUUUCACUUCUAGUAUGAAUACAACAAAAAAAUAUUGCAUCUGAAAUGGAUAUAGAGCCAAAAUUUCGUACAAAACGUCAAGGAAAGAGAAAGAAACAUUUUGAUGAACAAGAUGAUCAAGAUGAGGAAAUACAAUGGUCUGCUGUGGACUCAUUUAAAGUAGAGUACUUCAAUGUUACGAUCGAUGCUGCAAUUACUUCACUGACUAGUAGAUUUGAACAGAUGAAAAAAUUUGAUAACGUUUUUGGGUUCUUGUUCAACUCAAAAAAUUUGAAAUCUUUGGAUGAAGCUGAUCUUUGGCUGCACUGCAAGAAUUUUGUGGAAACAUUUUCUCAGGAUAACUCAUCUGAUGUUGAGAUCAAUGAUUUUUUCAGAAUUAAAGGUGCUACAAGUGACUUUGCCAGAUUCUUUGAUGUCGGCGCUUGAGAUUUUGGAGUUUGCUAUAGCUGCAGAUUGCUAUCCAAAUAUUUCAGUUGCCUAUCGAAUCCUCUUAACUGUACCUGUGACUGUAGCUUCGGCUGAAAGAAGUUUCUCAAAAUUGAAGUUGUUGAACAACUAUUUGAGAUCAACUAUGUCACAAGAAAGGUUAAAUGGAUUGGCUAUAUGCACCAUCGAGAGGGAUAUCUUGGACACUAUUGAUCUCAAUACCGUCCUAGAUGAUUUUGCAUCAAGAAACACCCGAAGAACUAUCUUUUUAUGAGAAGCAAUGGAUUUUAUGGAGUUAUAUUUUUCCUUAAGGUAAUCAUAUUAGUUUUAGUCUACAUUGUUUCUCGAUAAUUAUCAAGCAUGUUAAAUUAAAAAUAUAUCACUGGAUUUGUUUUCGUAUUGGAAAAAAAAUUAGUGCUUAUAUAUAUUAUAAGAUUUAUAUAUAGUCUAGAGGGUCCGUCGCGACAAGUUCACCAGAGGGCCCUCAAAAUCUUAGGACCGGCACUGCAGUCAACACGCAUUACACUCCAUACACGUAUACGCUCUCGAACACUUCGCGCACGUCUAAGCCUCGAUUACUCUCUUCCACUUGGACCAGAGCACGACCAGGUCUUGGACACCCCCUCUCAUCCCUCAUUUGGACCCCCACUGCAAACUUUUUGCACCGGGGCUCAGGAAUAUAGUUGACCGACCGACCCCGACUAGAUGUAGGGCCCGCUGCCUGAACUAGUAUAUAUCCUUUGUUAUUGUGUGCUAGGUCAUGGAAAAACUACAAUAUUUACUUGUCGGUCAGAUUUUGCACCGACACUAUUUGACAGAAAACAUAGGCCAAAACCUAUAGUGUUGUUUUUCUAAUUGAUACGUCAGUUUUUUUUAUGAAUGUAUCGUGGUUAAUGGCCAUUUAAUGAAAUUAUAAAGGAUAAUAACGAUCGUGCUUUCUGCGUUCCAAAAAGCAAUCAAGAAUUCAUGAAGGUUGUGCAGUGUAUGGAAACCUUAUGUUAAUAGUUAGAUGGGAAAUGUCUGAGUGACCCACCUCACCUUGCCAGGACACUGGUACUGCCCUCGUGGUUCACGCGCAUCAGGCCAAAAAGCAAUCAAGAAUUCAUGAUGUUGCCAGCAGUGGUCAGUACACAAAUCUCGCUAUCAGUCGGAUCCAAGGGCAGGCAUUUGCAUUGUGGUUGUGUUUGAACAUGGAGAUGUCGUUGUGAUUGUGAGGUACCAUAGAUCCUCUCUCAGUUUCACUCCGCCUCACACACGGAUAGCACGCCAGGGACCCGACACCAUGCAUGCCGAUUUCAUAUUAUUAAUAAUUAUUUUUGGAAUGGUUGUUGAAACUAUAUAGUUAGUCCAAUCUGACGUUUCCGAUUAUAAAAAUUAACAUAAAGAGAUAGUAUAAUAAGCACGCAUAAUGAAGCUGACGCGUACAGUAAGUACUAGAGCCAGCAUUUAUACAAACUGGUACGGAUAGUAAAAACUAGAAUUUAUAAAUAAAAAAAUAAUUUGCACAUCUAUGCAAUAAUGAGUGGUUAGUGGCAGGUCUAGAGAGAUAUCUCAUCAAAUUGGUGAGUUAUAUCCGGUUUAAACGAGGAUAAAAUUGAGUGUAUUUUCCACUCAUGUUGUCUUUUCGCUGCUGUACUGCCUUGAGUGUGUUGUAUUGUUCCUCUAACACCAAAAAGUCUUCAAGGCUCGAAAAAAUAACGAAAGUGAUAGCAGCCCAGAAAUCGACAAGUUUCUUUCCCCCUUUGCCUUUCCUACUAGGAUUCGGAAUCCUCUUUAGCACGACAAUCUUAAUUAUCUCCCAUAGUCCAAAACUCACAAAAACAUCAAAAAUCCGCUGAGAAUAAAUUAAGUAAAAAACAUGCACACACAGAUAAUAAUAAUAAUAAUCAUGUUUCAAUAAAAUUGCUAAGGUCAGAGACAAUACAUAAACAUAUCAGACUAUUCAUGACACAUAUCACGGUGGACAGAGUCUGUGUCCUUAUUACAAGCAGCGAGAGGAAUUAAAUAUGCAUGUCACCACACACAUGCACGCACAGAUGCAUGACAUACCACUACUAGACAACUCGGUAUAGUACCAUUUCAUAGGGUGCAUAUCUCUCGAAAAUGCAUCCAGGAUUAAUCCGUCGAGAUAAAAGGGGACGAUCUUUUAUCACGGGUCCCUGAAUUGGGGUCCCUCUUUUAGUCCCGAUUUGUAAAGCCAACCAAGACUAACGGAGCUGCCACGCUAGGCGAUGGACAGACCCCUUUAGUCUCGGUUGGUGUUACAAACUAAGACUAAAGUGCAUGUAUACAAUGCCAUGCAGGCGCCUAUAAUUUUGUGCAUCACAUAACCCUUUAGUUAGUUGAGAGUUUUUUUAAAAAUUAAUAAAAUCAAUCAAACUAUAUAUAGUAUUUAAACGAAUCAAUUUAACUAUUACAUACUUAUAUAUACAAGUCUUAUACAAUUAGCAAGUAUAUGUACAAUUCUUAAUUAGUAUAUAUAUAGUACAAUUAAUUCCUAGCUAGCUAGCUAUAUAGCUCUAGGAUCUUCGUCGAGGUCUUUCCGUCGAGGUGUUGCUCGGUGCUUCUUAAUUUCAUCCACCGUAAUGAUAUUUUCCUUAUGGAUUUAUCACCUUCUCCACCAGGAAUCCUACGAGACUUUCGCAUAUUGUGACUAUUCUUUUCUUCUCCAAGAUCUUGUCUCUAAUAUUAUGCAUCUAUAAUUUGGAAGUGAAUAAUGUUACACGAACAAUUAAAUAUAAGGAGCUAGAAAAUAAUUAACUAUUAAUAGUUUUAUUUUAUAUUACAUACUUUUUAUUUUUCCUGCAGCGUCAACCUGGCCUUGUGUGAUAGAAAAUUAUGCAUGUUCUCACAGAUAUAGUACCCACAUAGAUUAUUCCCUUGUUCCUAUCUUAAGCACUUCAGUGGAAACAAAACAAGUUAUAAAAUAUUCGUCAUAUAGAAUGUACAAAAUAUGCAAACUUCAUACGUACUGGGAAGUCUGUGUAGUGUUAGGCGAAAAUUUAGGAAACACACUUUUGUAUUGAGAUAAAGGUCCAGAAUUAUUAAUUACAAGUAUAGAAUGUCUUGAAUCUCUUGGUACUCCGCUAGUGGUUUCCUCAAGGAAUCGAGGACGGUAACUCGGCUUCUACCAGACUCAAUUACUAUUAGGAUCCAAUGGUAACUAUGUACAUAAAUAUUCAUUAAUCAGAUAAGGAAAAGGAAACUACGAUAGACGGUAUACGUACAUACAAACACUUACUUAAAGUUGUAUGGAAGUAGUAUGUAGCCCUUACCACCUUGAAGGUCCAGCAUAUUGAAACAGUCCACCAACGUUUUAUCUGUAAAAUCUCGUAGUUGGGUUUGGUUAACUACGGAUGGAUCCGUGAAGCCAACAUGCAAGUAUCCUUCUUGUCGGCACUUCUAAAUUAGCAGCCUACAUAAAAAGGAAGACAAAGUUAGUAGGGCGACGCAUGCAUAAAAAAUAAUGAUAUGGUCCAAAAUUUACAUAUAGAUAAACGGAUACUUACAGAGCCCAGGCGCUGAUGAGAGAGACGUCUAGGGCAUCUUGAUGGUACACUUCGUAUAUAUCUUUGAAUUCCAGCCAGAGGGAUUUCUCGCCUUCGCCGUAAAAAUCUAUCGGUUUUACCUUAAGGGUGAACAUGGAAGUCUGGUCGGCGGACGUAUUCAUGUACCAUUCAUGGAAUUCGUACAUCUUUGGUGAUAGGCUCCCUACCAACUCAGGCCUUCCCAGAGACUUUCCUAGCUCAAACGUCCAUCUCGGUUGAAAUGGUUGUGAAGCUGCUAGCUCGUGACCACCUAGCUCUAUACAUUGAUCAAGUCCCACUCCGAAUUCUUUCAUGAAUUACAAUACUUGAUCUUGUUGAGACUUGGGCAUUGCUGCUAUCCUGGUAGCAUCUCCUUCUGGUAGAUGAUGAAGGCGACGAUCAACAACACUAAAAAUGACUUUCCGUUUCUUUUUUCCCUAUAUUCAUCGCCUCCUUGGUUGAAUCUGACAUCUUCUGAAAAAAUUGUAAUUUAGUUGGAUCAAUUGUUGGUUGUGGCUCCAUCUCCCUUGCUUUUUUUUGUUCAGCCCUUUUCCUGAACAACUUCUUGCAUUCUGCUUGGAUUUCGGACCAGCAUUCCUCUUGAGUCAUUGCAUCCCAGCGUUCCUCAAGAGUCAUUCAGGCUCCUUAUUUGUUUUCCUCUUUUUUAUGUGCUGGCUUGGGAGCCGUUGGUCGUGACUUCUUAAUUGGGUCUCCAGCAGGUUCCUUUCUCAGGGCUGCAGGUACCUUGCUCGGGACUGCUCUUAGUCCCGGUGUUGUCGGUGAUCGGGGAGGAGUGUUGUUGUCGUCAUUGUUGCCAGCUGGAUGUGGAGAUGGAGACUUUGAUCGAGCAUGCAUCUACAACGGUCCUGGUGCUGAAGGUCCUGGUGGUGAUGUUCUAGUGGUGAUAGUCCUGGACUGACCGUGGUGGAGAAGUCAGUCUUGCCAUUUGAGGAGAUAGUUGCGGCUCGGGUUCUUCCGGGAGGGGUGCUGCCUCCAUGCCUGGGAUGAUGAUGUAGCGUUUGCGCCAUAGAAUGAUGCCUCCUUGAACCGCAUCUCCUAGUGUCCUUUCCCCAAUGCCUCCCGGGAGCUGGAGCUCAUAGCCUUCAUAUUGGCUAUCAACAAGCUGCUCUACCGAGACAUUAGCAUAGUCAGGUGGAAUCUCCAUGCCAUGGCUCACCUGCAUUGCCUAGCUUGGUAAGGCACUCGCGUACGCUACCUGUCCAUAUAACAGAAAUCAAGAUGUUAUUAAACUCCAAUCCUGAGGCGUUGGAUCGAUGGAUUGAGAAGAUUAUGGCAUAAAUAUUAAUUAUGUAUAAGAGUAUACCUUAAUAGUCAGUUUACCGACUGGUACAUGCAGCUCACAUGAGGUGCAUUGCCUGAUGAAAUCAAUAGUGAACUGUUGCUGGUCCUGUGGAUCGGGUUGUGCUCCUGAUUGGGAAAGGGCCACUCGACGAUUGACUUCAUCAUGCAUUCUUUGUUCUACAGAUUGCACUUGAGAUUCUAGGUUGCACCGCCAGCUCUGGUCAGCCGAAUCCUUUCUUCGCUUGCGGCUUCUGUACGAAUCUCUGUCUUCUUUGAAACCGUACUUCCACGGAAUGAUCCCGAACCCGCGGACACGUCCUGGGUGCUUAGGAUUCCCGAGGGUCAAUGUGAGCUCAUCCAUUUCUCGAUCCACCACCAAUCUCCCAGCCUUAACAUCUUCAAUGUUCUUGGCGAGUUGUUCACCCUUGAGACAUAUUUCCUCAGUUAAGAUCAACGUCCCAUCCUCUUGGCUCAGUUUGCCUCCAGGAGCGAAAAACCAAUUUUUAGCUCGUUGGUUCCAUUCAUGAGUAGCUGGUACGAUACGUCGUUCAAGCAGGUCUUGUUCCAUCUUGCGAAAUUUGGGCACUACUGUGUUUGGCCAUUUAAUCAUGUGACAUGACUCACGGAACGUCGGAAACGGAUUGAAGGGUCACUAGGGACGCAAACGUGAGGGAUGGUCAACGAACACGUAAAAAUAACCACCGGACACAUGUUCGGCCAAGUAAUAGUGUGCUAUAGCUCACGGGGAGCCAGAAACAGCCUCAAAGUGGACCAAGGGUGGAAACAUGUGGGAUAGCCAGAACACGCAAAAAUGGCCACCGGACAUGUGUUCGACCAUGUAAUGAUGACCUAUAGACCACAGGAGGGAGGAAAUGGACUGGUGGGGCUCCCGGGAUAGAAACGUGGAGGAUGGAAUAACAGUGAAAAUGGCCUUCAGAAACGUGUUCACUAUGUAACCAUGUGCUAUAGCCCUAGGGAGGCCAAAAACAGCCUGGAACAGGUUCGGGGAUAGAAACCAAGGGAAGGAGGAACACAUGAAAAUGGACACCGGACACGAGUUCAGCCAUGUAAUUGUGUGCUAUAGCUACGGCGACACUAAAAAAGGCUCGAAGGCCACCAGGGACGGAAACAUGGCGGACGACCAAAACACGUGAUAAUGACCAUAGAUACGUGUUCGGCCAUGUAACCAGAUGCUAGCCCAAGGAAAGCUGAAAUGGGCUCGAAAGGGCUCUAGGGAUGGAAACUAGGGGGUACAUGUUUGGCCAUAAAACCGUGUGCUAUAGCUCACAGUAGGCUGUUGGAAACUAGGGGGAUGACAGGAACACAUAAAAAUGGGCACUGGAUACAUGUUUGGCCAUGUAACCGUGUGCUAUAGCCAAUGGGAGGCCUAAAAUGGCCCAAAAGAACAUGGGGACGGAAACGUGUGGAAUGGUCAUAACACACGAAAAUGGCCACAAGACACGUGUCCGAUCAUGUAACCGUGUGCUAUAGCCAAUGGGAGGCCUAAAAUGACAUGGAAGGGCUCUAUGGGUAGAAUCCAAGGAGACAGUCGGAACACUGAAAAUAGGCACCUUAGACGUAGACGUAUUAUUCAGCCAUGUAAGCGUGUGCUAUAACUUCCGGAACGACGGAAAAAGCUCGAGAGCCACCGGAACGGAAACGUGGGGACAGACGGAAAAAGUUCGAAGGGCCACCGGUACGGAAACGUAGGGAUAACCGGAACACUUGAAAAUGGGCAUCGAGCACUAGUUCGACCAUGUAAUAGUAUGCUAUAGCCCACGGGAGGUCCAAAAAGGCCCAGCGGGGCUCCAAGGAUGAAAACAUGGGGGAUGGCUGGAACAAAGAAAAUAGCCACCAUUGGCUAGAGCUAACUGGCCCGAAGGUGUGCGUUUGUCCAACUAUAGCACAUUCUAGUUAACCCUUUACAACACAAGGAUGAAAGUUAAGGAUGAAAGUGUAAGUAAAUGCUUGCCCCUCGAAAGGGUAGGGCAGUGUGGCUCGGAGCACGGGAUGUUACAAUCAUACACAAGUCCAAUCAGGAAACAUGUACUAUAGCUCACGUGAGGCAAAAAUUGGUCAGAUUGGAUACUCAGGAGCAACACACGUAGGAACGACCCGAAGGAGUGGAAAAAGACGCCGAAUACAUGAACUAGUAUGCUACAGCUCAUGAGAGGACAAUUUAUCGAGCUAAGUGGAAAAGGAUGUCGAAUACGUGGACCGCCAAGAACCAUGUGCUAUAGAAAACAUGUGGUUGCGUCCAUAACACAUGGAAGGGGCCCGCGUCCGAUCGGACGCCCUACGAGAAGCAUUUCCGAUAGUUCAAUUACUGUUUACUUUUUUAUAGUCCAAUUAUUACAGUCCCCCUCCCAAUUAGUCCCUUAUCUACAGUCCACUAUUUACAUCACGAAUUAGUACAAUCAAUGCAACUGAAGCAGGUAGUCUAGCGGGAUCCUUACUAAUCGGGAGCAGAUAGCUGUUCUUGUUCAAUCAACCUGAGGUCCCAUCCUCGAAAGCAUCAUGGAAAAAGAAAAUAAUCAGAUCAGCAUACAAAUGGCAGCAAUUAAGCUAAUCAUAUCAAAUAGUUAUGGAAUAUAUCAAAAAAAAUUGCAAAUGCAGCAAUUAUUAAGAGGUCAAUGUGGCAGUAUCAAGUCACUGACGAAUUCAGGCCAAACAAACAUACGAGAAAUACUAGCUACUAAGCUACCUCAAAUUUCAGUAAACAAAUAUCAUGUUAAGAAAGCGCCAUUUUCAUUUAGUUGCAAGUGAACAUUCAGUUUCAAGAGUAAUGUCCAUUGAAAUAAGAGUAACAAGUGUUAUUUCAUAUUCUGCAUAUGCUAAAUCUGUCGUGUUACUGUAUAAUGUCCUUAUGUCAAGGUCAAAUGAUGGGUUUGGUGACCAAGCACUGCAAAAGGAGAAAUGGAUGCACGAAGGAAGAGCAUAUGACCGCUGCCUCUGCACAUACACCAACCAAUUCCUACCCAAGUAAACCCUUCUCUAUAAUGGGAAACUAUCAGUGCAGUGGACAGAUGGCAGAACUAGAGUGGACAUAUCGCCACCCCAAGUUUAGAAAUACUGCAUACACUUGCACAUUUACUAGUGCAAGCCCAGUCCUUCCUGUCGCUACCCCAUUCAGUCAUGGUUAAUAGCUAAAAUCACCUAUGAUGUCAAAGACUAGCUUAAAAUGCAGAAGUAAAAGAAGCCAUGAUGCCUAUUGCUAGUUCAACAGCUAGUGUUUCAAAGGUGACAAGGCGACCUAACCUAAGGCGAGCUGGGUAUGCCUUAUCACCUAGGCGACGCCGCCUUUGAAACAGUCAACAGCUUUUUUUUUGCUCAUGGUUGAUUUAAAAUGGACGUAGAGUCAAAAUCAUCACACUGAAUUGCUCCUGCAGCACAAGGUUGAAUGGAUUUAAUGUAAGUUAACACAAAAGGAGCGAACAACUCACGGCAAGAAAUAAUGAUCCGUUCCAGUGUUCCAACAAAGUAAUCAUGAAUAUUCCCUAUGAAAAGCACACGUCCAUCUUAGCUUCAAAUUAAGGAAAUGAACAGCAACAGAGGCCCCACUGUAUAUCCCAACAAUUAUUAUCUGUACAAGAUAGAAUAUAAAAAUAAAUCAUCAUGGGUUAAGCACAAAUGAUGAACCAUCACCAUUAAUUAACAUCAAAUCUAAAGACUUCUCCAGCUCAAAGUAGAAUGCAUGAACUGAAAGCUAAAAUCAUAAUUUGUGCCAUGCAACACUAUCAGUAUACGUAAACAUGCUGUACCAUGUCUCCUUCGUAGAUUACGCAUUCAGAUAAACAAGUUAAUACCAAUCACGCCUGCCUCCUGCUUUUCAUAGAUACAGCUGUUUCUAGACUAGUGUUUCGCAAGGACAGCUGUUCCACAUUUAAUGUAGCCUGAUUAGUUGAUAAACCGACAUUCCCAACAAUAGUCAAAAUAUGGAGCUAAAAAUUAGAAGCACACAACAUCAAUUUAUCAAAUUGUACUAAAAUUUUACUGAGGAAGAUUUUAGCAGAAACUAGAAAUAGCUAUCAUAGUCGGAGUUUCACAUUUUCACUCAAGAAGACUAUUAUCCUUUCGCAUAAAUAAGUAUAAAACUAUGAGCUAUUAUUAGCAUGUAGCAAGCUCAAAUCAAGUGCUAGUAUACACAUUUGCUCGAAUGCAAUAUACAAGGUCACUGAUUAGCAAUUGAAAAUCGGAAUCUUACGCAAUCUAUCCAUCUAUACAAUAUGCAUGCACAGCAGCUCCAAAUCAAACUGUACCUCCAUUGAAAGAAGCAUUACACUUUGCAACAUUAGAGAGGGCAAUAUAUAUCCCAACCUGGAUUUUUUGUCCGAAGGUACUAAUGCUAGGAUGGAAGGCCACUCAAGAGAUGGUAAGCCCAAUGAGUCCUUCAAUGCCAUAAAUACAGAUCACAGACACAUGUCACCAGUGCACAAGGAAUAAAAUUGAGAUUGGACAAGUCAAUCACCCAGAAUUUUUAAGAAAUAAGAAAAGAGAAAAGACCAAUGAAUAUCAUUAGUUGGAAUUGAUUUUUCCACAGAACUUUGCCACCAGCGAACUUCAUGCGUCCCCAAGAAGAAAUUAGGAUAGAACUUUUUUCUACGGCGCAUGGUGCACUAGGGAGGAGCAAGGACAUCUUAUAUGAACCUCAUCAUUCAGUGCAUCUGUCCUAACAGUUUAUAUGGUCAAUCAACACAUGAAGAUUCUCCCACCCUCCUCUGCUCCUAAAUUUUGAAGAAUAUGUUUGUGAACCCAUGAUAUAUUAUCAUGAGCUACAAAAUUUAAAUUGGCAAACUUAUAAAGUUCACAACUUUAUAAUUUUUGAUAUGUAUAUAGCUGCAUAAUUAGGAAUUCCAGUAUCAAGUCCAUCAUCCCCCGCCCGCCCUUAAGGAAGUCCAUCAUGUUGCCCAAGCAUAACUUCCUGUUCUGGUGUAUCAGUUUCAGCCUUUGGGGCUUUCAUCCAUUUUCAGCUUAUUGCCAACAGUACUAACAAUUAGCUAUCAUACUUUGUUCAAAUAGAUCUAAGAGACUAAGACAUCAAGGUAAUGUACAACUCAGCAGAAGACCUUACUUGCCACAGGCCAAGAUACCAGCACAAGUUAUAUAUAUGAAAAGAAUGUUGGCAUUUUGAAACUUCACUUUGGCAAAAGUUCAUGUCACUUCUGUAAAUUAAAACUAUAUAUUCUUUACUACAUCUUUGGUCAAGAUUAGAUGAUUUGCCUGAACACAUUCUAAGACAUCAAUUUCCUUACUGGGGUACAUUGAGUCAUCGAUAAGUUAGGGAAGCUGGUAAGGACCCUGAAGUUAUGGAACAAAGAACAGAGAGGAAGGCUUCGACUUCAUAAGACAAGUGAAAAUGCUGGAUGGAAACAACAUAUCAACACACAUAAAGCAAGAUAGCUUAUGCAUAAUGGAAUAACCUUUCACCUUUCAAUUUAAUGGGGAGGUUGCCAUUGAUAAGUUGGGAAUCAAGCUUGAAAAGCAUUUAGACAGUCCUGAGAAAAAUAAAUGAUGACCUGAUCACCUGAACGAGGGCGUACCCAGUGCGAAAGCUCCCACACAAGGUGGGGUCUGGGGAAGGGAAUUUCUAGACAGCCUUACCCUUGCAAAAUUCUUUUAAAAUUCUGCAAAGAUGCUGGAUAUAUUAUCACACCUGAACGAGGAACAAAAAAAAAGACUUCUACAUCAAAUGACCAGCAGGAAAUGCUGGAUAAAAACAAUGUACCAAAAUUAUAAUUUUACUUGAUUCCAAUACUUAAUUGGUGAUAACUAUGUACAAUGGAACGAUCAUGAUGUUUUAAAAGACAUGUUAUCCUCCUUAUCAAAAUAUUUGUCGCUGUUAACUUUUCCUCGUGAAAUUUGACCAUUCGUCUUAUUCAAAAAAUUAUGCAAGUAUCAUUCGUUUUGUUUGUGACUUCUUUUACUAUCAAAUGUAUUAUAAGUUUAUUUAUCUUUUUGUAUAUUUGCAAUAAAUUUUUGAAUAAGCCGAAUGGUCAAACGUCGUGAGGAAACAUCAACAACAACAAAUAUUUUGAUACGAAGGGAGUACUUUUAAAAACAUGCUCUUGAAAAGAAAGAACGAAACAUUAAAUAUGCUCAUGCACCCUGGUCUGGCGUCCUACGGUAGAAAAUGAAAUUGACAACAUAUGUGUAACCUCAUUAGGUAAAUGGUGCCUUUUUCAAAUUGAGUAUGAACAAACCUGAAUUUUCAAUGUGUUGUCCUCCUUGAUGGAUUUUCCAGCUUUAGGUGACACUAUACUUUGAACAUCAUUGCAAGUCCAAAUAAAUGCUAUCCUUUGCUUUGGGUUUUAUAUCUUGUGGGUGGUUGCAUUUCACAGGCUCAAGAUAGACAGAAUAUAACCUGAGUGGCAAGCGAAAGCUCUGCUGCAUAUAUGUUAAUGGGCAUGAUAUAAGCGUUACGGGUGCAAGAAUGAAAGUAUUGGAAUUUUGUCAAGAGAUAACAUCAAAGAAAGGUGGAAAAAAGAUACAAGCAGUAGACAAAUAUACUAAUUCCACAAAGUGUAAAAGGCACAAAUCGCAGACAGCACAUGCCAGAAGAAAGGAAAGAACUAGGCAUUAAUAUGCCUACCAUUGCACAUAGAUAAGAUAUACUGUAUCAUGAAUGUCUUCUUCCACUCACAUACGGACAGGUAUAAGGCUGACAAUAUCAAGAGGAAAAAAGUUGAUUACGGCCUAAGCAGACAAUAAUGAUGGAUAAUGGAAAUUACAGUGCAUGAAUAAUCACAUCCGGACGUGUGUGCCUAAAUAGUAAAUACCAACAAGAAAUGGCAAAUAUACCGUUGCAAAUCAAACAAGAUUCCAUGGCAGACCAUGCCUGAUGUUGUUCCCUGUGCUCCUAUGGAAAAAGGAGACCAACACCACAAGCAACUCAGGGAAAAUUCACAGCCAAGACACAGGAAUCACACAAUUUGCAUCAUGCCACCAUCAAAACAUGCAAGUACAGGGUUGGGAGUUGGGACAUUGGUAUUUAGAAACCCUUUACCUCUUCUUUUUUCUAGAGGCCUAUAGAUUAAUUAACAUUUUGAGAUGACAUAGAUUAACUAACUCGACUCAAAACCAUUUGAGAAUUCAUCAUAAGCAAACCUAACCAUAGUGACAAACUGUUGUGUUGUGGGCACCACCAAACCCGUCCUAGCAUUCCACCCCAUAAGACUUGUACUUAUCGGAACCCUAAAACCAUCAAUAUCCCAAAUCCCCGCGAAGGCAACGAUUAGGGUUAUAGCGGAAGAGACGUACCAGAACACCGUCCACGGACAGACGGCGGAGCGCGCUGCCCCCGUCGGGUCGCCGCGCGGCGGAGCGACCCCCUUCCCCCUAUCACACCGCUAGGGCUCCAGAUCCAGAGGCGGACCCAAUAAUUUCUGCAAGAAAAUCGAAGUCCGUAGGUAAAAUACAUGGUCAGAUCCGAAUCAAAUAGCAUAGAUUAGGGGCUUGGGACUUGGUGUUCGAUUCCGUACAUUAGGAAGGGAAGGGAAGGAAAGAUGUGGGCGGGCAUUCCCGAGGUCGCCGGCGAAGCGGCCCUGGCGGCGGCGCUAGUAGAGAGGAAGGCCGAGAACCUGAGUCGAGAGAGAGAAGGCGUGGUGGAGGCGAGAGGUCAAGAGCCGGGUGUGCUUGUUUGCAAAGCACGAGCACAAGGCCCAGUUUGGCCCAGCGAGACAGAAAGGCCCAGCCUAGCUUUGUUUUCUUGUUCUUCCUCCUCCUCAGUUUCCUCAUUUUAUUCCAUUUUCUUUUAAAUGGUAUUUAUGUUCCCGCCCUACUUUCUACUUUAAAGUGUAAUUUCAGUAUAAAAAGUGUAAUUAUUGUUUUAUCCUUAUUUUUUAAUUUAUAAUUUUAACAUUUACAAUUCACAAGUCAACACGAUUUUUUCUAGUCAACAAUCAAAACAAGAAAAAUGUGCAAAAGCCAAGGGCAAAACUGCAUCAACUUGUGAAUAGUGAAAGGCAAAAUCAUAAAGUUAAAAGAAAUGAGAGGAAAAAUACAAUUGCAGUAUGAAAUAGGAGAAGAACAUCAAAAUACCUUCUAUUCGGCGCCUUUCUUUUAAUACUCCCAAUAAUUAAUUAUUUUCAUAAAUAUGUGCCUUUCAUUGUUUGAUUCAACAAUUUAUGGAAGCUAGUUCAACAAUUUGAACAUAAGUUCAACAUUUCAUAUCCAUCUUACAAUGAAGGGACAAGACUGAUUGAAACACAUCCAAUCUAACGAUCUAUUAUACAUUUACUUUUACCUGAUGAUCCCUAAUUUAUCUUUCAGCCCCUUUGUUAUUUGUUUGCUGAUCAUCACGAUCGCAGACCGCGUCCCUGCCUCCAGGCUUACUAGCCUAUACCUAUAGGGUAUGACUGGUCAUGUCCAUGCCUUGACGGGUUCCUCCCAGGCAAGAUCAUUUAGGACCUUUCUAGUUGCUCAUAAACUAAUCGUUGUGGUUAUCUUUUAUUGGUUUGUGUCCAUAUAAGAGCAAGUAUAAUAAGAUGACGUAAGCAGGCCAAAUGAAGUGCCACAUCAGAUUUUUUGGUACGAACUCCAAUAAAUAUGGUGAGAGAAUGAGAGUAAAGAUGAACAACGGAGUCUCCAACCAUUAUAUGAGUGGCUAUUAGAUUGAAUCGAGAUGUUGCCGGCAGCUGGACCUCACCGUGUAAGCGUGUUAACUGGGGUGUUCGGAUAGUACGUGUCACAUCGAAUAUUCGGAGGCUAAUUAGGACUAAAUAUGAGUUAAUUAUAAAACAAAUUACACAGAUGGAGGCUAAAUGGCGAGACGAAUCUAUUAAACCUAAUUAAUCCAUCAUUAGCAAAAUAGUUACUGUAGCGGCACAUUGUCAAAUCAUGAACUAAUUAGGCUUAAUAGAUUUGUCUCGCCGUUUAGCCUCCAUCUGUGCAACGGAUUUUGUAAAUAAUGUAUAUUUAAUACUCUUAAUUAGUAUCUAAACAUUCAAUGUGACAGGGAUUAAAGUUUAGUUCGAGGAUCAAAACACCCUCUAAUUCUCCUCUCUGCAUAUGCACUAUACUGGGGCGUAAAUAAAUAUUCUCUGCGUAUGCAUGCAGCAGGAGUACACGGGGGGAUGGAUCGAUCAGGAAUCUGCUAUUCAUGCACAGCACAGUGUUCUGAAUUAUUCUAUCUGCUAUUCAUGCAGCUACGUUCUUCAAGCAAUCAAGCAUGUGUGCAUGUGCUGUCGUCUAUUAGCCUCUGUACGUCCAGUGGCCUACGUACUAUAUUAUUAUAUCAUUACGAGCAGCUAGCUUGCUUAUAUGUUGGAAAUGGGUUGCCGAAGCGAUUGUUUGCAUGUGGAUGACAUUGCUACAUGGAAUCCAAAAGUGGUGUCAAUUAUCAAUUCAUGUUUGGAUAUGCACGCCGUUAAAUUGACGUCACCGUGUGCAAGAACGCCAUGCCAUCUCCAAUCCCCUCCUCGAGUGGAUUGACUCACUAAAGGGACUGUGAUACCCUAAGAGGGAAUGUUGAAUUAGGUGUUCUAUAACUAAGACUCUAAGCACAUAUAAAAAUAUAUUUCAAUUUAUAUCUAGAUGUGCACUAGAUUUUUCUUUGUGUUGUUAUCGUUACCUCAUAAAAGUUUUGCACCCUACGUUCCAAUCCUACUAAACUACACAUUCCAAUUAUAGAAAAGGUAAACAUGGAACUAUAAUAAGUAAUGCAAAAGGUAAAUGAAAUAGAGAAUACAAACUCUCGGCGUGAUGAAUUUUUACCGAUGUAUUGGAAAGCUCUCACUUUCGUCUACUCCUUAUUGGAACCCUCGCAAGGGGAUGCCUCAUACAAGAGCUUGGCUCUUGGUCGGGUAACUACAUGAAUAGGCAGUAGCCCUUCACCACGAGCAAGUAGAUCUCCGUUUUGCCUUUCCCGGAUGCUCUCCAUCAACUUCACUAGGUAGAGCUUUGGAAAAUCAUCAAGGGCCUCUCCUCCCUUGUAUAAGCACCAUAUGCCACUCCACAAAGGUGGUUGUAGGGUCUCGAGCCAUGGAUUUACAACUCUUGGUACGCCCAAGCACCGAUAAUAAGAGGUUUGCAAACCUCAUGUAACUCUAGGCUAAUCCUAAAGCAAUACACAAAUAGGCCUAAACUAAUCUAGUAAUAUUAUUCACUGGAUGAAUCAUAUCGGCGAAGCAACUCUGAACAUAGACAUUGCCGACACCCAUAGCACCGACUGAUUCGGUGUUGUUCAUGGUAAUCACCCUAUUGUUCGGUGAUACUAGAGCUGUGCUUCUCCUCAGACAGAGAGGAGGCAAAACUCAUCAUAGGAUGAUCCAAUGAUCAUUAUUGUGACACCGUAUGAUCUGGUGCACACAGUACACGCUUUCUUGGCCCUGCUGCCAAUUUUUCUAUCACUGACCGAUACGAUGUAUUGGGUGCAUGAACACCGGAUGGUCCGGUGCAUUAUGAUAGUGACUCUUUUCAUCAGGAUUUGCUUCAUAUCAUUACCCCGUCUUUUUUUCUAUGAUGCUUUGGGUUGCUUUAAGGUCUUCCAGGGCCUUCUACUUCUACAUUUUGAAUUAUCAAAGCAAAAUCUUUAUGUGAGAGUUGAAGCUUCAAAAGGUGAAUUAUGAAUUUACUAGUAGGAGAUGAGAUAGUCUUUUCCCUUGAAAUGGAAAUUGAUAAAACUAAGUCGACAAAUUUAAUUUCCGCAAGUUAAAAAAAAGAAAUUUGGAUGACCCUUCAUUGUCUCCUCCUCCACCACUAAUUUUCCCUAUACAAGAUGUAACUCGCCUGGCCUCCUCCAACCCUCGCCCACUAGCAACUCUCCACAGUGACUACUGUGGCCAACGCCAUACGGUGCCUUCUUCUUAUGUUGUCUCAUUCACCUCUGACAUGGUGUUGUCAGCUUGGCUGUGGCUCAUGGUCCACGGCCAUGUCUUUAAUUUAGAGCACGCUGAUAUGCAAAACCUCCACCCCAAAAUCUUAACCCAAAUGAUGGCAGCCAACAACGAUGCUAUAUACACUACUGGAGAAACAUCCAUUCGUAUCGGCUCAUCUAUACUGGACAUAAAUGAGCCGGUAUGAAUAAGUCGUUCGUACCAGAUCGACGAGAUGGCACAAACAAUGAACUACCCAUGCCGGCUCUCUUAUUUGUGCCAAUGCAAUUUUAAGCCAGCGUCAAUAAUGAUUAUCCUUUUUUGCUCCAAAUUUGCAACAACACGAAUACUCAAUUAUUCGUGCUAGCUCAAAAUAGAGCUGGCACGAAUACUCUUAGGAUUAUUCGUGUUGGCUCAAAAUUAGACCGGCAAGGAUAAUCCAUUGUUCACACCGGCUCAAAAUUGCGAUGGAACAAAUAAGAUUCCCGGAUAUGCAAUUCGAAUUUUAGCAUGUAUUCGGAAAUUCAUAACUUUUGCAUAUGGGCUCGGAUAGAGACAAACAUUGUAUGAAAAUUGUACCACUUGAUGAGAUCUAUAACUUUGUAGUUGAAUCUUUUUUAAUUUGAGAUCAUUUACAUGCCCAAAUAAUGGAUCAAAAUGUUAAACAAUAAGAGUUAAAAGGAAUAAAAGUUCCCUUUGUGUGCAGAUACAUGGUGUAGGUGGGAUGGUAAAGAGGUAUCGUGAGAGGAGGGAGGCCGUGAGUUCGAAGGUGGAUAGAGCAUGUGCAACCGCGAGGGGUAGCUCGGGGGUGGCCUCCAGCCUAAAAAAUACUUUUGCGUGUUUUAUUUAUGAAUUCAUAUUUAUAGAUGGCUAUUGAGCCAGCACGGAUGAGUUGCUCUUCAAUAGUGAUAGAUGGCUACAAGCUCGCACAGGGGAAGUAGCUAACAGCCAGUGGUUUAACACACCGUUUGGAGCUUCACAAAGUUUUUGCUAGUGUGUAAGCUCUACGGGUUAUUAUUCACAACUAGACUUAUAACAUUUCCCAAUAGAUUUUCUACAAGUGACCAAACGAUUUUUAGUAUACUUAGAUAAACAUCUACAAUAACUCACUAUAAGGGAUCUUCCUAUCUAUAACAAAUCGAAAUGCGUCAUAAACACAUUUUUUGCGUCAUAAAUCGUGAUUUAUGACGCUCGUACGAUGAAUAUCAUUCAUCACUAAUCGAGUAUUGUAAACUGUGACUUUCCUUAAUUAUUUCCGUGUGUCACUAAGAUUAUGAUAAUUACAGAACAUCAAUGAAAACGUCAAAAACUAGCUCCUGCGUAGCAAGCCACGUGCUGGACCACAGUCCGAUGUGGCGUAACAAUUGUGACGAAAUAUUUCGUUAUGACUUAAUUUAGAUCCAAUUCUUGUUGAACCGAGCCUAAUAUUUGUUGUCGUCAUAACUUGAUUUAGGCCCAAUUGUCAUAGACCGGAAGAUUUCUUGUAGUGACCGUGGAGAAUGGGUUUAUUAAGAGUUAUGUUGUUGGUGAACUAUUGGGGAAGAUGCAAAUUAUUCUAGAAAAUUUUUCGGCCACCUAAGGAAAAAUAAUUAAAAACACUAAAACUGUUCGCUACUCAUACAAAUUAAAACAAUCAGGAAAGUUUGUGAUUGAGUGAUUUAUAUAUUAGGAAUAUAAUAUUGUGAUUUUUUGUUUGACGAGGAGCUCAUAAUUUUCUUUUUGUAAACCAGACCAUCAUGGCAGCAUCCCAUCAACAAGCUCACUGAUAUAUCUCUAUAUAACGUUAUUCAUAAAGGUUUAUUUGCUACUCCCUCCGUAGCAAGAUACAUAUGUCUAGAUCCAUACCAAAACCUAUGCCUCUAGAAAAGCUAAAAUGAAUAGUAAUUUGGACCGGAGGGAGUAAGACUUAAGGGGACGGGGAACCUGGAAACUUAUAAAUAUCAAACGUGUUGCUAUGGUAGAAAGAAAUUGGCAAAGAAAGGAAGCAAGUGUAGCUUGCAUUUCUUUUUCUAAUAAGAGACCAUGAAAUGUGGUAAGGAAUUGCAAUAAUAUACGUAUGUAAAGGGGCUGGUAAGUGUUGAGAAGCACAUAAAUAAUUGUUUAAUUUAGUACGGAAGUACUCUAUUUGCAAAUGAAAUUAAUUUUGAUAUGAUAUAAUAAAUUUAUAUGGGAGUGAGCAGCAUAUUGCCCCCACAUGAUGAGUAUUGGAAGUAUGUAGGAAAACAACAGAUGACCACUCCGUCGGUUCGUCCUCACUACUGUCUGCUUGUGAUCUUGAUGAUUAGCUCAAGCAAUGCAAGCAAACCUAACUUGCUAAUCAGGAUUGUAUUCGUACAACAAUUAUAUAUGAAGGUAUAUAAAACAAACUUUUUUUUUAAUCUGGACUCCGAUGAAAUAUGGCUAACCGCAUCAAAUUCCACAUGCAUGCAUUAACCAAAACUGAUCGAUUUUAGGGAUGAAAUGCUAGAACAGAAGUUUGUGGCUAACAAACCAAAAUAAAAUGAAAAUAAACAAACAAGCUAGCGAGGAAAAUGUUUGAGUCAGUACAAAGUUCUCCAUGCUGAAGGUAUAUGCAUGUAUGCUAGAGGCAAAAUCAGGAAGCAUAAGUUGAUCAAGGAUCUAAAUGAACACAACAACAGCAAUAGAGGAAGACUGUAUGAGCUAUGUAGUAUUGAUUAUCAUUUUGACAAGACAAAGAAGAAACCUCCCACAUGUUGCUAAAACAAGAACAACAGUUGAAAUUGAAAGAGAGAAAUUUAUAUCUAAAGUAGCUCUUUGGCCAAAAAAUGUAUGAUCCGGUAGCACAAGAAAGGAAAUGAGAAAAAAAAGGGAGAGAAACAAGCAAUCAACAAUCCAGCAGGAGUAGCUAGCGAUACAUUCAAAAGACCAAACAAAUUGAUCUCCUUUAGUUUGCAUGCACAAGUAUGUACUGGCUCUGUGUAUCAUGUAACUUUUGGAGUGGUCCCAAGCCUUAACUCUAGAUCUACUUCAUGUUGAUCCACAAGCAGAAGGGAACUAGAGCUAGGGCUUGGGAUUGUUGCUUGUGGUACCUUUGCAUCAUGAUCAACUCCUCCUUGUAGCCCCUGUGAUGAUUCACAUGCUGUAACCUCCGCCACUGGCUGCACAAAGAUCAGAAGCGCCGCCGCGGAGGGAUGAUCCAAACGCCUCCUCUUUGUCCUCGCUGACUCCUCGCCGUUGUUAUCAGCAAGAUCGCAGUGAUCUUCUCUCAUCUCCACGGGGGCUGCUGGCAUCGACAUGAGGAGCUUGUUCUUGCUCUCCUUGAUAAUGGUUGAUAAGUAGGAAGUAGCAGGAGGAGUCGUGGUGUUCUUCGCACCCCCCUUGUUGGCUGCUGAGCCGGCGGCAGUACCUGCUGCGUUAGUCGCCGCCGUUGUAGUGCUAGGGCUAGAGGCGGCCCUGUACAGGAGAGCCCCUUCCUGUGGCUGAUCAUUGGGGGCGUCGGGGGAUGAGCCCCCCUGCCGGAGAAGAGCUCGGUCACGGCGAUGGACGUUCAUGUGGCCACCGAGCGCCUGCGCCGACCGGAACUCGCGCUGGCAGAAGGUGCACGAGUAGGAGCGCGGCGGCCACACGCAGCCGCCGAGGUGCGCCGCCGCAUCGCGCUCGAAAGCCUGUUCCUCCCACGACGGCUCGCCGCCGGCGGCCGCAGCUGCCGCCCAAGCAGUGAUGGGGCUCGCUGUGCUGCUGCUGCUGGUGCUUCUCCUUGCUCCCCACAUGCCCCAGUAACUGCCUAUUCUAUCCAUGGCGAUGGAGGAGUUCAUGGGCGCGCUAGCUGGUGAUUGAGCUAUCUGUUUGUAAGUUUGUUGUUGCAAACUUGCAAUCAAGGCAUGCAAGUAGUAGAUCACAGACCAGAAGAUAGGAUGUGUGUACCUAUUUGCUAUAUAUGUGCAAGAAUCAAGAAAGCAAAUUGGAGCUGGAAUAGUGAACAAGAAAAGGAAGAGGGGGAAGAGAAGAGCUAAGGGUGAUGCUGGGGAUGAAUUGGAGAUGAGUAAUUUGUAUGAUUAGAUAGAUGACUAGUCCUCUCACGCCCUGCUGUUUAGGAAUUGGUGGGUGGGUGUGCCUUUUUGUUUUCUUCUAUCUCUGAUUUUUAUUUAAUUCAGAUGUAAAGCAAUGGAUAGUAUAAUCUUUCGGGCACACACACAUAGUGCUGCUGCGUCUGUGCUAGUGUACGUUUGUGUAUCUUUUGUCAUCGUUGUUAAUUAAUAAGCUAGGCAUCUUGUUAAUCAAGAGGUAAUUUAUUUGUUCUGUGUACCUAGCAGUGAAGACAAGACAUACAUGCACGGAAUGAGCUCAAUUUGUCGCUCCUUCUAAACAAAGCUUUAAUUUCUGGAAUGCAUGUACACAUUACCACUUGGUCUUGAAUUGAUCAGAUGCUGCCCUGCACAGUUCGCCGAUCCUAUCCGCAUGCUAGUCCUCUGUGUUAGUUCAAUAAUGGUGCUUCCACAUAUUUUAUCAUUCAAUUCGGACGCAUAUUGCAAGAAUAUGGAGAAGAAUAGUGACAUUCUAAUUCUAGGGGGGUGGGCUAGACAAUCAAACAGGGUUCUCCGUCCGUGGUAGGUGCCCCUAUUUUUUUGCCUCUAAUAAAGGAAGUAAUCGAAUGUUAGGGCAUGUUUUGUUUUCGCUUAACAUUUUCAUGUAUAUAUAUUAGCUAGCUUAUGAGCGCCUCCAUUUCAAGUUAAGUUGCAUAACGAUGAUCUAUCCUUUUGUAGCCACCGGAAGAGUCGUACACUGCGGAAUCUUAGGGGGUGUUUGGAUAGCUCCCGCUAAACUUUACAACCUAUCACAUCAGAUGUUUCAUACUAAUUAGGAGUAUUAAACAUUGUCUAAUUACAAAAUUAAUUGCAAAGAUGGAGUCUAAUUUGCGAGAUGAAUAUAUUAAACCUAAUUAGUCCAUGAUUUGACAAUAUGGUACUACAGUAACCGUUUGCUAAUGAUAGAUUAAUUAGCCUUAAUAGAUUCAUCUCGCGAAUUAGACUCAUCUAUGCAAUUAGUUUUGUAAUUAGCUCAUGUUUAGUCCUCAUAAUUAGCAUUCGAAUAUCCGAUGUGACCCUGCUAAAGUUUGCCACCUCGUAUCCAAACACCCCCUUAAUUGAUCUGAUGUAUCAAUUAAUUGGAGCAGUUUGCCACCUCGUAUCCAAACACCCCCUUAAUUGAUCUGAUGUAUCAAUUAAUUGGAUGAACCAGCACUUCUAGGAAAAUGACCUUUUGUCCAACGUGUUAGUACCAACGCGUUAGUACCGGUCAAAUUUGGAUCUGGUAAUAAUGCUGGUAUCCCCCGGAUACCCUUUAGAACUGAAUUGUGUUACCACCCGGUACAACUAAAGCCUCGAUGAGCAUUAGUACCAGGUAGUGUUACGAUCCUAUAUUAAAAAAUCCUCCAUGGGUUACUUCUAAAGGAAAAAAUUUCUAACCAAAUCACAUGUGUUGUGUUGGUGAGAUGGUAAAGAAACCUCGUCCGAGGCUUGAGGUCCCGUAUUUGAAUCCCUUGCAUGUGCGUAAAAAUCAUGUGACUUUUUGCCUUGUGACUUUGCGCAUGUGUGCGAGCCUCUCGGCAGUUCAAAAUAUUUUUUCUUUAUUUUUUUGAAACCAUACUGAUUUCUCGACUAGUACUAAAUAUCAAUAGUAGUGCAGUAGCUCCCUCCGUUUGAAAUUGUAGGUUGUUUUAGUUUUUCUAAGUUCAUAGAUUUUACUAUGAAUCUAGACAUAGGCAUAGACAUAGGGUAUCUAAAUGCAUAGCAAACAUUAUGAAUCUAGAAAUACCAAAACAAUCUAUAAUUUGGAAUGGAAGGACUACUUCCCAAAUUAACUUGAAUCUGAACACUAGUAGAGAACUCACCUUCCAUGCGCCCCCUUUUGUCCCGGUUUAAAGUUGGCCCGGGAUAAAAGGUUCACCAACCAGGACUAAAGGUCGGUCCCUGGCGGGAGGCUCACCAACCUGAACCUUUUAUCCCGGUUGCAAAGGCUAGUGGAAAAAAAAGACCCUAAAAGGCCUUUUAUCCCCUUUAAUUUUGUCUCGAUUGGUUUAUCCCGAAUGAAUUUUUAGAAGAUUUGCACCCUACCAACCGGGACUAAUACUGAGGUCUCUACCAGUGGAAUGUCAAAGACCGAGGAUGGUUAACUAAAAGUUUCAAUCUUUUCCUUCAUAUUAAAGUCUAGAACCACCGUCCGCAUCCACCCAAAUUAUUGUCAGUGCAGUGGUUUAUUUUCAGCAUGAAGAUGGGCCUAAGGAGUUGAAAGCUUCAGAUUGUACGAUCGAUGUCAAAGCUCCGGUCCUUGGCGAUUGAUCGGCAGGCAAAAGUAUCCAAUAUUCUCUGACGCGAUUAUAAGAGCAUGAACUUCUAAACAUAUUAUUAACUGAUGAUUUGCUAGCGAUAUGGAGUGGACCUAUCAAUAAUUUUUUUCUAAAAUAUAGUAGAGACACACACGCUCGCAAACAUAUGCCCAUGCUCAUCCCGCACACUUACACAACUUACCAUAUAUAUGAACAUCUUUAGAAGAUAGAGCCGCGGCAUAUAUUACCAUCGAAGAAGUCACCCAGGCAUCUCGCUAAAACCAGGUGGUGGGCAGGCUUCACGAAACACACAGGUUGAUGGGCUUCGAGUAUUCCCGUGUAUACAUUUGAUUUGUCUUUGACUAGAGUUGAAGCCUUUGGUGAAUUUUUCCAGUGUAUCACAGAUAUUCUCCAUUAUUUGCUAAUCGAUCAAUCACAAACAUAAACAAUUAUCACUUGUGAAGGAGCUAAUAAUAUAACCAAGAUGCACAUCACUGAUGUAACAUGUGGAAUGAUUGUGUCAAUUAGUCAUCUCAUGCUUUGCCGUGUCUCCAUAUAUCUCUGACAGAAACUUCGAUAGUUUCAGUACAUACAAUACAAAAUCCAAUCAUGCCCCCAGCCUAAUUUCAAGAAGGAAUAAUAUCUGGAUAACUUCAUCACAUAUCAGAGGCCAUGCAUAUUACCAAUUAAAUUUAGCAUAUUUUUGUAUAUGGAUGGGAUUCCAGUGCGAGUCGGUUUCAUCCGUGUUGGUUAUUGGGCUGGCACAAUGGAGCCGACGCGGAUGAGAGGUGGAUAUCCGUGCCGGCAUCAACACCAACAUGGACGAAGAUUAUUUCUGCCGGCUUCAAUUGUGAGCUGACAUGGAUAACUGAGUAAUCCUACCGGCUUCAAUUGUGAGCUGACAUGGAUAACUAAGUAAUCCUACUGACUCUAAUUGUGGCUCGCCAUGGUUGUUAGUGUAUUACUACUGGUGCUCGUUUUGGCUAGCAUGCCGGUGUUUAGACCCGGCAACUUACCGAGGGGUGCCCGAGAUAGUAUUUUGCCUACUAGGGCUCGUCAAGAUCAGGAAACUCGAAUGUAAACGAAGACACACAAUUUAGAGAGAUUCGGGCUGUUAGAUUGCGUAAUACCCUAAGUCCGAUCCUGUGUGUUGGUUGGAUUGAAUCGCUUUGGAGGGAGUCCCUGCCUCGCCUUAUAUUGUCGGAGGUAGGAUUACAGGUCGGUUGGUUAUAAGAAUACUAGUCGAAUACGACUAGAGAAGUUCUACUCUUAUUAUAGCGAGUACUUUUUUUAAUCCUCGACUAGUUCCUAUCUUUCUAUGUAGGCUACGCCGUCCUGUGCCAUGGUCUCCAUAUCAGAUAUGUCUUGGUGUCCAAUCUCAUAUUUAGGACUGUCCAAACGUUUUGGUCGGCUCAUAGAUGUGUGUACGACAAGCUCCCGAGUACUUUUUAGUCAAAUGCAGUAGUUCCGGGUACUCUUGUAGACUUCACCGACUAGUUUUUGGUGCUCUUCGAGUACUUCAUCUGGUUGAAUCUUCAAAGGUACUUAAAAACUACCGUGCGGUUAAAAUAUGCUCAAGCCUCAUUUAAUUAACUCAGUCUGAUAUCCUUCAAUGUUGAAUUUUAUAUGGAAGUGCGAUGAAAGUCGUACUCCAUAUGGAGUAGUCCCCAAGCCUUAGGUUGAAUUGAAGAAUCAAGCUGAGGGUUAAUCUGUAAUUCGCGUCACUUUCCCCUUAAAACCCGGAGAAAAAACUUUUUAUCGAUGGACAUGUGGCACAUAGCCCCCGAGCCUUUAGCCAACUAGUUUAGUGGGUAUAAGGGUCAAACUUUGGUCAACGUGACCAUCUCUGGAAGGAGAUCUUAUCUCCUCCUGAAAUAAAGGUAACUGCAAAUCAAAUGUCCGAAAUUCUAGGGAUCCUUUAAAUCAAAAUCCCUUUAUUUGCGCAGUUUUUACCGUUCCACUGUUAUAAAGAAUGGCGGAAGUUAUCCCAUCCGUUUUACCCGUUUACCAUUUUCCUUUCCAACUUCCACACUUUAGCCCUAGCGCUGUCGCUAGCGCCGCUGUCCCCCCACCGAGCAGCCCCUGAGCGUAUGCGAUAGAAGAAGCUCGUGACAUCAAGGAUGGUAGGAAAGCUAUUGCAUCUAAAUCAAGCGAAGGCGAGAAGAAGAAGACAUCUGAUAAGAAGAAAAAGUCGUAGUUGCCGGCAUCCAAAUACGAGAAAACUGAUUAGACUGCGUUGUCAAAUCUCGUCUGUGCCUGAAAACAGUCAACUAUGAAGGAGGAGGAUAUCAAGGCGCUCGUAGCCACCAAUAAGUCCAACUGGACAAAAGGGCAAUUCUUUCAUAUAAUUGUACCGACACUUAUAUCGCGACACUUAUAUCGCCAGAGAAUGUAAACAACACUUACAUUACAUAACCAUGGUUGCACCUCCUCCAUCACCUCCAUGGCGACCGUGGCUGUGCUCGAAGGGGAGGUAAUGGCAGCAUGCUAGGAGGUCCCACUCUAAGGCAGCAUGAGCUCAAGCCCUUGCCGCUGCAUUGCCCACCACUAGUGCGAUUGCAUUGCCCUAUUGGCCGCGGAGAUGGUGGCCGCCGCUCUAUUGGCCGCGGGACAAGCGGUGGCUUCCACCGCCUUCCACGCCGAUGUGCUAGGUAGGAUCCGAGGUCUUGACGGCGUGAGAUGUGGCCCC